UGGAUACUACACUCCAUCUUCACCUCCCUUCUUGCCUCAUUUACCUGCAUACAAUGACACAAAUGCAUCGCUUCAGGUCAUGGCCGGCCUCCGAAGCUUAGCAGAUGCGGAACAUCCUUGCAAUGUCCCAUUGAGCACGAGCACUAACCUAUUUUAUACCGUUUCUUUAAACUCGUACCAAUGCAUCAAUGAUUCAUGUUCAGGGGUCAAUGGGACGCGGUCCGCCUCAAGUAUAAACAACAUAAGCUUCCAUACCCCUACAAUUGACAUAUUGGAAGCUUACUAUUAUAACAUCAGUGGUGUAUAUGGAGAUAAAUUUCCUAGUGUUCCACCACUGGUGUUCAAUUUUACAUAUGAUUAUCUUCCAUUACUCUAUCAGUUGCCGAGCACUGGAACAGAAGUAAGGGUGCUCGAGUAUAACUCCACAGUGGAGAUUGUUUUUCAAGGGACAAACUUGGUUGGAGGGACAAACCACCCCAUUCAUCUCCAUGGACACAGUUUCUAUGUUGUUGGGUGGGGAUCUGGGAAUUUUGAUGAAAAUAAGGAUCCUUUGCGCUACAAUCUGGUGGAUCCUCCCCAUCAGAAUACCAUCUAUGUUCCUAGGAAUGGUUGGGCUGCAAUCAGAUUCGAGGCAUCCAACCCUGGUAUGUUGCAAGCACUCAUGUCCUCUAUUCAAAAAUAAAAAUAAAAAAACCCUUGAAACUGUCAAUCUUAAUAUUACAAUUAAGUUAGGUGUAAUGUUGUGUAUUUUCUCUGUUGUAGGAGUGUGGUUCAUGCACUGCCAUAUAGAACGCCAUCUGAGUUGGGGCAUGGAAACUGCGUUCAUAGUGAAAAAUGGUAAACACCCAGAAGCUCAAAUGCUGCCCCCUCCAUUUGACAUGCCGCCAUGUUGAAGCUGCAAAGAAAUAACAUGCCAAAUAUUUCAUUGAAUAUUCAUAUUAUUCAGCUUUCAUGAUUUCUUUUAUGCUCAUAAGAAGAAUAAUGUAAAGUUGUAGAAUACAGUGUCUAGGAUUAUUAACGUCAAUUUCUUGGAUUGUUAAAAGUCUAUAAAGAUAAUUGAAUUUGAAUAAUUUUUGAGAUAUGCUAUGGUGAAAUUUGCCACGAAAGUCUUUGAUUAUGAAAAAGAGAAUUUGAUGUUGUGUUCUUGUUUCAACCUUAAUUAAUUUCAAUAUGAACAACUCAUUAAAUGGGAUAGUUUAAAAUUAUCUUGAUUUGACAAUUUUUAUUCCGAUUUGUAUUAAUAAUAUUUUAAAAUUAGACUAUGAUCUAAAUAGAUACUUGUGAAAAAGGUCAUGAAAUGGUUUGUUUAAUUUUUACUGCUACAUCGGCAAAUAUUUUGCAAAUAAUAUAAUUUUUAUGAAGUCUUAUACACUUGAGAUAAAGUCUGUUUUUAUUUAUUUAUUUAUUUUAAAUAAAAAUAAAUGCUUUUUCCUAAAGUUAAAAUAAUUUGUAUAUAAUUUAUAUUUUCACCUUCUAUUUUAGUAACAAUAUCACAAAAUCUACACCAAGAUAAAGGAAAAGGAAAAAAAUAAUAAUAAAUCACCGCUCACAAAAGAACUCCAAAUCUGUUUUUUAGUGAUUUGAUUAUUUUUCAACUCCCAUUUUUUAUUUUACAUUAAAGUAAACCCUUUCCUGCUUCCUUAAAUUUAAAACAAUAAAGCAAAUAACUGAAUUUUGUAAAUUGAAACAUAGGAGUUGAUCAUUUGAAUUUAUGGUUUAGUGAAAAGACACUUACCAAUUAACUAAGUUGCUGCAAUUGACCAAACUCUCCAAGUCCAAGUCAAUAAAUUAAGUCGGCAGGCAGGAAAGUUGUAAAGCCCUGAGGGGUGCGCUAAAAAAGAUUAAAUAAUUAAACUUUGGUCUUAUGGACUUGGAAUAUUCCUGCUCACAUUCCAAUGCUAUUGAAUUAAGAAAUAAAUUAAUAAAUUAUUCAUUGACCUUGUUUCAUUUUCUUCCAACAACGAAAGGAAUAUCGGGAAAAAAAAAGGGCAAAAUCGAGUGGAGCGACGCGCAGAGCAGGAUUUAAAAAAAUGGCCGAAAAUAUCGCCGAUAUUUCGGUAUUUAUCGGUAUUUUUACCAAUGUUUCGGGAAAUUUUCCGAUAUUUCCUACCAGUCCAGCCCGCGCACAGGAUACAAAAUCUGUCCAACUUUUUUAUUUGCAGCCAAAGGUUGUGUUUUUCAGCCUCGCUCAAAAAUCGUGGAUUUAGGGUUCGUGAAAUUUAAAUCCAACGGCACAAAAGCAAAGAGACCGAGUGGGGGAUGGAUUUUCUUGGGAAUCAAACGGGGGUUGCAAAAAAAUAAAAAUAAAAAUAUGAUUAGAUUAGUACCUGCGAGAAUUGAGAGUGGCAGAGGAAAAUAGGGCCAUUUUAGGGAUUCUCUCGUCUUGAGGGCAACUUCAGAAAAGGCCUUCUUGGUGACCGAGUGAGAGAAGUGGGUGGCCCUUCUGAUUUUUUGAUUGAGUAGAAAUAAAAAAAGAAAGAAAAAGAAACAAAUCAUGAUAAUAAUUUUCCUCUCUCUAAAUAAAUAAUUAUUAAUUAUCGAUUUUAUUUUGAUUAAAUCACUAUCAUAUAUUGAAAUUUCGAUUUUUAUUGCCGGUAGUUUAUAAAUUAAAAUUAAUUUAAUAAAAAUAAAUUAUUAAUAAUUUUAAUUAUUUAAAUAAUUUAAUAUUAAUAGAAAAAGUUGUUAUCAUAUAUUUUUAAUAAAAUAUAAGAAAUUAAAUCUCAAAUAAAAUCUUUUAUAUAAAUUAAUUUAAUUUUUUAUUUAAAAUAUAAUAAAACAUGUUUUAAUAAAAAUAUUAAAUUUUUUUAAAAAUAAAUACCGUCUUCAACAAAAUAGGCUUCCUUUAUCUAAUAAUAUAAUGGAAUCACAUCGAUUUUCAUGUUUUUUUUUACUAAAGACUAUUGUAAUGUCAUAUGUAUUAUAUUUAUGUAUAAAUUAUUUUUAUUCCAUAAAAUCAAAUAUUUCUUAACUCAAUUCUAAUUUUCUAAGUGUACAAUUCCAAAAUUCAUAUUUUUUAUUCUUAAAAUCCAAAUAUUGUAAACUGUUUACCAAUAUUUUUUUCUUUGAUCAUAUUUAUGUCAAUUACACUUAUAAAAUAACUUUAAUAUGUAUAUUCUUACUUAUUUUAUCAUUCUUUAGAUUUUUUUAACAUUCCCAUCAAUUUUGGAUAAUUUUUGUCUCAUUAAUAUUUGUGUAAAAAUAUCCACCAAUAUUUCUUCGAUAUUUUCAAUAUAUCAGUAAAAUCCAAGUACCGAUAUAUCCGUGUUUACCGAUAUUUCAAUCCAUGGGCAUGUCCUAAAGUUGAUGAAGUAAUGCAUGACAAUAUCAAAAGCGAAGAUAGGUGGAAAGAGGCCAAAAAUUCACGCCAGCUAUACCUAAUAGAUAGAGUUAAAGGAAUAAAUUUGGGCAUGACCUAAUUAUACUUUAUAAACACUCAAAAAUAAUUGUAAAGAAUUAAAUCCCAAAAAAUAAAUAACAAUAAAUAAAAUUUCAUGAAUUAAAAAAUAAAUUAAUUGUGAUUAAAAUGUUUUUUAUUUGUAAUGUUUUUAUCCAUAAAAAAUAUUUUGACAUUAUAAAUGAUUUUAAAAAGAGUCACUUAGUAUUUAAACGUAAAUUAAAAAAAAUGUUCAGAAAUUAUUUUUAAGUGACUUUUUGGAUUUUUAAAAGUGAUUUUCAAAUAUAUUAAAAUUUUAUUUGGACUGACUUUUAAGAGUUAAAAAAAAAAAUUAAGUUGAAUAAAAGUUUUUAUACCUAUUUAAUUAUUAUUUUUAAAACUUAUAACUUUUAAAAAAUGUUUCAUAUUGAAGUCAUAAAAAUGUUAUUUCUUAUAAGAAUUUUAUAAUUCUAUUUUUGUUUACAUAAGAAGUUCUUUCAUGUUUAAUAAAACUUUUACAAAUCAACAUUACCCCUUAAAAAUUAUUACUUUAAUUUUGAUUUUAAUUUUCAGUUAAAGCAAAAAUAUAUGAAGCUAUCCCGAAUUUGACCUUACCAUCCACCUAAUUAAUUUUCAUAAGAAAGUGUUUUUUAAAAAAAAUAUUUACAAGGGCCUUUAUUUAGUUAUUUUUAAAUCAUUCCCAAAUGAAAUUUAUAAGAAAGAAAGAAAAAAUUUUCUCCCAUAUUAGAAAGAAAUACAAUUUUCAAAAUGUGGAUUGAAGUGAUUAUAGAACUUUGUUACAUAUUUAAAAUUAGGAUCUCCUAAUUACUCUUCUAAUUUCUUACAUCUCCAAUUUUCAAUAUUCGUUCUUUAUCUAAAAUCUAACCUAUAAAAUGGUUGUCCACUCAUAAUAGAGGACAUGAAAUAUAAUUUUGUUUUAGGUAACAUCAGAUUCAAUGCAUUAGAAUCAGAGAGUGAGGAUCCAGAUUUCUCCUCGUGUAUGGUAUUUGAUAGUGAUCCAUAUGAAGUUUGUUUCUAGUCAAAACAUUUUUAUUAUCUAAAAUUCUAGAUGAUGUUUGUUUUUUAGUUGAAUAGAAAAAAGAAAAAUGUUUGAUUUUUUUUUAUUUAGUUAAAAAUAACCUAUUGAUAUCAACCGACAUGACUAAAUUGAAUAUAUUGAUAACAAGUUCACUUUAGUUAAUAUCAACCGCAGAUAUAGGAUUAAAAAAAGAAAAAAACUAAUAUAUAUAUAUAUGUAUAAACUCCUCUAGCAAACCCAAUGAUUAAACCUAAAUAAUAAUAUUUUUAAUACUUAAGCUAUAUUCAUAUUUAAUAUUUGGUUUUAGUUUUACAUUUUUACUUUAUUUUAUUAUUAAGUCCCUAUUUUUAGAUUUAAUAUGUUUUUUAUUUAUUUAAUAUUUUCUCUUAAUUUUUACAUAUUUAUAUCAAAUGUUAGAAGAUGUCUUUCUAUAUAAUUGGAUACCAUUUUUUAUUUUUAUUUUUUUGCAUAAUUACCAUAUAUUCCCCCAUGGUUGACACACCAUCUAAUAAGAGAGCUUAACAUGUUCUAGCCAUUUUAAUGCAUAAUUACCAUGUCCACACGUUGCUGCACAUGCCCAAAAAGUCAAUCAAAGUUGACUUCUAGCCUUGACUAGCUGCCACCAGUUGUCCAACCUUACUCCAAGGUUCAUUCAUCUUUCUUAUUUUAUGAAUUGGUGUGAAGAUAACUCUAUAUAAAGGAAGGAAUGCUGAUUGAAGAAGAGAGAAAAAAUAUGAUGUAAAAUAGAGUAGUGGAUGUAGAAAUGUAGGAAUAAAGAGGAAGAAUAUACAGUCUUAUUGUAAUUCUUAAUUUUUAUUUAUAAAGGUUAUUUUUAGUUUUCAAAAAAUGCAAGGGAAAGGAAAAAAAAUAAAAUUGUGGAAUGUUAUUUUCCUUAGUUUGGGUGACAUGAAAAAUAUGAUGGAAAAUACCAAAGAAAAUUUUGUAAUAUUUUCCCUAUUACUUUCCUUAAAAAUUAGUUAGGAAAUAAGAGAGAGAGAAGGAAAAGUUGGAGGAAAUUUUAUCAAGCUCACAUUAUCUUCUUCACCGAGUCUCCAAUUCACCUAACUUCCUCUUCACCAGUGGCACGCAAUGGCUUCCCACCACCAUCGACCCUUUCAACAGCCACCACCAUUACUUCAACCACCUUCCAGUGCCUCUAAAAACCAACCUUUUUUUGGUAUACAAGUUCCCAUGUAUGAAUUGCAUUCUUCAAAUCUAGUCAAUGUGUUCGAAUCCAUGUCUCCGUAUCAGUUAUGGAAUGAAUUUCUCUCUCUUAACUUCACACCUUGACGUUUUAUAGAUGUAGGUCUUCUCUCAAUGAACCCUAUAUUAUUUUUUUCAUUUUUGGAAAUCUAAACACCUGAAUUUUGUAGAUAUGGAAAUUUUGAUGCUACUCUUUGGAAUUGGAUUUGAGUGUUUCUCUUGUGUUUGCAUUUUUUAAUUCUUGUGCUUCAAUUUGAUUUUAAAUACAAGAAUUUUAAUUUUUCAUUUCAUACUGCAAUACUUAAUAGCAACAAUAAGGACAACAUGUUUGAGGAAUUACCCAUAAGAGAAUUUAACACACCGAUGAAGCUAUUGCUAUAACCAAAUAAAAAUUAACUUAGAAAGCCCCCCAAAAAAAAAGGGCAUGCAGAACAACUAUAAUAAUAGUGUUGUGGAUUGGGUAUGAGAAAAUUAUAGAAGAGAGAGCAUUCUUGAUCUGGUAAGUUUGCAAUUGAAUGGGAUUUUCAACAAAGAGCAAGAUGUCCUUCUGCAAGCCUUUUAUCAUACCUUAUUAGGAUUUGUCUUGUUAUAGCUUUUGAUGUUAGCUUGGGCAGUGAAAACUUCAUGAAUUAAAAUUAUCAACUUGUCCUCUAUCACUAGAUAGUUUCUUUCUUAAUAGAAAUGUAGUAAGUAUUAUUAGCAAAUACAACUUGGUUUUGGUGGUAUAGUUUUUCCUCAAUACUUUAUUAUCAUGAUAGAACUUAGUAAACAUCUCUUAGAUCAAUUAUGUGAUGUUUACAAAUUCCCUAUUAAAAAUUCUAAAAAACUUAUCCAACUUUAGAAGACUUCUUACUUAAUUAAUGCAAAAUUGAUUUCAUAUGUUCACAAGACUAUUCUCUUUUGUAGUAGCUCUCUAGAUUAUUCUUCCAAAAUUUCCUUUAUUGUGGAAGUCUUUAGUGCAUGAAUGUAGUUAAUCCAAUUGAAGCAUUGUAUUGAGAAGGUGCUUGAGAUAAGCCUUUGUAUUGCGCUAAUAAGUAAUUCCAUCAACUUCAAACUUGGUUACUUUCAUUUGGCCCCUAAAUCUUCAAUUUGCAUUGUUUGACAGCCUAACUAGCCUUGGAUAAUAGUUCAUAGGCAACCCUAUCGGUAGUUGUCCCAAAUUAUACUAGAAAAGGAUUUCCACAUACUAUUUGUAAACCUCCUCGACAACAAAACUUGUCAUGCCUGUGCCAUUGGUUCUUUCUACUUGAAUUACUCUAUUUUGGUAGUAUAGUGAAACUAGAGAUCAAACUAGUUUGAGUAUUUGGCUUAUGGCAACUUCAACCUAGAUCACUUACCAAAAGUGUAUUGGCAAACAAACCUAAGUAGUAGAGGAGUGGGACAAAUAUAAUUGCUUGGAUUUUGGAGUGUUGUGGAGAAUCUGGGGACUUUGUGAGUCAAAUCAUGCUCAUCCAAAGCCAACUUAGCUGGGCUACAGUUUGGUGUUGGAGGCUUAGAGCCUAACUUUUAUGGCUUUAUUACAAAUUAAAAAUUGCUUAUUGUAUAAGCAUGAUAUAAAAUUUAAGAUCAUGGGAGUUAAUGAUUACUACUCAAAAAGUGCUAUUUGAUAGCUUAUAAUUAAUCCUUUUAAACACUUUUGAGUAGUAGUUUUGGCCUUUUAACUCAAUUGGCAUGUUAAGGACCCUUGAAAGCAAUUUUAAUCACUUUGUGUAAGUUUUGGUGUUUUUGUUAGUAAUUUGAUCACCAAAGCAAGUCAAGACUGAGGAGAGCUAUGAGGAAUCUUGGGCAAAGCUUAGAAGUCAUUUGCCAAGAGUAAAUCCUGAUUGCAAGGAGAAAAAGUAAAGAGAAUCUGUCAUGAAGCAUAUUCUUGAUGACAGUCGUAGCAGCCACUUUUGGAGCACUUUCUGAAGUCCAAUUGAUGCAUUCUAUAUACCAUUUCAAAGCUCAGGAAGUCAACAAUCCACUGCUUCAAACGGUGUGCAAUUCGGAGUUGAAACGAAGAAGUUGCAGCCAUUGCAAGCCAAUCACUCCGAGCUGAAGGAAGCAUUUUGCAAAGUGCUGCGAAAUCACCCUUUUGUUGCGAAGUGAUUCCGCAGCCUUUUUGUACAGUAGGGUGUAUUUCCUCCUGAAGAUGCCCGACAUAUACCGCGAGAGGGAAGCUUGGAACCUCAAGGUGGAAGCCAACUUCGCAGCCCUACGAAGAUAGCAUGUUGUUGCGAAAUAUUUCGCAGCCCCUCUUGAGUGUCUGUGAAAUCUCGCAGACACCAUUUUCUCUUGCGAAAUGGUUCCUGAAGCACCCCGAUAUUUGCUACCGACAUUGGGAGAUAUUUUACAUCAGAUUUUUGUUGUCUAAAUCCCAAAAUACUCCUUGUAAGCCACCAAUUACAUGAUUCCUUAGCUUUUAAGUUAGUAAAAAGAGUAAAUAUCUAUGUAAUAAUUAGUUUUAUAUUAUGAUCAUAUAUAUACCUCUUGGGAGCCUGUUCUCAAAGAGGAGUUCCUUCUGUAAAAGUUUGGGUAAGCAAGUAAAGUUUAUUUCUUUCUACUGCCUUACCUUCUCACUUUGUAUUUUUAUUUUAUUUCUAAGUUAUGAAUUCUCUGAGGAGUUUUCCCCAGAGAAUGAGUAACUAAACCUCUAGUUCCUUGGAGCUAAGGUUGCCGGGGAAGGUUCCAAGUGCAAGAAUGCAAAGCUUUGUGGUUUUAGCUAUUAAUGAAGAGGAAGUGAAAUCCUUUAAUGAUUUCUAUGUUUUUAGUUAACUUAAAACACCUUAGAGUCACUUGGGCCAACACUUGGUAAGGCAAGUGAUUUCCAACCAUGCAAAUGCACUAGUUUACCCCUUGCGAGCCUCUGGGAGGUGACUUCAAGGUAGGAUUUUCUAGAAUAGCCAACACUUGGUAAACUUUUGGACUCCAAGGAGACAUCCAUUAGUUAUCUCUUACGAGCUUUUGACGGGUAAUCCAAGGUUAAAGAUCACCUUGAAUGGCAAGUGCUAGGUGAGAGGUAUGAGUCAUUGCAAGAUGCAUCAGUGAGAGAAUUAAAGUGAAAUCUAAUUGAAGGAGUCUCUGUACAACACCGGUUAGAGAAUUGACUAUAUGUUGAAUCUCUAACGCGAGGAAAUGAACCAUCUGACUAGAGCCGUGUCUUUUGCAUGAGGAACCACCCCAGUGAACCUAACUCUCCAGGGAAUGCUUUUCUUCCUAAAUUAUUCCAAACUUCUGUUAUGUUAGUUAGUUUAAGUCUAAACCUUUACCAAUCAAAGUUUGUGUUUUACUUCUUAAGCUAACCAUGAAAUGAAACAAAACCAAUUCACUUGGAAUUGGUAUCAUUGAUAGCUUGUUAAUCCUUCCCAGUGAACGAUCCUAGAGUCGCUAUACUAUACUAGCUUUGUCUUUGCUACCCUAGUAUAUGGUGUAAUAGAUUAUAAAUUUUGUUGAUUACUCCCUCAAUCAAGGAGUACCAGCUGGACAUGAAUCAGCUGAGACACCAAGUGGGCACGGAAUCAGUUAAUAAUGAUGAUAAUAUAAUUUCAAGUCACAAGCACCCAAUAUGUCAAUAAUACUACUCAUUGACUUACUCUCAACAAGCAAAUAACCCACAGGUCUGCUCCUACACAUUAUUUUAAAAAAUUUUAAUUGUAUUAUUUGUAAAAAAAAUUAUUUUUAUCUAAAACAGUUUGAUCAUUUUGGUUGUAUGGUCAAUGUGAAGAAAAAAAUAUAUAGACUCAAUAUUUUUGUCUAAAUUGAGUUAACUAAACUGAAUCGAACUGAUAUUAAGUUGGAUUAGUUUGAGUAAAUAAAUAAAUUUGUUGUACUUUAGUUAAAACCAAUCAACUCCUAUUUGAUUCUUGGAUUGGUUAAAAACCAACCUAGUUAAAUGUAUCUAUCCCUAAUUUUGUGUUCUUGUCCUAGAACAAUAAAUCCAUUAGGUUGCCCCAUAUACUCUUAAUUUAUAUAACCAUUCAAAGAAAGAUAAUCUUAACAUCCAUUUGAUAGAUUUCAAAAUUUAUUAUGGAAACUAAUAAUAUCAAAUUUCUAUUUGAUGUUCUCUAACUAAAGCGUAAAUAUCAAAUUACUUAAAUCCCUUUUAUCUACUUAAUCUAUUAAUAUAUGCAAUAUUUCUUUUCAACUUUUUUUUCUAAAAAAUAAACUAUAUAUUCAUGGAUAAAAGAUUUUUCUAUUUAACUCCUACCAUAUCACCUUGUUUCAUUGUCUUUAUUAUUAGAUUUUCCAUUUUAAACUUUUUUUUUUCUUUUGAAAACUAUUUGUUCUAUUGUAUUUUGAAUCUUUUAUGAUCAAAGAUUUAAAAACUUACAACAUUCGUUGAUUUAGUAAUUUUUUUAUAUUUUAAGUCUAAGAAAUACAAUUGUAAACCCACAUUUUUCAUGUGCGUUCCUACUUGGUGAUGAAAUUUGUUUUUAUUGUAAAAAACUAAUUUUUUUUUUUUGAAAAGUUGGAGUCAUCACUUAUUAUUAUUAUUAUUUUUUAAAAGAGAAAACAAAAUAAGAAAUAAAGCCUUAGUGUAACUCCAUUUUUAAAGAAAAGAUGUGUUAGCAAAAACUGAAUCUGAAUUUAGAGGUUAGGUUACCUAUUGGGAAGUUACCAUAGUAACACUUUUUUAAGCCUUAAAAAGGUUUUUACUAAGAUCGUUAAAGGGAAUUAUGACAAUUAAUUAAUUAAUCAUGGAUAUUGGAAAAAAAGAAUAAUAUAAGUAUAUGGAGUAAUGCAAAAGCAAAUUAUAAGGAUAUGCAAAAAUGAUACAUAAGAAAUGCAUAAAAUAAUUUAUUAGAAAAAUUUUAUUAAUUCAAAUAUCAUAAUACAAUUUCCAAAAAUUUUCAAAGAAUUCUUUUAAUAUUAACACCAAUUUCAAUUAAUGAUUUGAAUUUAUUUAUUCACAAGGCUUCAAUUUAUUACAGAAGAUUUGAUUUAAUUUACAAGAAAUGAUUUUUGUUUACCUUAUGAAGAAGAGGGUAAAUUUUACUAAUUUAUUUUAAAAAGUGUUUUGAUUCAAUCUUUAUUUAUUUUAAAAAAUUUCUACAAACUUAAAGAAAAAUAUUUACAAGUUUAUAAGAAGGAAUUUCAACCCAAUUUAUUAAAAAAAUAUUUUUUUUUUAUUUUACUUAGAAAAAGAUUUUUUAUUACUAAUUUAUUUAGAGAAAGAAUUUCACAAAUUGAUUCCCAAGGAUUCCAAUUUUAUUAAGAAAGAAUUUUUGGAUUUCAUCUAGAAAGAGAUCAUUAGUUUAUCAAUAUAUUAAAAAAAGGUCUUUCACUUCUAUUUAAAGGUUUACUUAUCCUAUUCUUAUUAAAAAAAUUCUUUAAGACCUUUAUUUAUAAAAAUUACUUUUAAUCCCAUUCUUAUCAAGGAAAGAGAAUUUUAUUUAAAAAUCAAUUUUUGGAUGAUUUUAUUAAAAUUAACUUUUUGGACAAUUUUAUUUAAAAAUCAUUUUUUUUUUGGAAAAUUUUAUUAAACAAAUGAAUUUCUAGACCGUUUGUUAUUAAAAACAAUUUUUUGAAUUUUUAUUAAAAAAAAUUAGAUUCCUCAAAAAACAUUUAUCUAAACUUUCUAUUAAGAAAACUUUUUUUUAUUAAAAAGAAUAUUUUUUGAACUGUUAUUUCAUUAAAACAAGAUUGCUAGACUGUUUCAUUUAUUUUAUUUUAUUUUAUUUUAUUUUAUUUGAAAAAAGAUUUCUGAACCUUUUAUUUAUUUAUUUAUUUUAAAAUUAUGAAUUGUUUCUUUUAUUAAAACAAAAUUUUUGGACUAUUUUAUCUUAAAAAAGAUGUCUAAAACUUAUUUUUAUUCAAAGAAAUUUUUGGGUCCAUUUUUCUUAUUUAAUGAAAAUGUCUUAUUGGAUGUAUUUUAUUUUUUUAAAAUAAGUUUUUUGGUUAACUUAAUUUAUUAAAAUCUAAAAAAAGAUCAACAUAUAAUAUGAAAAUUCCAAGCGAAAUUAUCUAAAGUCCAAACAAGUAAACUCGACAAUCAAGAACAAUUACUAUAGAAAUAAAAAAUGACUAAAGAAAUAAGAAAAUGAAAAGGAGCAUCUUACCCAUUUUUUGAAUGCAAUAUGGAAUAAGGGAUAAGGAGAAAGAAUCUUACCCAUUUCUUGAAUGCAAUGUGGAAUAAGGGAUAAGGGGAAAGAAUGAGAUAAUAAUAAUAAUAAUAAUAAUAAUAAUAAUAAUAAUAAUAAUAAUAAUAAUAAUAAUAACAAUAAAUAAAUAAAUAAAGAAAUAAAAGAAAAUGGGUAAGAUAAGAGAAAGAGAGAGAAAGUGAAGAAAAGAGAGAAAUAAAGGGAGAAAAGGGAUCGUAGUCUAAUAAUGGCUCGCCGAUGGUGUGGUGAGUAUGGGGCAGCCGUGGUUAUGGAUCUUCAAGGUGAGAGAGAGAAAUAGGUAACAAGAAGAAAAACAAAAGGAGAAAAAAAAGAAAAAAGAAAAUGGAAAGAUGGGGAAGGUAGGUGACAAUUGGAGAUGCGUUUGGGAGAGAGGGUGGGUAGAGAGAAGAGAGAAGAAGAAAGAAAAGAAAGAAAAACAAAAAGGAAGGAAAAAAAAAACAAAGAAAAAAGAAGGAAGAGGGAAAAAUAAGAAGGAGAAAGGAUGCGUUGUAGUUGCACAUUAGUGGGAGAAAAAAAAGGGGUGAAAAACAAGGAAUGAACAAAAAAAUAAAAAGAAAAAAAGAAAAAAAUAAAGUAAAAAAUAAAUAAAUAAAUAAAUAAAUAAAUAAAUAAUAUUAAAAUAAUAAAAUAAAAUAAAAUAAAAUAAAAUAAAAAGUGAGAAUGGGUUUGGGGUAAAUUUUGGGAUUUAUAAAUAUGUCUAUUUUCAAAAGAGUUCACAAGUGAAGUGUAUAAACCAACUAAACAAAGUGGGCUCUACUAAAGUACAAGAAAGAUCACCAAAUUUGUCUUAGUAAGACACAAAACUCUCUAAGGUUAUCAAAUGUGCUCAGUGAUAUACUAAUAGAGAAACAUGCAAUAUCUAUGUGGAUCUUAAGAGAGACUCUUUUGAAUAAGGUAGUGACAAUAUCUAUGUGAAACACUAGGGACCUUGCUAUCCAAAUGAGGGAAUGAACAGGUGAACAAGAGAGGGAAGAAGAAAAGAGAGGAAACUAAUGAUUAGAGAAAAGACUCAAGGCUAAUAAAAUAAAAAUGAAAAGAGGUAGGGUAAUUAGGGCAUGGACACUAGAGGAAACACAAAGAAGACCCAACAAUUAGGGUGCGACUCUAAGAAAACCUAAAAGAAAUUGGACAGUCAGGGCUCGACUUUUAGAAAAAAUUAAAAGGUUGGAUAGUGAAGAUAACUCUGGGAAAACAUGAAAAAGUUGGACAAUCAAAGCAUGACUAUAGACCCUCUAUUUUGUCUUCCUCGCACAUGUCGUUUAUGGCAAUUCCCUGGUGGCCCAUUAAUACUCGUGUAGCCUAUCUUUUCUAAGACACCUCGGAGACUUUGGUUGAAGGAUUAUCUGACCCCUUAUUGUGACCCUUGGCAGCCCUAACUUAGACUUAGGCUUUUCUUGCUUUUUUUUUAGGAUAGCUUUUAGGCACCCUAGGCCCACUUAGGUAACCCUAGGCCCAUUUAGGUAUCCCUAGGCCCAUUUAGGUACACUUGGCCCAUUAGGCAUCACUUUAGGCCCAUUUAGACACUUUAGGCCCACUUAGUUACCCUAGGCCCACUUAGAUCACUUUAGGCCCAUUAGGCAUCACUUUAGGCCCACUUAGAUCACCCUAGGUCCAUUUAGGUAACCCUAGGCCCAUUUAGGUACCCUAGGCCCAUUUAGACACUUUAGGCCCACUUAGUUACCCUAGGUCCACUUAGAUCACUUUAGGCCCAUUUAGACACUUUAGGCCCACUUAGUUACCCUAGGCCCACUUAGAUCACUUUAGGCCCAUUAGACAUCACUUUAGGCCCACUUAGAUCACCCUAGGCCCAUUUAGGUAACCCUAGGCCCAUUUAGGUACCCUAGGCCCAUUUAGACACUUUAGGCCCACUUAGUUACCCUAGGCCCAUUAGGCAUCACUUUAGGCCCACUUAGAUCACCCUAGGCCCAUUUAGGUAACCCUAGGCCCAUUUAGGUACCCUAGGCCCAUUUAGGUACCCUUGGCCCAUUAGGCAUCACUUUAGGCCCACUUAGUUACCCUAGGCCCACUUAGAUCACUUUAGGCCCAUUUAGGCACCUUAGACCUACUUAAGCACCACCCUAAGCCCACUUAGGCACCCGAGGACGAUUUAGGCACUUUAGGCCCACUUAGGCACCUUAAGUCAAUUUAGGCACCAUAGGCCCUUUUAGGCACCUUAGGCCCAUUUAGGCACCCUAGGCCCAUUUAGGCACCUUAGGCCCAUUUAGAUAAUUUUUUGCAUGGGCAUGGUUUGCAUGGCUUGUAUGACUUGCAAGACUCGUUUUUGUAAAAUCACAUUGCUUGACUUUUUUUUACCUUUACAUUUUUGUUUAUUUUAUUUUAUUUAUUAUUUUGUAUAUUUCUUCAUUUAUUUUAUUUUCCUAUUAUUUUAUCACUUUUCCAAUAUACUUGUCUUUACUUAUUUAGUUUAAUUUAAUAAUUUUGUUUAAACGUUUUCAUUAUUAUUAUUAUUAUUAUUACUAUUACUUUAUUAACUUUGAAAUUUUGCAGGAAGUCCACCAAUAGAAAGUGAAGAUUGGAGUAGGUAGCUACCAUAUAGGUUCCAAGAGUAGACAUAUGGAAAAAAUGAAUGGAGCCAUGUUAUGGGGAAGAUUCAGCUUAUGUAUGAAAAAAGAAAUGAUGAGCAACAAAGAAGGUAAUGUAAUUUGUCUUUUGGAAAAAGAAUCACGUGAUAAUGGAAGGAGGAUUCAGUAGUGUUUUGGGUCAAAGCAUAUUUUAAAUGGAAAAGAAAAAGAGAUGAUAUAUUUUAGGAAGAAUUGAGGUGGCAUAUUGAAUAGACAGAUUGUAUUUUGCAAGAAAGAGAGUAGGGGGAAUUCAUGGAAGGAAAGAAAAGUCAACUCACAUGCAAAAGAGAGAGGAGGAUUUUUUAGAGAAGAGAGCUUGAAAAUAGAGGGAGACGUUUGAGGAGAAGAAAAAGAAAAAAGGAGAGUUCUGGAAGAAUUUGGAGGGAUUUUUUUAUUUUUUAAUGAGAUUCAAAAGAAAAUUGUAGACAAGAUCACGUUUUCGGGUGGAACUUCUAAAGGACGCAUAGGUUGAUUCGGGGACUCUUUGUGGUGAAGGAACACACGAGCCAGAUCGAAGAAGCAAACAUAACUAGACUGAGAAGAAAAAGUGACACAACCGUGAAAGAGGGUAGCUGCAAGCAAGGUCAGUGUUCUUUGACUUCGUUUUGUUGGAUUUAAAAUGCAAACGAAUGUGAAUAUAUGGUCAGUCCUGAUGUGAAUGAUGCUAUUGGCAUGUUUUUAUUUAUUUGUUAAAAAAAGGGAAUGAAAUCAUGGACUGUUAUAAUAGGAUUUAAUGUCUUUCGGUGAGUGUUUUGUUGGAUUUAAUGUAUUUAGAUGAGAUGUGUUAAUGAUUGUUUGAACAAAAUAUAAAUUAAGUUAGGAUUUUUAGUUUUUUUUUGGUUUUUGAAUUUAUUUUAUUUUAGUUAUCAUUAUUAUUAUUGCUAAUCUCAUGUUACUUUUUGUAGGCAUUUGUCUUGGAUGAUUCGGGAUGAUAGUUUAAAAAUUGGAUGUUUUAUUCGUUUUGGAUAAUUUUGUGAUGUUAAUGAAAAGUUGAAAUAUUCUGCAAGUUUGUUUUAAUUUUUAAUAAUUUGGAUAUCAAUGAAAAGUUAUAUUGUGCUUAUUUUUUUUUAGCCUUGGGAUAAUUCCUGAUGAUUGUUUGAAUAAAAUAUAAAUCAAGUUAGGAUUUUUAGUUUUUUUUGGUUUUUGAAUUUAUUUUGUUUAUUUUAUUUUAGUUAUCAUUAUUAUUAUUGCUAAUCUCAUGUUACUUUUUGUAGGCAUUUGUCUUGGAUGAUUCGGGAUGAUAGUUUAAAAAUUGGAUGUUUUAUUCGUUUUGGAUAAUUUUGUGAUGUUAAUGAAAAGUUGAAAUAUUCUGCAAGUUUGUUUUAAUUUUUAAUAAUUUGGAUAUCAAUGAAAAGUUAUAUUGUGCUUAUUUUUUUUUAGCCUUGGGAUAAUUCCUGAUGAUUGUUUGAAUAAAAUAUAAAUCAAGUUAGGAUUUUUAGUUUUUUUUGGUUUUUGAAUUUAUUUUGUUUAUUUUAUUUUAGUUAUCAUUAUUAUUAUUGCUAAUCUCAUGUUACUUUUUGUAGGCAUUUGUCUUGGAUGAUUCGGGAUGAUAAUUUAAAAAUUAGAUGUUUUAUUCGUUUUGGAUAAUUUUGUGAUGUUAAUGAAAAGUUGAAAUAUUUUGCAAGUUUUUUUUUUAGUUUUCAAUAAUUUGGAUAUUAAUGAAAAUUUAUAUUGUGCUUAAUUUUUUUAGUUUUGGGAUAAUUCCUGAUGAUGAUGAAAAAGUUUGAAUUUUUAAGUGUUUUGAUAAUUUUUAUGAUAGCUUUGUUCAAAAAUAAAAAAUAAAAAGUUGUAAUAAAAUAAAUUAUUUUAAACAUUUUUUUGGUCUCUUGGAUUAAAAUAUAAAAUAAUUGUUUAUCUUAUUAAAAAAAAAUUUAUUAUGUUUUAAAAAAAUAAUAAAUUUUUUUUUGUGCUUUCUAAAUAAAGAGUUGUGGAAAUCCUCCUCUUGUAAAUAAAAUAAAGUUUAAAAAAAAAUUAUUAAAGGAAAAUUUAAAUUAUAAAAGAUAUUCUUACAGAAAAAAAAAUCAUCAAAUAUAUUUUUUAUAAGGUUUUAUUAUUAUUACCAUUAUUAAUUAAUUAUUAUUAUUUUUUUUCUUUCUCUUUUUUUUUGUAAAUGAAUUUUUUGAAAGCAUUUUCUUUACAUGAAAUUAAAGUCUUUUUUUUUUAAAUAAAUUAAAACUUCCUUUUAUAAAAUUCAUUAAAACUAUUGAAUCAAUUAUUAUUAUUAUUAUUGUUAUUAUUAAUACUCAUAAAAUAUUUCCUUUAUAAAAGUGAUAACAUUUAUUUUCUUGUGAAUAAACUUUCUUUUAAAAAAUAUUUUUUUGCAUGGAAUUAAAGCCUUUUUUAUUUAAGUAAAUUGAAACUUCCUUUUGUAAGAUUAAUUAAAACUAUGGACUCAAUUAUUACUAUUAUUGUUAUUAUUAUACUCAUGAAAUAUUUCCUUUAUAAAAGUGAUAAUUACAUUUAUUUUCUUGUGAAUGAACUUUAAAAAAAAAAACAUUUUCUUUGCAUGGAAUUAAAGUCUUUUUAUUUAAAUAAAAAAAAUUAAAGCUUCUUUUUAUAAAUAAAAUUCAUUAAAACUAUGGAAUCAAUUAUUGUUAUUAUUAUUAUUAUUUUUAAUACUUAUGAAAUAUUUCCUUUAUAAAGCCUUCUUAUUUAAGUAAAUCAAAACUUCCUUUUAUAAAUACAAUUCAUUAAAACUAUCGAAUAAAUGUUUUUUUUAUACUCAUGAAUUUUAUUUAUUUAUUUAUUAUUUUUUAUUUUUUUAUUUUUUUUUACGAAAGUAAUAACAUUUAAUUCUAGGCUAUAUUUGUGUAUAUCAAUUAGGGAAUUAGUGAAACCCUUACAUCUUGCUAAAACUCAUCUUUACUGCCACCCUGCCACUUAUUGAAAUCAUAUUUAUUUUAUUUUAUUUUAUUUAUUUAUUUAUUAUUAUUAUUAUUUUUUUUAGAAAUUAUAUACAAGAUGUGUGCGAUAAUUAAUGGCUUCGUAUACUUUGAUUAUUUUUGCUUUGCUAAUUAGAUAACAAGAAUGAUAAGAUUUAUGUUGUUUAUUAUUUAUUAUCUAACCCCUUAAGACUUGAGGAAACAUGUUAUAAAUUAUCUAUGCUAUCCAGGUACGUCCCCUGUCAUCUACCUUCUAAAUUCUGUAAAUAUAAUUAUCAUUGUGAAUUAUACCUAUGUUUGAGAAUGCUUGGCAUGUUUUGAUAUUUGUUACAUCAUUUGAAUAUUCAUGAUAAAAUGCAUGCUGAGUGAUAUAUUGUCUAAACUAACAAUUGAUGUUUCAUGAUAGUGCUUAAGAAGUGGUUCAGGUAUGUACCCUAAAUCUUCUAUAUGAUUGUGGUUGAUUUUCUUGUUAACAUGUUAUUUUUUUUAAAAUCACCAAGCUUACUUAGGUAUCUAUAAUUAAUCGAUUAAUUGUCACAUUUCCCUCAACUUAGUUAGUAGAGACCUCUAUAGGGCUUAGAAGGGUGCUACCUUUUAAAGGUACUUUCCUGAUAGGUAACCUGAUCCCCCUACCUAGACUCGGGUUUUUCAAAGACAUGCUUUUCCAAAAAUUAUGGAGUCACAUUUUAGGGUUUUUCUUUCUUGUUUUAUUUUCCCUUUAAAAUAAAAAUAAAAUAAGUGGCGACUCCGACUUUUCUUAAAUCACUUUUCCAAAAUAAAAAGCGAGUCUCGCCGAUCGGGUGGGGGCGCACGUGAAAAAUGCGGGUCCACAAUGACACUAAUAGAGACAAAAAGAGGCUGAAUAGUCCGGGUAUGACACUAAAAAAACAUAAAAGAGGUUAGAUAGUCGAGGUAGUAGAAAACAUAAAAAAAGUCAGAUAAUUAGGGUGUGACACUAACAAAGACAUAAAAAAGUUAGACGAUUAGGGUGUUAUACUAAGAAAACAUAAGGAUGCCAAACAGUUAGGGUGUGACACUAAAAAAAACACAAAGAAGUUAUAUAGUCAAGGUUAACACUAAAAGAAACCUAAAAAGUCUGAAUGGUUGGGGCACAACACUAAAAAAAGAUAUUGAAAGAUCAGACAAUCGGAGCACAACAAUGGAGGAAGCAUAAGAAGGUCGAAUAGUUAGGGUACGACACUAAAAAAGACAUAGAAAGGCUAGACAGUCGAGGUGCAACAAUAGGAGAAGCAUAAGAAGGCUUGACAGUUUAGGCACAACACUAAGAAAGAAACAUAAAGAAGAUGGACAGUUAAAGUGCAACACUAAGAGGAGCAUAAAAAAGAGGUUGGAUAGUCAAGGUAUAAUACUAAAAAAAAAAAAACAUGAAAACCAGAUUGUUAGGGUGCGACAAUGGGAGAAGCAUACGAAGGUUGGAUAGUCAAGGCUUGACAUUAAAAAUGAUAUAGUUAGUGUAGACUCUCCAUUUUGUCCUCCUAGCACAUGUUCUAUUAGGUAUUUGUUCGAUACUUUAUAACAAUUCCCUGGUGGGCCAUUACUACUCGUGUAUCCUAUCUUUUCUAAGCCACCUUGGGGACUUUACUUGAGGGACUUAUCUAACCCCAUUGUGACUCUUGGCAGCCCUAUUUAGACUUAGGAUCAUUUAGGCACCUUCGGCCCAUUUAGGCACCUUAGGCCCAUUUAGGCACCCUAGGCCCAUUUAGGCACCCUAAGCUCAUUUAGCCACCCUAGGCCCAUUUAGGCACCCUAGGCCCAAUUAGGCACCCUAGGCCCAUUUAGGCACCCUAGGCCCACUUAGGCACCUUAGGCUCAUUUAGGCACCCUAGGCCCACUUAGACACCUUAGGCCCACUUAGGCACCUUAGGCCAAUUUAGGCACCCUAGGCCCACUUAGGCACCCUAGGCCCAUUUAGGCACCCUAGGCCCAUUUAGGUACCCUAGGCCCACUUGGGCACCCUAGGCUCACUUAGGCACCCUAAGCCCAUUUAGGCACUCAUUUAGCCACUCUAGGCCCACUUAGGCACCCUAGGCCCACUUAGGCAAUUGCAUGGAUGCAUGGUUUGCAUGGCUUACAUGGUUGCAUAGCUCGUAUGGCUUGCAUGUGCUUGAUUUUGUUUUUGUUUUUUAUCUUUCUCUAUUUAUUGGUUUUAUUCAUUUAUUUAUUUAUUUUUAGGAAAUCGCAUGAGCUUAAUAAUCAUAUUCGUUUUGUUUUUAUUUAUCUAUUCAUUAAUUUAUUUUGAUAGAAAGUUGCUUGAGUUAAUAAUUCAUUUUAGUUUUGCAUGUGAUCUAUAUUUUUAAUUUCGUUUAAAAUUGCAUAUUUUGGAUUUUUAAUUCUUAGUUACGCGUUUUUUUAUUUAUUAUUCUAACCCUUAGUUUUCUUUUAUUAGUAUUUUUAUUUUCCUUUUCCUUUGUUUUUAUUAUUUGUUUUGCAUGGGAUUCCACGUGCUGCAUAUGGGAAAGGAAAGGGAGCAUGCAUGGGAAAGAAAGGGAACACCAUUUUAGAAAAGAAAAUUGAAGCAGUCGGUGGAUUGGAGAGAGAGGAAGAGAGAAAAGGAAAGGCAAAGAAAAAAAAAAAAGAAAAUUGGAGAGAGAGGAAGAGAGAAAAGGGAAGACAAAGGAAAAAAAAAAAAGAAGAUUGGAGGGAAUGGAGGGUGAUUGGAAGAGAAGAAGGAAGACCUUUCCUGCUGUCUCUUCCAUCAUGGUGGCUGGAGAGGGGUCUGACAGAGGAUUGACAAAAGAUUAAAGAAAAAAAAAAGGAGAAAAGGAAAAAAGAAAAGAGGACGCACAAUUGAAGAGGACAGUGGCAUCAUUCUAGAGAGCGAGAGGGCUAAGGGGCGUGGCAGAAGGAUUUUUUUUUUUUUUUUGUGAGAUUCCAACUACUGUUCGGGGUGAAAUCAAUCUGUAUUUUGGAAGAAAUUCGGGCUGUUGUUCGGGGUGAAAUCAGUCCAUGUUUUGGAAGAGGUCAAGCUGCUGUUCAGGGUGAAAUAAGUCCGUAUUUUGGAAAAGAUUUGAGCUGCUGUUCGGGGUGAAAUCAGUUUGUAGUUUGGAAGAAAUUUGGAUUGCUGUUCGGGGUGAAAUCAGUCUAUGUUUUGGAAGAGAAUCAUGGUGGUUAGGCAUCAUAUGAUAGUUUCCUGCUUGGUCUUAAUGAUGACACGAAUUAAAUAUUUUUGCUUGGAGCAGCAGAUCAGAUUACUGGAAACUUGCUUGUUUGAAUAAGAAAUUCAAGUCAUUGAUUGGCAAUGGAUAUUUGUAUAAACUCAGACGCGAGCUUGGAGUUAUGGAACACGGGGUUUAUUCGGCCUGUAUUUUAAUGCCAUGGGAAGUUUUUGAUCCUGAAAGAAAUGGAUGAGGCUACCUAGAAUGCCAUCAUUGGAGGGAUCUUUCCUCCAAAGCACAGGUGGCAGAUUUUUGAGAGAUCAUGUGCACCAUUCAGCCAUAAAAAACACUACACAGCAUGCCCGGAAGAGGUACACAACCCGUGCACCAAAAUGGACAGCAGCAUCGCAUAGACAUCGACACAACCUGCACCAUUGGAUCCCAUCAUGGAGAAUGCCAAAGUGGUGGAAGCAAAAUAUGGAACCAUUUCUGUAGCUUCUGCAGACGCUGGCCAUCAGGAAGGUGUAUGGGAUAGAUAACACAUUUUAUUAAUAGAAACAGUUCAGGAAGCAUAUAUAUAAAAGGGAUAGGAUAUGAAGAAUGGCAAAAACGGUGUGGAUCAUGUGUUAAAAUGGAUCACUAUCUAUUCUUUCAGCAAAGGACAAUAAAGCAUGUGGAACAUGAAGAUCAGUGGUCAGCAUUUUAUUAUUAGGAAGACGUCAAAUAUGGAAGGUCUCCACCCGACAAUAUGCUGAGUACGGUUGGUUGGGAACUCACUAGCCUUAUCAAAUCGGAUUUGACUCGGAAACAGGCCUCAAAAGAUAGGAGCACAUCCAGACAAGCAUAUGGGUGGGUAUCUCUUGCUUCUGAUAUAGGGGAACCAGUAUUCCACAUCGCGGUUUGAAGCCUGAUCAGACCAGGAACAACACACACACACACACCUUCAGUUGGGUCUCUGCCAGACAACUUAGUGGUGCUCUGAGCUUACAUCUUGGUGCACAAUCUCCCCCUUCCUUGGUUUCUUUGAUCAGGAACUUUUCGUUUUGAAUUGAAUUCUCACAUCCAUUUUUUAACCGAAUUAAUUCCAACUUCAAAAGUCCAUCAUUAGACCUCUUUUCUAGACAAUAAAAUGUUGAGAUAUUAGGAAUGCUUUCUGUAUAUCAUUCUUUCCUUAUAUUAUUUAGUGUUGAGAUAUUAGGAAUGUUUAAAUAGUAGGAAAGUUGAGAUAUUAAGAAUAUUGAGAUAUUAGGAAUAUUGAGAUAUUAGGAAUGUUUAAAUAGUAGGAAAGUUGAGAUAUUAAGAAUAUUGAGAUAUUAGGAAUAUUGAGAUAUUAGGAAAGUUGAAAUAUUAGGAUAUUAGUUGUUAUUUCCUUAUAUCAUUCUUUCCUUGUAUCAUUCCUUCCCAUUCUUAGAAUGGUGAUUACCCUCUAUAUAUUCUCUGUACAUGAACGAAUGAAAGUAUGAAUGGAAAAGACUACCAUUUAUCAAUUUGAAGAUGGUAUCAGAGCCAUGGAACUGAAAUCCUGGAUAUUUUGUUGCUAUGGUAGUUCGACAGCGAUCAUCCAUCCUAAGACAAGCCCUAAUAUUGAUAAGUCAACCUUCAAAUGCACUCACUGCAAUAAGAUUGAUCCCACCAAUCUGGAUAUCCCACAAUUUCAAAGCAACGACUCUUGGUAUGACCAGGAAAACAAUGAGGAACUGAGGGUUUGAACCAUGGGCCUUUAGAUCAUGUUUAGGCUAUCAACACUUUGUUAUUAAUGAUAAUAAUCGUGAUCAACGGAAGAAGGAUUCCAAGAAAACCUCGAUUGCAACUGUUGCCGAAAUAAAAACAGAGGCUAAUGUUGCUGAGAAAGCCUCUACAUUGGUAGCCGCUACAGAUCAUGGUGGUAAGUUUUUAAAUACUUUUACACCUGUUAUUAAUAGUGCAUGGAUAAUUGAUUCUGGUGCUACAGAUCAUAUGACUUUUGAUUCUAGACAGGUUUCACCCCUUAGACCUUCCUCACAAAAAAUUGUUUCCACAGCCAAUGGUAACACAACCCGAGUCAUUGGGGAAGGAUCCUUAACUCUUACUGAUACUUUGAAUUUGGAUUCUAUUUUAGUGUUCCAUCUUUAGAUUAUAAUCUUUUGUCAGUUUCUCAAAUCACUACAGCCUUAUCUUGUAUUGUCAUUUUUUGGCCUGAAUUUUGUGUGAUUAAGGACAUCCAAACAAGACAGACGAUUGGUUGUGGUAUUAAGUGGGGAAAACUCUAUUACUUGGACUUGCAGUCAAAGGAUUCAAAUAAGUUGCAACAAACCUAGAUUGGCCAUUACAACAGUUCGAUGUGAAAAAUGCCUUUCUGCAUGGCGAGUUAUCUGAAGAAGUAUAUAUGGAUCUUCCACCAGGAUGCAUGGUGUCAGAAAAGCAAUGUCAGAAGGUGUGCAAAUUGAAGAAGUCAUUGUAUGGGUUGAAGCAAUCCCCGAGAGCAUGGUUUGAAAGGUUCACAAAGUCAAUGAGAGCUUUUGGCUAUCGUCAAAGUAAUUCAGAUCACACUUUGUUCCUGAAAAAGCAACAUGGUAAGAUUACCGCACUCAUCGUAUAUGUGGAUGACAUGGUAGUUACAGGAAAUGAUCCUGAAGAAAGAAAAGCUCUGCAAAAUUAUCUAUCUAGAGAAUUCGAAAUGAAAGAUCUAGGUCCUCUGAAAUACUUUCUUGGGAUUGAAGUUUCUCGAUCAAGUGAAGGAAUUUUUCUAUCUCAAAGAAAGUAUGCCUUAGAUCUUUUACAGGAGACUGGAAUGUCGGGAUGUCAACCUGUUAAUACACCAAUAAAAGAAGGUCUGAAAUUGUGUGUUGAGCCUAAUCAAGUAUCAACCGAUAAGGGAAGAUACCAGAGACUUGUGGGGAGAUUAAUGUACUUAGCUCAUACAAGACCAGAUCUUGCUUAUGCAUUGAGUGUAGUGAGUCAAUACAUGCAUAAUCCUGGAGAGCAACAUAUGAAUGUAGUUAUGCGUAUUUUGAGGUAUUUGAAGAAUGCUCCUGGGAAGGGAAUUUUGUUCGCUAAAAAUGUUAAUCAUCAGAGUAUAGAAGUAUAUACUGAUGCUGAUUGGGCCGGUGCAUUGGAUGAUAGGCGAUCUACAUCGGGUUACUUUACCUUUGUAGGUGGUAAUCUUGUGACAUGGAAAAGUAAGAAGCAGAAUGUCGUCGCUCGUUCAAGUGUAGAAGCAGAAUUUAGAGGUAUGGCUCUAGGACUUUGUGAGGCAUUAUGGCUAAGACUUCUCUUAUAGGAUUUAGGUUACCUAUCUAGGCAACUAAUCCGAUUGGUUUGUGACAAUAAAGCCGCAUGUGACAUUGCUCAUAAUCUAGUACAACAUGAUCGUACAAAGCAUGUCGAGAUGGAUAGAUUCUUCAUUAAGGAAAAGUUGGAUGAUAAGAUUGUGGAAUUGCCUAAGAUUCGAUCAGAAGAUCAAUUGACCGAUAUCCUCACCAAAGCUAUCUCAAGUCAAGUAUUCUCAAAAUUUUUAGACAAGUUGGGCAUGUGUGACAUCUAUGCACCAACUUGAGGGGGAGUGUUGAGAUAUUAGGAAUGCUUUUCGUAUAUCAUUCUUUCCUUAUAUUAUUUAGUGUUGAGAUAUUAGGAAUGUUUAAAUAGUAGGAAAUUUGAGAUAUUAAGAAUAUCGAGAUAUUAGGAAUAUUGAGAUAUUAGGAAAGUUGAGAUAUUAGGAUAUUAGUUGUUAUUUCCUUAUAUCAUUCUUUCCUUAUAUCAUUCCUUCCCAUUCUUAGGAUGGUGAUUACCCUCUAUAUAUUCUCUGUACAUGAACGAAUGAAAGUAUGAAUGGAAAAGACUACCAUUUAUCAAUUUGAAGAUAAAAUCCUUACUUUCAAUGAACUUUUCCUGCCAAAUUUCCUUUUGGCAUGCACCUUCCUAAUUUUCUCUAUUGUUUUUUUAACAAUUUUCUUGAUUUUCACUAUUUUCGAUAAGCCUAAAAAAACUUCAUGGUUCCAAAUAAUGGGGCUGAUUGAAUUAAUUUGUGCAAAAGCAACUGGGGAAUUGGUGAAACCCCUACAAAAAAAAAAUCAUUUUUUUUCAAAACUCUCUUGCUUCUAGUUUCCAUUCAACCACUGACCUUCUAGAUUUAAAAUUCGUUUAAGCAACUUUAGAAUAUUUUAAAAAAAUUUAUGAAACUUCUAUGACUUUUCUCACUUCUUGAACUUGAAAUUAAAGUUUCGUUUGAGUUAGAAAGCCAUUUUGGAAUAGAAGAUAUAAACGAGUAUUUAGGGGGGCUCCGUUUUCACCCAGUUCUGGACACCCGAGAUAUUUUUGCAAAAAUAAAAUAACAGAUGACCUUUUAAAUUUAAUUCAAUAUUUUUCCUCAAUUCUAGGAUUCUUGAAAUUGACCUUAGAUGCAUAAAAUAUUAAAAAAAUAUGCCUUUUUGUGGGAGAUAUGAUUUUUCAAAAUCAUUCUUACUAUGCAUGUUGGAUUCUAGGCAUCUGAUUAGCUUGAGUGUUUUAAAAAUAUUUUUGAGUACUAUCUGACCCUGGAUUUUUUUAUUUAUUUAUGUGAUAUAGGCACUUUGAAAUAUGAGUGUAAUUUUUUUUAAUGAUUUUAUGUGAUUAUUUAUUAUUUUUUAAAAAUUCAUUUAUGCAUGUCACUUUUUCUUAUCUAAUCUGGACUUUGUAGAACCCUUAGGUGUCUUUUCUGCAAUCUAUCCUUUGAAUGAGUGUUUGGCUUUUGACAUGUUGAUCUAGAUGUGUAGGGGUUGUUUCCUGAAAUUUUUCAUAAUUAAAUUCCACUCUAAGCCAUUUUGUAGAAAUUGUUUUGUGAUGCUUCCUUUUCUAACUGCAUGCUGAUGGUUUUAUACUUUACUUGAAAUUGUUAUUAUUUUUUAAGUCAUUUGAUUUAUCUUAGCUCAAUUUUGGCUUUGGUACUGUAUAUUGGACAUAAUAAAGUUGUGAUAUAUAUAUAUACUUGUCCUAACCACUCUAACCUUUUUUGAGGAAUCUUAUAAAUUAUGCAUGCUAUCUAGGUACAGUCUCUAUCACUCACUUUUCGGAAUUCCAUGAACAUGCAUAUUGAUAUGAGCCUUAUUUAUGCUUGAUGUGAUUCUUAGGUGCUUAGAUGUGUGCUUGAUUGCCUUAGUAUAUGUUCGAUUGCUUGAUAUGCCAUUAUUAAAACAAAUGUUGUGUGCUAUAUUUCUAUACUAACUUUGAUGUUUUAUGAAAGUGCUUGAGAAGCAGUUCAGGCACACACCCUAAAUCUUCUUUAUGAUUAUGAUUCGUUUUUCUUGUUUGACAUGCAAUUUUUGAAAUAACCUAACCUACUUAGGUAUCCAUGAUCAACCAAUUAAUUGCCAUGUUUCCCACAAUUUAGUCAGUAGAGACCUCUUUAGGGCUUAGAGGGGUGCUACCUUUUAGAGGUACCUUCCCAAUAGGUAACCUGAUCCUCGAACCGAGACUCUAGUUUUCAAAGACUUGCUUUUCCAAAAAUAUGGAGUCACUUCUUUGGGGUUUUCUUUCUUGUUUUAUUUCCCUUUUAAAAAAUAAAAUAAAAUAAGUGGCAACUCCGACUUUUUUCAAAAAUUAAAUUUUCACCAAAUAAAAAGCGAGUCUUAUCGAUCGAGUGAGAAUGCACAUGAAAAAUGUGGGUCCAUAGUAAGGAUAGACAAUUAGGGCACGACAAUGAGAGAAGCAUAAAAAGGUCAAACAAUCUAAGUAUGAGACGAAAAAGACAUAGAAAAGUUGAAUAGUCUAGACACGACACUAAAAAAAGACAUAAAGGGCCAAACAGUCGAGGUGUCUAUUAAAAAAGACAUAAAAAGGUUGGACAGUUAGAAUGUGACACUGAAAAAAGACAAAAAAAGUCCGAAAAUUGAAGCACAACAAUGAUAAAAGUAUAAGAAGAUCAGACAGGUAGGCCGUGACACUAAAUAAAUACAUAGAAAAGUUGGACAGUUGAAAGCACAAUGUAAGAACAUACAUGAAAGGUAAGACAAUCAAGGCAUAACUCUAAUAGGAGACAUAAAAAGGUCGAAUAGUUAUAACAUGACACUAACAAGAGACAUAAGACAGUCAUGAUGCAACUCUAAGAAAACAUAAAAGAGGUCAAAUGGUUAAGGCACAAUACUAAAAAAAAUAAAUAUAAAAAGGUUGAAUAGUUAUGGUGCAACUUUAACAAGAGACAUAAAAAGAGGUUGGGUAGUUAGGGCACGAUAUUAAGAAAACAUAAAAGAUGUUGGACAAUCAGGGCAUAACACUAAUAGAAAAACAUAAAAAGGCUGGACAAUUAGCUUACGGUACUAAUAGAGACACAAAAGGCUAAAUAGUCGGGUUUGACCCUAAUAGAAACUUAAAAAUGGGUCAAACUUUGAUAGUAAGGCACAAUCACGAUGACUGAAAAAGUGAUUAGGAUAAUACUCAAAAUGUAGCUCUUAGCUAAAUGAUGAUCUAAAGGUGUAGCUCGAGGCUAGAGAGUGAUCGAGAAAAUGAUUUAAUUGUAAAGCUCAAGGCUCAUCUAAAAUGAUAAAGAGAUGAUCUAACAAUAAAGCUUAGGUUGAUCGGUGAACAAGAUAGAUAAGAUAAGAGGAGAAAACUUAAAGAUACAUGAAGGUUCAAUCGAGGGCCAAAUAAUGACCUAAAAGUGUGGCUUGAGGUUGAUCUAGGGUGAAACAAAGAUGAACUAAUGGUGUGACUUAGGGUUCAAAUGAUGACUAAGAAAAUACCAAAGAUUGAAAGACAACUAACAUAAGACUAAAAAGGAAAAAGACAAAAUAUAUGAAAUGUUAUACAACAACCGACGUACUCUAGGAUACACUCGUCGACAAUAAGAUGAAAAUGUCUAAUCCUCAAUUAGAAAAGCUAAAUAGGACUAUGUGUCUUGGGACUAUGUUAUCAAAAUAAAACCAAAUGAUGAACAAAAACAAAGCUAACUAAAGCUCUAAGUCUAAAUAUGCACCAGGUCAUGUCAUGACAUGUAGACUAUCAAAUGAAAAACAUCACAAACAAUUGAAAAUUUGUUAAGGCUUGCCAUCAUUUAAGAUGUUAAAUUCAGUAUCCAAAAGGCACAUGAAAGUUUGAUUAGGGAACUCAUGAUUGGUCUACAUCCUCCUAUGAUCUGGAAGCAAAAUAAGUUUAUAUGUCAUGAUGGAAUGAGAUGAGUGGAUUGAAUACAAGAUAUAGGUGUGAAGAUAACAAAAUGGGAGUGUUUUGGUAUGAAAUAAAUAUAGGAGAGUAUCUAAAUCAGACCAAGUAUGGUGACAAAAUUGAAUCCAAGGCGUCAUCAUCUCUAUAACCCAUAAAAAACCUCAAUCAAGUGGCCAAAUUCCAAUGUUCUAGAAGAUCAAUAAGAUGGUCAUGCCCUAGUAUAAAUACUCCCUCAAAUGGCUAUGCCCUAAUAUAAAAGUCAUCAAAUCGAUAUUUCUCAACCAUCUCUCUGGCUGAACUUAUCUGUUGUACCAAAAUACUUAGCCUUUUUAUGUAGCAACUCUGGUAAAGAAAAACUAGAGAAAGAGUCACUACGACUUUUGUAGUACUCUGGGUAUCGUCCUCAAGGAUUGACUUAUGCAAAUUGUCAAUACUAGAAUAAAUGAAUUGCUUUUGUUUAAAUCCGAAAGUGAAAAUCAAUAUGUGAAUAAUGUGAAACUAAGUAAAAGAAGUUAAAUUAAAAAAAUGAAUAUUGAUUUUAAAUUCGAUUGAUUCAAGUUUGGGGUUUUCCACAAUCCAACCUAGGGUAUAGAAAUUAGAGAAAACAAGGGUCUUUUAAGUAAUAUGAUCUUAGGGUUUUGGGAUCCUUGGUCGCUCGUGAUCAAGUUGAGUUCUAUAACACAAAAUUGCAUCCAAAACCUAAUUUUUCCUUUUUAAAACAGAUUCUUAAAACCAAAAGAUGAAUGAGAUUGAUUACUAGUUUAAGAUUUGGAUUUUUAACCUUUCAUACUCCUUAUAGCUUUGUUUUAGGGCAAAUAAUGAUAGGGAAGACGAGGAUAACCAAUGAUCAAGAAUUACCAAGAAUCACUAGUAUCGGGUAAUAACGUACCGUAUCAUUCCCUAAACUAACUCACAAUGAUAGAAUAAAAAAUUGAUAAAUUGUCAUCCAACCAAUAAUUAAUCUCAUUAUUAUAAUAAUUUACCCAUUGUCCUUAUAGGUUUCCUAGCCCUUAGGUUUUCAUGCUUCAAGCCCCAAGUUGGCUCUUAGCCUCUCAUGGGGGUGAUGUCACAUUCACAAUCCAUAAUAGGGUAAAGAUCCAUAAUUUGAAUCAAAAGAAACUAAAAACAAUAUAUUUAAUAAAAAAAAACAAACAAACCAAAGUUCUCGUCUUCUUCCACCUUCAAUGUCAAACUCUCCGGAAAAAAAUCCAAGAUCCCUAAAACCUAGAAUUAAGAGAGUUUAUAUAAUAUCAUCAAUUACCUAACAUGUGGCACACUCUCAUUGGCCACUCAUUACAAAAUAAUUUCCUAAAAAUGAUUAAAAAAAUAAUAAAAUGGCGAUUUCUAGUCGUGUGGGGUCCACUUAGGGCAAAUGAAGUGCUCUAGAUGCAAUUCCCAAGGUAGAGGAGGCAAAACAUCAAAGUGGCAGCAGGUGAAUUCAAAAUUGGUGUCAUUUCGAAGUGGAUUUCAAAUUCAUAAGUUGGAUUUCGAAGUCAUUUCGAAAUGACCCUCCAGCUUGGUGCAGUUUUCUUCAAAUAGCCAUAACUUCUACAUUUAAGCUCUGAUUUGCACACCGUUUAAAGUGUUGGACUCCUAACUUCCUGAUCUUCGAAACGAUAUAUAGUAUGUAUAAAAUAGACUCCGGUAAGUGCUCUAAAUUUGUCCUCAAAUUCAGAAUAUAUACUGCCAUCAGAAUUUUGAGUUCUAAAUUUCCAUGCAGCUGAAUCUUACUUCAUGCCUCAUUUCCCAUGUUUUCUUGCCUUAUUUCUUACUCCAUAAUGGUCAUUUCUCAUCUUCCAAACUCAUGAUAUCCUCGUCUUGCCUUUCGUUAUGGUCCAUGAGUCUUGACUCACUUAUUUCCUCAUUUAGCCCUUUCUUGAUCUUUCAAAAUCUAAAGUGAUUCAACUUGCACCCUUUUCUUCCCUUGGACCUAAGAUAAGUCUCCAAAGUACAAAUUAAACUCAUGGUUAGGGCCUUAGCAUCGAUUUAGGUCAAGUUGGAUGAUUUGAAUGUCUUUUGGUGCACAAAUCAUAUCGAAUAUGUGUCAUUAGAGCACAUAUUUUGGCUCCAAUCACUCUCAUACUCCAAUAUGAAAAGAAUGUCUGAUCACCUCCAAGAGAAUGGUUAUGCCCUAAUGUAGGUAGUCAAACAAAGUGGUUAUGCUCAGUGUAAAUUGUCAUUUCAAAAAAUAAUCAAUCACCAACUGAGUGGGUUAUGCCCCAACAUGAAUAUAUCAAGUCAAAAUGGGUAAGACCCAAAUAAAUUAAUCAUCUUGAAAAUCAAGCACUAAUAUGAUGAGUAUGCCUUAGUAUAUAAGGUAACAUCUGAAAUGUUAAACCUCGAUGCAAGGUAAUCUCUAGAAUGGUUAUGUUGUAACAUACACAAUCUCAUCAAGAUAGAUCUCUACUCCUUAAAUUAUCUUCAUACAAUAAUGUGAAGGGAGUAUCAAAUCUCCUCCAGAAGACGAAUAUGCCCUAGUGCAGGGAAUCGAGCAUAAUGGCUAUGCCUUAGUAUAAAUUGUCAAAUAAAAAUCAAAAUCAAACUCCAUCCCAUAUCUCAAAAAUGGAUAUAUGUCGAUAUGAAUCCAAGUGACUCCUAAUCCAUCAUGCUUCAUGAGAGGGAAUGAAGGCAUGCCCUAGUAUAAGAUAUCAUCUCAAAAAAUAAUAAUUGAUGAGAGGGCUAUGCCCUAGUAUAAACUCUCUAAGGUGGCUACAUUCUAGUAUAAAUUGUCAAAUCAAAAUGAAACUCUAUCUUAGAUUUCAAAAAUGGAUAUAUGUCGAUAUGAAUCCAAGCAACUCCUAAUCCAUCAUGCUCCAUGAGAAGGAUUAAAGUGGCUAUGCCUUAGUAUAAGCUAUCAUUUUGAAAAUCAAUCAUCAAUGAGAGGGCUAUACACUAGUAUAAACUCUUUGAGGUGGCUAUGCCUUAGUGUAAAUUGUUAAAUCAAAAUCAAACUCUAUCCCAAAUCUAAAAAAUGGAUAUAUGUUGAUAUGAAUCCAAGUUACUCCUUAUCUAUCAUGCUCCAUGAGAAGAAGUGACUAUGCCUCAAUAUAAGCUAUUAUCUCAAAAAUUAAUCACCAAUAAGAGGGUUACGCCCUAGUAUAAAGUGCCUGAGAUGGCUAUGCCCUAGUGUAAAUUGUCUAAUCAAAAUCAAACUUUACCCAUAUCUCAAAAAUGGAUGUAUGUUGAUAUGAAUCCGAGUGACUCCUGAUCUAUCAUGCUCCAUCAGAGGAAAUGAAAUGACUAUGCUCUAGUAUAAGCUAUCAUAUCAACAAUCAAUAAUUGAUAAGAGGGUUAUGCAUUAGUGUAAACCCUCUCAUAGUUUCUCAUCCAUAAUGCUCCAAGUGAUCUCUAACCAAUCUCAAAUGCUGCCCACGUGUGAGCUCUCAAGCAUAAUGCAUGAUGUCAUGGUCUCAAGGUGGUAUUAAGAUCCGAGAUGUAAUGUAGGCUAAGGUAAUAAGGUUAAAGAAACAAAGGGAAACUAAGCUCAAUAAUCCUAAUGAUAUAAUCCCCAUGCCUUUGGCAUACACAGUGUAACAAAUAAAGAAACUCAAAGAUUAUAGACCUCACGGAUGCUCUAUGAUACAAAUAAUUAAAUGAAUGAAAAGAACACACUAUGAUACAUACGAUGAAUGAAUGAAAAGAAAAACAAACCCAAGAUAAAAACUACACAAAUACCAACCAUCCUCAUGAUUGAGUUAAAGAAAUGGAAAUGAUGAGGGUGAGACUCUAGAAUAGGCUCAAAGGAAUCAAAGGAAUAGUACAAUGGCUAGAAGUAAAACAGCUAAUGUCAAUCAAUGAUAACUCAAUAUAUAAGCAAAAAAGAACAUAACUAAGAUGAAAGAGAAUAAAACUCUAAAUAAAAAGUGUAAUUGAGUACAAGAAAAGCAAAGUGUCAUAGUUGGGGAUAAAACCUAUAACUCAAUCAUAACUUGAUGUAUUGAUGAGAUGGAUAUAUAUAAUGAAAUGAUCAAAACUAUCACACAAGCUGCCAACAAAGACUAACAUCAUAAUUUUUUUUUUUCUUUUUAACAAUAAUCAAACCAAUGAAUCAAGGUAAUCAUGUAUAUGGAUCCUAAAGUAACCUGUACAAAUCUCGAUAUAUCUAUAAGAAGGCUAACUCAUAUGUACAUAUAUGAACUCAUAAUGACGGAAUAAUGAACAAUAACUCAAAUGGGUACAAUAAGUAUUGAGAAGAGGUAUGGAUGAAAGAAUACAAAUGAUCAAGAUGAACAUAAUGAAUACAAAAAAUGAAUCAUUUGAGGAGCUCACAACCUAGGUGAUCCUAUCUAUAAGCAAAGAAGUGCCAAGAGGCCCUAACCCUAGGUAUAAGAAAUGAGGUAAGCCGAGUGAUGAAUCAAAAGGCUAAAUGUGCAUGACUCAAUUGACUAGCAAAUGUUAACUUUAUACAUAAAGGUGAUUAGAUAAAUAGGCUCAUGAAAUGAUGGCCGCCCAUCCUUUGGUAACAACAUCAAACAUCAUGCUCUUAAACUCUCACAUGGUCAACACUAAAGAUUGGUGUACAAUAUCAAAAUGUAGGCAUUCCAUCCCUUUGAAAUCAUGCAUAAAUAUCCCAUUCUUGAUGCUCUAUAACAACCUCAAGAUGUUUUUCUGGACCAUAGAAUAGUCAAUGAUCUCAUGAAAUUUACCACCUAGCUCAUUGUAAGCCACCCUUCUUGUAUCAUAAAAUCAACCUCAAGUACAAAGAACAAAUAAAUAGAUUGGAACAAUGUCCAUGUAGAUGAUGUUGUAGAAGCUAUGAUAAGAAAUGAUGUAAAGGUCAUGUGAUGGUGUCAAGGGGUAAAUGUUGUACAAGCCUUAAGAUAGAUAGGAUGUAAAGGUCAAGGUGUGAAUGAAAGUGGAUAAGGUACAACUUUAAUCACAAGACAAAUGAGCCACAAUCUUAAGCUCCUUAAGUCGAUCCUUUAGUCCAAGGUUAAUGGGCUGAGUAUCCUCUAUGAUGGGUUAGGCCCAAUAAUCAUGAUAUGCAAAUGAAUAAUGCAUCAUAUCGAAAGUCUAACAUGUGCACCAUAAGACAUAAAAAUAUAUUCCAUGAAAAAGGUCGAGUCUAAUGAUCAAUGUACAUCCAUAGUAGAAACAAAUACAAACAGGUCAAAACACUCUACAAGGAAUACAAACUUUAACUACACCACAAGACUAAUACAAACUCGAUAACCAAGACAACUAGCUUUGAUGCAACAAAAAUAAAUAGUCUCACCAACUUUGACAAAUGUCCCACCAUCUCACCUAGAAGAAGCGAGCUAGGUUCUUAAAACUCUAACUAACAUGACUCACCUAAGUAACUUAUCAAUGACCCAUGGAACACAAAACCCUAGACUUAGGUCGAAAAAUGUCAAAUAACAUAUCCCAGAAUGCUACACUUAAUUUACAACAACCUAAAACACUGACAAUACAUUUUAAAAAAGUAAAUCCUCUCUAUAUAUAACAUUUGAAGGUUGAAAAAAAUUCUAAGGGGAAGAAGACUAUACAAGAUCGGCGAAUGUAUAACCUAGAAGAUUGAGUAACCGAAUCUAACUAAUGAAGAGUAAAGAGGAUAAUACAACUAAUCUAUGCUAAUGGAACUCUAAUGUUUAUCCAAACUCGUUGUUAUCAAAUUCCAAUACAUGAAUAUACCUAUGUGUGGGUAGGUAUCCUAGGUCAAAGGAUCUAAUUCUCAUUCUAUAUGGUAUAGGUGGCUCUAAAAGGUAGGAUCAAAGGUACCUAGUAGGAGUAAUCGUACUCAUUGCUAGUACGUAACCUUCCAUGCAAAGUGGUCAUCACCUCUACACAUGCUUUUUCUCGACAUCCUAGGGUGGUUUCCAAAUGGUUAAGGUUUUCUACUAGUUAGCACAUGUUACCUCUCUUAACACACAUAUAGAACGAUCUAAAGUGUGUACUGUGUAGCAUAAGUGCAUCUAAACUAUCUUUUAAACUAAUGUAAAAAAGUAAACACACUAGUCACACGUAUAUCUUGAAUCAAGUUAUAGGUUAUAAGUCUUCAAUGAUCAAACUCCAAGUGGCGAUGAUGUUGUGACCUCCAUUGACAUGACGUUGAGUAUGCCGUGAUGCUCUCUAAGGCAUUAGGGUGUUGCAAUGAGAUAAGAGGAUGACAUGAAAAAAAAUGUAGGUUGAAAUGAUAAGGUAUGAUGAUGAGGCAAAGUGAGGAUGAUGGUAAGAAUGAGAUGAUAAAGCAAGAUGCUGAUAGGAUAAAAAUAAAGUGGUAAGGAUGAUAUGGCAACAUAAGAUGAUGUUAAGGCACUAGGGAUGUGGCAAAGUGAUGACAUGGUAAGAUAGGAUGAUGUGGCAAAGUGGGGUGAUAGUAGGGAUGAGGUGACUGAAUAGGAUUAUGAUAAAAUAAAAAUGAUGUGGUAAGGCUGAUGAUGUGGUAACCUACUUUAAGGCAACAAUCUCAAGACGCUGAUGAUGUCAUGACAAUGCUCUAGGUGCUCCCAAACAUGCAUAUAGCCCACAACUAGACCCUACUCUUAAUCACUAGCUUACCCGAGAAACAAACAAGGCAUCAAGUCUCAUUCACCAAAUACAAGAUCAAAAGAAGAAAAUUGACUUAGGCUAAGGAGUUUGAGAUAGAGGGAUAAACGUGUAUGCAGAAGAAUGGCAGUCAUGCAUUUCACAAUCUUGCAAAAUAUAUAUAUACAAACAUAAGCAGACAUAUACAAACACAUGUAAUAACAAAAAUCAAUGUACAGUAAGGCACGUGCAAUAUAUACAAAAUAAUCAUCAAGUCAACCUCUCCUAUGCCUUAAAAUAUGCAAGCAUACAACAAAGACACAAUGAGAGGGUAUCUACUAAUCAAUUAAUUCAACGUCACAUUUCCCUUCAACUCGAGUUCAAGUUUAACUCUCUAAACAUUUCUAGUAGAGUCACCAUUUUGUGGAGUUGUAUUUUUCAUGCGCGUCCCUACUCGACAAUGAGACUCGUUUUUAUAAUGGAAAAUUGUUUUUUUUUUCUUUGAAAAGUUGGAAUUGCUACUUAUUUUUGUUUAUUUUUAAAAGAGAAAACAAAAUAAGAAAUAAAGUCAUAAUGUGACUCCUUUUUUAAGGGAAAGACAUGUGUGGACCUUUAUUUUUCACAUGCAUCCCCACUUGACAAUGAAACUCGUUCUCUUAGUGAAAAAUUGAUUUUUAUAAAAUUAGAGUUGCCACUUAUUUUUAUUUAUUUUUAAAAGGGAAAACAAAAUAAGAAAUGAAACCCUAAAAAAUGACUCCUUAAUUUUGAAAAAAUGCAUCUUUGAAAAACCAAUCUAAGUAUGGAUCAAGGCUAGGUUACCUAUUGAAAAAAUACCAUAAAGGUAGCACACCUAUAAGUGCUAAAAAUAGGUCUUUAUUGACUAGGUUGAGGUAAGUACGACAAUUAAGGCCAAACAAAAUGUUAUUCAUAUUGAAACAGUCAAACCACAAAAAUCAAUCAUAUGAGAAAGAAAAUACCUGAAUUGCAACCUAAAGCACUUUCAUGAAAACAUCAAAGUUAGUUUGACAAAUAAUACAAAAUACAACAUGCAUUCUAUAUCAUACAAGGAAUCAAACACCAAUCAUAGCACAUAGCACAUAGCACAUAGCAAAGCAAUAUCAAAUAUGAAAAUGUUGACAAGCAAAACAUAUCUAUUUACAAAACCAAAGGGGCAUCCCUGGAUUGCAUAAAUAACUUACAAGGCAUUUCCAUAAAGCUAGAGGGUAGUUAGAACAAUUACAAUAAUAAAUAAUUGUGAUAGUGAAUCAUAAUACACAUGGUAUAUGCAUAGCUUAAAUGAAAUGACAAGAAUCCAAAGAAAUAUCAACAGUCACCUAGGACAUGCAUACACCUCAUUGUUAAGGAUAAACUAUGUACAAGAUAGCUUAAAAAUACCAAAAUUAGAGAAUAGGACAAAGCAUGUAGUAAAGGGUAGAAUAGUUGCAUUCACUCGAAAAACUCUAAACAGAUUUUCAGAAGUAUUAUUUUAUGAUUGGAAAAAAAAAUCAUAAAAUAUCCUCAUUAUGUCUAUAAUACAAUACUAAAGCGAAGAUCAAGUGAUAAUUAGUCAAUUAACUCCAAAUUAAAUAAUAAAUCAAACAUUAUAUAAAAAUUUUAGCAUGUAGACAAAUCCUAAAAACAAAUAUCCAGAAUGUGGAUUUAAUUACAAAAAUUUUUAGGGAACAUCUCCUACGUGUCUAGUUUAUCAUCAAACUAGCCAAACAAUAUAUUGAAGCCUUGGUUAAUUCCAAUUUACAAAAACAUAUCAAAAGGCUCAGAAUAUGAUAGAAUUUAAUAGAAUGCAUAAAUUGAUUUUUUUAGCCAACCUAAAAGUGCUAUAAAAUCAUAAGAAAAAUCAUGCAAUAUAUUCAAAAUAUCUAAUUUACAAGAAAAAUAAUAACAAGACAAGAAAGCAUACAGAUCAAUUUUAAAAACAUUCAAAGUACCUCUUUAUUCAAAAUUAGGAUAAUGCAGUGGGUAUAACAAAGGAAAAUUAUUUUUCCUAAUUAGAAAAACAUUUUUUAAUAUUGUAUGUGUAUAAAAUAAAUUUCAAGAAGUCUAUAAUCAAGAACAAAAUUUAGAAUAAUUUUUCAAAGUCAUUUAAUAAUUUAAAAAUACAAAAAACAAUUCGGGUAUCCAGAAAUUGGGCAAAAACUGAACCUACCAAAAGAUUAAUUCAUAAUUUCCAUUUGAAAUAUGAUUUUUGAUUCAAACAAACUUCUAAAAUCAAGUUCAUGAAGUUCACAAUAUCAUACGACCAUGGGAAAUUUUUUUAGGAGCAUCAUAAAUUAGCCAAAUCAAAUUUUUAUUCUAGAGAUGCAACAAAUCCAACAAGCUGACCAUAAAAGGUUUUUGAAAAAUAAUUUUAUGUAGGGGUUUCACUAAAUCCUCAUUUGAUAUACACAAAUCUUGCCUAUGGAUUCCCAACAUUGCAUGAGUAUGGACAAUCUCACCAAAGUUGAGAAUUAUCUCUUUCAUUUGGGAUCACAAGCUCGAAUUCAUAUUCUACUCAAAAUUAGAAUUUUUAUUGAAAAUAAAAGAAAGGUGUAAACCAAUUAAAGCAUGGUUGAAUAUUUUUUAAGAAAAGGAUUUUUUUUUACCCUAAGGAUUAUAGAAGGAGUUUUUGAAAAUUAAACCACAAAACACAAGGAUAAAAAACCAAGCAAAACAAGAAAAAAUAAAAUCAUAAAGUAAUAUUUUUCUAGCAACCAAGCAAACUAGGUGAGAGUAGAGGCUAAACUUCAUGAGUUUCCAAAGGCCCCAGAAAAAAAUCAAAUUAAAUGAACGAUCACUAAAGCAACAAGCAAAACAUUAUAGAUUAGACAAACUAACAAGGUAUCGAUUCAUGAACUAACCCCUAGGAUUUUAAAAGCAUAUAAACUAAGAUAAGGAUGAUCAGGAACUAACAUUACUGAUUUUAAAACAAAAACUAAAAAAAAAAAAAGGGAUCAAUUCAGCUAAGGAACUAAAAUUAUAGAAGUACCUAAACUAAUUAAAAUGAGUUUGACUAAAUUAAACUAAAAACAUGAACUUUCAAACAUAGAAUUAAUUUUACUAAUGAACUAAAAUUAUAAAAGUGCUUAAACUAAUUAAAAUGAGCCAAACUAAAUCAAAGCAAACUAAAAAUAUGUACUUUCAAGCAUAGAAUUAAUUUUAUUAAUGAACCAAAAAUUAUAAAAGUGUCUAAACUAAAUAGAUGAAUUAAAUUAAAUCAAAGUACAUUAAAAACAUGAACUUUCAAACAUGGAAUCAAUUUUAUUAAUAAGCUAAAAUUAUAAAGGUAUAUAAACUAAAUAGAUGAAUUAAAUUAAAUUAGAGUAAACUAAAAACAUGAACUUUCAAACAUGAAAUCACUUUUAUUAAUGAACUAAAACUAUAAAAGUACAUAAACUAAUUAAAAUGCACCAAAUUUAAUCAAAGCAAACUAAAAACAUGAACUUCCAAACAUAGGAUGAAUUUUAUUAAUGAACUAAAAUGAUAGAAGUACCUAAACUAAAUAAAUGAAUUAAAUUAAAUCAAAGUAAACUAAAAACAUGAACUUCCAAACAUGGGAUCAAUUUUAUUAAUGAACUAAAACUAUAAAAAUACCUAAACUAAUGAAAAUAAACCAUUAAAUCAAAGCAAACUAAAAAACUGAAACUUUCAAACAUGAGAUCAAUUUUAUUAAUGAACUAAAACUAUAAAAAUAUCUAAACUAACUAAAAUGAACCAAAUUAAAUUAAAGUAAAGUAAAAACACAAACUUUCAAACAUAGAAUCAAUUUUAUCGAUGAACUAAAACUAUAAAUGUAUUUGAACUAAAUAGAUGAAUUAAACUAAAUCAAAGUAAACUAAAGACAUGAACUUUCAAACAUAGAAUCAAUUUUAUUAAUGAACUAAAACUAUAAAAGUAUCUAAACUAAUUAAAAUGAACCAAAUUAAAUCAAAGCAAACUAAAAACAUGAACUUUCAAAUAUGAGAUUGAUUUUAUUAAUGAACUAAAAUUAUAGAAGUACCCGAACUAAUUAAAAUGAGUCAAACUAAAUCAAACCAAACUAAAAACAUGAACUUUUAAACAUAGAAUCAAUUUUAUUAAUGAACCAAAAAUUAUAAAAGUGUCUAAACUUAAUAGAUGAAUUAAAGUAAAUCAAACUAAACUAAAAACAUGAACUUUCAAACAUGAGAUCAAUUUUAUUAAAGAACUAAAACUAUAAAAGUAUUUAAACUAAAUAGAUGAAUUAAAUUAAAUAAAAUUAAAAUAGAAACAUGAACUUUCAAAUAUAUAAUCAAUUUUAUUAAUGAACUAAAACUAUAAGGGUACCUAAACUAACUAAAAUGAACCAAAUUAAACUAAAGCAAACUAAAAACAUGAACUUUCAAACAUGGGACCAAUUUUAUUAAUGAACUGAAAUUAGAAAGGUACCUAAACUAAUUAAAAUGAACCAAGUUAAGUUCAAAAAAAUUGAAAAACAUGAAUUUGAUUAGACGAGAUCAAUUGAACUUGUAAACUAGAAUUCGUGAAACACCCAAACUAUAUAGGAUGACUCAAAACUAAGAUUAACAAUUGUAACUUUCAAUCGAAUGGAAUCAAAACAAAUAUAAAGAAAAUUAACUUACAAACCAAAAAUUAAGAAUCGAAAAAAAAAAAAAAAAAAAAAAGAAAAGCUGACUUACUUUCUCCAAAUGGUGUGCGUGGGCUGCCCAUGGUAAAUCUUGAAGUAGCAGCCUGCUACUUCUUCUCCAAUAUGUGUAGCUAUGUGUGGGGCUGUGGAUGAGCCACUAAUAUUCAUGGUAGCAAGUGAUCCUCCAUGUGGAUGUGUCCCUCUCUGAUCGGCAAUGUGUGAAGACCCUUCUUUCAUUCGGAUGCAAUGUGUGUUGUAUGGAGAGAAUCCCUUCCAUAAGGAACACAGGGUUGUUUACUCUCCUUCAAUGGCAGACUGUGCAUUCUCCUCUCCAUGGAGCCAUGUGGUGAUUUUAUUCUUUUCUCCAAAGCGAACUCCAUUGUCAAAGUGGUCCUAUAGACCCUCCAUUUUGUCCUCCUAGCACAUGUCCUAUUAGGUAUUUGUUCCGUAUUUUACAGCAAUUCCCUAGUGGCCCAUUACUAUUUGUGUAGCCUAUAUUUUCUAAGCCACCUUAGGGACUUUAGUUGAGGGAUUUACCUAACCCCAUUAUGACUAUUUGGCAGCCUUAUUUAGACCAUAGGCUUGCUUAUACACUAUAGGUCCACUUAAGCACCCUAGGCCCAUUUAGAUACACUUGGCCCACUUAGGCACCACCUUAUUAUCACUUAGGCACCUUAGGCCCACUUAGGUCCACUUAGGCACCAUAGGCCCACUUAUGCACCAUAGGCCCACUUAGUCACCUUAGGCUCACUUAGGCACCUUAGUCCCAUUUAAGCACACUUGGGCCAUUAGGCAUCACUUUAGGCUCACUUAGGCACCCUAGGCCCAUUUAGAUACACUUGGCCCACUUAGGCACCACCUUAGGAUCACUUAGGCACCCUAGGCCCAUUUAGGCACCCUAGGCCUGUUUAGAUACACUUGGCCCACAUAGGCACCCACUUAGGAUCACUCAGGCACCUUAGGCUCACUUAGGAACCUUAGGCCCAUUUAGGGACCCUAGGCCCAUUUAGACACACUUGGCCCAUUAGGCACCACCCUAGGCCCACUUAGGCAUCCUAGGCCCAUUUAGGCACCUUAGGCCCAUUUAGAUCAUUUUUUUGCAUGAAUGCAUGGUUUGUAUGGCUUGCAUGUACUUGAUUUUUUUUAUCACUCUGUAUUUAUUAGUUUUAUUCAUUUAUUUACUUAUUUUUUAGAAAAUUGUAUGAGCUUAACAAUCAUAUUCAUUUCAUUUUACUUAUCUAUUUAUUUAUUUAUUUAUUUUGAUAGAGAGUUGCUUGAGUUGAUAAUUCAUUUUAGUUUUGCAUGUGAUCUAUAAUUUUAAUUUCUUUUAAAAUUACAUAUUUUGGAUUUUUAAUUCUUAGUUACAUGUUUUUUUUUUUUUUUUAUUGUUCUAACCCUUAGUUUUCUUUAUUUUUAUUUUAUUUUUUGUUUUGCAUGGAUCCCACAUGCUCCAUAAAAGAAAGUGAGAGAAAGACACCAUUAGAGAAAGAAAAUUGAGACAGCCGGUGAUUGAAGAGAGAGUAAGAGAGAAAAAGAAAGACACUAUUAAAGGGAAAUAAUUGGAAGGGAUUGGGAGUGAUCCAAAAGUGGAAGAAGGACUUUUUUCUGCUAUUUCUUCCAUUUUCAGUACGUGGAGAGAUCUGACUGAUUACUGAGAAAGGAUUGAGGGUGAUCCGAAAAUGAAAGAAGGAUUUUUUUGGCUUUUUUUUUUCCAUCAUCGUGGCUGGAAAGAGAUCUCUAGAGGUGAGAAAUGUCUAAGAGGGAAAAGAAAAUGAGAGUGUGAUGUCCCACAUCGGAUAGGGGAGAAUGUUCCUGGUGCUAUAUAUGUAGAGACUCCUCUUAACCAAGUAGACGCGUUUUAAAGCUGUGAGGGCCCCCUUGGGUCCAAAGUGGACAAUAUCUACAUGGUUAGGUGCGGGUCGUUACAAAUGGUAUCAGAGCCGAUCCCCGACCCUGGUGUGGGGGUUUGUUUGGCUUUAUCUGUUUGGCCCCGCAAUCCCAUGGGACACAACGAGGACGUUGGGUCUGCAUGGGGGGGCGGUGGGUGUGUUUGUGAUGUCCCACAUCGGAUAGGGGAGAAUGUUUCUAGUGCUAUAUAUGUAGAGACUCCUCUUAACCAAGUAGACGCAUUUUAAAGCCGUGAGGGCCCUAUUGGACCAAAAGCGGACAAUAUCUACAUGGUUGGGUGCGGGUCGUUACAAAGAGAACCAUUGAGAAGCAAGAAGAACAGCAACACCCUUGAGGGAUUUUUCCAGAACAACUGCACCAAGUGAAGGAAGGGGAAAUGUGAUCUGGAGAAGCCGCACCAAGUGAAGGAAAGAGAAAAGUGAUUUGGAGAAGCCGCACUGUUGAAGGAAGGAUUUUUAGCCACUCAAGAAAGAGAGGGUGCGAGGGUCAUUGGGGAACCCGAUCCACAUACACACAACCUCUUAUAUUUUUGGAGAACGAUGGUUGAAUUCGGAGUCAGGAUUUGGCAUAGGGGACAACAACUGCAGUAGCGUACUUGCAUGGUGGUAUACGCUAAGAGAAUUUGAAGUGUCAGUGAACAGUUUGGGUAGAAGGAGAUCACAGUUGGAAGAAGGAGAAUAGGACGCCGUCUCUAAGAACACCACCACCAGAUUUUGUAAAUGACCCAUCUGUUAGAACAUUCCGCAUAGAUCUCAUAACACCAUCUGUCCUAAACACCACAACAGACGUCCGCCAAUUGAGCCUCCACAGGUGGCACUUCUUAGCACCCUGCAUAGAGAAGGUUCAUGCACAUAACCUGAACGUUUAAGCAAUCCACGACCCAUGCCACUGCUCGAAAAAGGUAAGUUGGAACUUUGGUUUAUUACAUAAAAAAAAUGUGUUGAUCGUCAUUGGGUUGAGGCUUCGAUUUAUUGUGUCAUUUUGAUAGAGUUUGGCUUACUUAGUUUCAGUUUCGAAUUUGUUAGAUUAAAUUAAAGAGGUUUGAGUUUAGAUUGGAAAAGUUUGGGUUUAGUUUAGUUUUAGUUUUGGCCCUAUUCAUGUACAUGUGUUCUUUUAGAAUAUUGAUAAAUUUUAUUUUGGGUGCUUCCGUUCAAUUCUUAAGAUUUUCAGAAUUUUAAAUUUUCAUUUUGGUAAAAUCCUUGUCAUGUCGUCAAAUUGAUAAAUUGUUGGUCUAUUGGUUCCUAUUAAUUACUAAAUUAUAAUCAUUGGGUUUAGAUAAAAUCCAUACCAUGUUCUCAAUUGUUUUUUUUCUUUUUUUGUUAGUUCUGAUAAUUUUAUUCAAUCCCUGAGUUUCAGAUUAUUCUGUUUUGAAUUUAAUCCACACAAUUACCUCAGUUGUUAAUGUUCUUAAUUGGUCUCAUGUUUUUAAUAUCUUAUGUUCUUAUUUUUUUCUAAAUUCAAGUGAUGUCGUUAGGAUUAAUUUAUUAGUUUGAUUGAUUCUUGCCAAUUGUUAAAGUUGUCUAUAAUUUUAAUUUUAGCCAAAAAUCCAUAAUUGUUAAGUUAUUUAGAAAUUUUUCUUUAGUUAAAAUCUAGACCUGUUCUAAGUUAUCAAGUUGCUAGUUUGAUCUACCUUGCUAAUUAUUCAUUGUUUAGACUUUCAGUUUUUGUUAAAUCCUUGCAUGUUCAAGUUGAUAAUUUUAUUUAGUUUGAUUGGUUCUUAUUUAAUUCCUUACUUUCCAAAUUUUAAUACAUAAUUGUUGAUUGAAUUGUUAGUUCUUUAUCUUUGACACUUAUAUUAUAAGCACCUUAGAGAAUUCUUGAGCUUGAACUUUCUUUUAGAAAAGGUUUUUCUUAUCAAAUUGACAUUUUGAGUUGAGUCAAAUUUUCUUUUUUUCAAAAAUGAAUUUUUGCAUCAUAAGUUUGGCUCCUUGAUCCCAAAUGAAAGGUAGCCAAAAAAGGGGAUCCAAUCUAGUUUUUCUCUUAUUUUCAAAACCCUCUUAAGUUAAAAAUCAAGAAUCUCUAUUUUGUGUCUAUUGAUUGGGAUUUAACAAAUCGUUGGGUGUUUCUUUUAAUUCCCUUAAAACCAUUUUCAAAAGAAUUUAAAUCACUAAUAAAACGUUUUAGAAAACAUUCAUUCUAGCUUUAGGCAAAGAACACACUUUCUAUUAAAAUUAUGCAAAAAAAAAAAAAAUCAUUUAAGUUGCAUUUCCCUUUUGUUGGUUUUUCAAAAAUUUGAUUUUUAUUUACAUAGGUUUGGACUUGUGCUCCCAAACUAAUGGGAAUACAUAGCUAAACCUUACGGAAAUUGAAUGGGGACUCGAUGGAACCCUUACAUAAGAAAAUUUUUCAAAACUCUUCCUUGUUGCCAGUUUUCACUCAACCACUGACCAUUUAGGGUCAAAAUUCAUUACAACAACUUCAAAAUGCUUUUAAAAAAAAAUUCAAAACUUGUAUGAUUUUCCUCACUUCUUAAACUUGAAUUUAAAGUUUCAUUUGAGUUAGAGAACCAUUUUGGAAUAGAAUAUAUAAACGAGUCUUUAGGGGGGCUCCAUUUUCACCUAAUUUUGGACAUCCGAGACAUUUUUGAAAAAAAAUAAAAUACCAAAAGAGUUUUUAAUUUUGAUUCAAUAUUUUUACUCAAUUCUAGGCUUCUUGAAAUUUAUAUUAGACACAUAAAAUAUUAAAAAAUAUGACUUUUUGAGGGGGAUAUGAUUUCUCAAACUAAUACCUACCGUGCAUGAUGGAAUCUGGACAUCUGAUUGAUUGGAGCAUUUUAAAAAUAUUUUUGAGUACUACCCGACCCUGAAUUAUUUUCUUUGUGAUAUAGACACAUUGAACAAUAUAUGGGAAUUUUUGUACGAAUUUAUGUGAUGUCUUAUUAUUUUUAAAAAAUUCAUUUAUGCAUGUCACUAUUUUUUUACCUAAUCCUGACCUUCUGGAACUUUUGGAUGUCUUUGUUGCAAUUUGUCAUUUGAAUGAGUGUUUGAAUUUUGGUAUCUUGUUCUAGAAUGUAGGAGUUGCUUCCUGAAAUUUUUUGUGAUUAAAUUCCACUCCAAGACAUUUUUUUAGCAAUUGUUUUGUGAUGCUCCCUUUGCUAUAUGCAUGCUAUUAUAGGGGCAGUUGUGUAUGCCAAGGGAUCUUCUUUAAUUUGAGCAUUCAAAUCUCAUGUAAAAUUAAAAUAAAGUUUAAAAUUAGAAAAAGUCAUGAAUUUGAAAAUUAAAACGUAUUAAAAUUAUGCAAUUAAAAAUUAAAGAUCAAUCAUAUGCAUAUCUAAGUUCAAGCAUCAAUUCAACUAAUUAAAAGUCAUAACAUUAGUUUCAUAUAAAUUUUCUAAAAUAAAUAAAUUUAAAAAAAGAAAAAAAAAAUUAAACACAUGCAGUCAAAAUCCAAAUAUUAAUCUUUAUGCAAUAGAUAAUAAGAAAAUUGACAUGUCGGACUCACACAAAUAAAGAUUGUUACUCAUGAACUCAACUAAACCUAAAACUUAGCAAUCAUACUCAAGAAAACCAACCUAAGUGAACUAAUCAUAGUGAAGUGUCUAAGUGAUCCUAUCCUAGAAAAAAUCUAAGUGACCCUAGCUAAAAAAAAAAAUCUAAGUGAAGUCUAACCUAAAAACUAACUCGAAAAGCUACCAAAGUCACUGUAGACCCUCUAUUUUGUCUUCUUAGCACAUUCUAUCAAGGAUUACCUUCCUACAUCCUUUUUCCUCUCGUUGUACACUUAUAUCCUCUUCUAAGUCGUGUUUUUAAGUUGUCAUUAGUGGUCUAUUGUGACUUUUUCGAUCAUUGUCUUUGGACUCUCUUUGGAGACAUCUUGGAAGACUUUUAGAGAUCUAGUGUUUUUUUCAAUGACCUCAAAUUCUAAGAUUUUGUUGAUUUUUCGAUCAAUGUUUUUAUUCAUUAUUUUUUUUAGUGCAUGAUUAAUUUUCGAUAUUUUGAAUUUUUGUGGCAUGAUUAAUUAUUAAUUUUUAGUAUGAGAAUUGAUUUUGAUUUUAUUACAUGAUCGAUUUUGAUUCUUACGUGAUUGAUAUUUUUUAUUUUUUAGGUAUGCAUGUGAUUGACUUUUUAAUUUUUGACUUCAUGAAAUUUAUUUUUAAUUUUUGUGGGCAUGAGAUUGAUUUUUGUUUUUUUAAUUGCAUGAUUUUGAUUUAAAAAUUUUUUUUUUUGGUUGUAUGAGAUUGAUUUUUAGUUUUGAAUUGCAUGUGAAUUAACCUUGAUUUAUUUUUACAUGUGAUUAGCUUUAACUUUUAAUUUAUUUUUUAUUGUGUGAUCUACAUUUUGAUCAUUGGUGCAUUUUUUUUAUUUUUUUAUUUUUAUUUUAUGUGAGAUUAUGUGAGCUUGAAGACAACUUAAAGGAAUAUAUUUUUGGAAAAUUGAAAGAUUUUGAUAUUUUUGGAGGGAAGGUGGAAGAGUUGUCUAGAAGUCUUUUUGAAUUUCUGAGGAAAAAUUGAAAGGGAAAAGAGAAGAUUCUAGGGGAGACUUUAGAUUAUAUUGAUUUAAGAUUCUAGAAGGAAAAUUGGUAUUUAGAUUUAAGAACUUUUGAUUGAUUAUAUUGAUUAUCAAUUAUUUGAUUCCAAGUGUUUUUUCUUUUUCUUUUUUCUUUUUUUUUUUAGUUGUUUGAUGGUAGUUUAAUAUUUCUUUGAUUUUUUUAGUUGUUAGUUUUGAUAAUCUCAUGCUAGUUAUUUUUUCAAAAAUCUUUAGAUGUUAGUUUUGUUGAUUUUGAUGUUAAUGUAUUAUUUCUUUCAAUCCUUAGUUGUUAGUUUUAAUAAUUUCAUGUUAGUCAUUUUUAAAAAAAUCUUUAGAUGUUAAUUUUGUUGAUCUUGAUGUUAAUUCAUUAUUUCUUUGAAUUUUUAGUUGUUAGUUUCGAUGAUUUCAUGCUAGUUUUUUUUUUUUUUUUUGAAAAAACAUCUUUAGAUAUUAAUUUUGAUGAUCUUGAUUGUUAGUUUGAAUAUUUUUUAUGAUAAGUUGUUUGCUAUUAUUUUAUAAAUUAUGAUAAUUAUAUGAAAUUGAUAUGUUUUUAUUUUUGACUUAUGCCUUUUAAGAUUAGAGUUCAACUUAUUCUUUGUGGGGUUAUUCUCACUCAAGUAAGACCCCUUGAUCAUACAUGAUAGGUGGCCUAUGAUUAUUUAACUUGCCUUUUCCUUGCUUUUGGAUUGUUUUGUAGAUGUUUGUUGGUAGUGAUUAUAGAUGUCAUGUUGUAUGUCACCCUACUUUUCUUGGAGUUGUUGUUGGUUGAUGUCUUUUAUGUAUUUUUGCCCAGGGAAAAUUAAUUUUUCAAAACAUUUUUAAAAGGAAAUUCAAUUCUUAAACUUUUCUUGAAGAAAAAUCAUCUUAGGUGUUUAGGAUUAAAAAAAUCUCUUGAAAAGAAAAGAAAAUGCAACCAAUGUCAAUUGGUAUGCAUUUUUUGGUUAUUUAUUUAUUUAUUUUAAAUAAAUUUUAUUUUUGACACAUGAAUCCAAAUAGACAUGGAAUAAUUCUUGACUUUGAUGAACUCAUUAAUUAAUGUUCAUAUGAGGUUGAGGAUACAUGAAUAAAAUUCAUGUAUAGUGAAUAGGGACUUGGUGAAAGCCCUAUAUUUUUCUUCAAUUUUCAAGAACUUAAUUAAUGCUACAUUUUAAUAAUUUCUUACCUUUGAUUUGGAAAAUAGGAAACAAAUGACUAAGGUUAUUUAUUUAUUUGUGCUUGAAACAUGUUCCUAACUUCUUAAAUUUGACAAUUGAAUUUUGUUUUGACCAAAAAUCAUUUUUUAAAUAGGAGAACCAAGUUGGUUUUUACAUAGGUCCCAUUCUUGCCCCAUUUUGGAUAACUAAACUAAUUUUGUAUAAAUAAAUUACUUUUCAAUUUCUUUAAUUUUAAUUGAUAUUUUUUUCCUUUAAUCUACACUUCUUGAACUUAAGUUUAGACACAUGUUUUGUUAAAAAUUGAUUCCUAAGUAGGAGCAAAAAAAUUUCUUUUUGGCACCUACUGCACUGGCUCUGUUAUGUCGUCAAGGACUGUUUGGUUCAAUUUAAAAUUCUUCCUUGUGUUUUUUAAUUAUGCUAUUUUGUUUUUCUUGAAAAUUAGACAUUGAAAUGAAUUAUGUAAAUUUUGGUAAGAUUUUAUCAUGCUUUUAAAUAGUUUAAUAAAAUUUGCCUUUAUACACUAUUGAAAACUACCUUGUGUUGUGGCCAAUGUGUUUUUGAAUUAAUCUAGUAUUAGUUGGGAUAUGAUUUGGGAAAUUAGCCAAUUGGGUUUUGUUCUAGAAUUAGUGGGUAUUUGGUAAAUCAACUUAAUAAUUUAAAGUACCUUAAUAACUUAAUUUAAGUCAUUAAGUAAAUUCAACAUGUUUGGUAAAAUGACUUAAUAUAACAACUUAAAGUUUAAAACAACUUUAAGUAAUAAGUUAAAAUUGAUGAAUUUUUAAACAACAUAGGAUCACAUGUAAACAUUAAAGCAUGCAUAAAACGGGAAUAAACAAAACGCUCACCUUGAUUAAUGUCGUGGAAAGCCAUUUUUGUUCUCCACUGUCUCCAAGACGAAGCUCAGUCUAUGAUGGUAUGUGAAUCCGGGUUCAAUGAGCUCUUCCCUUUCCUACACCCAAGAUUCAGUCCAAGUGUGUUAUGCGUGCCCUCUCUAGCCAAAGAAGAAGAAGAUAGAGAGAUGGAACGAGAGAAAGAGAGCUAUCUCUAUGCACUUAUAUAUAUAUAUAUAUCACGCAUUACACACAUUAUUUGGACCACUUGACUUAAUGGGCCAGUCAAAUAAAUUAGGGUGAACCCAUAAAAAAUCAAGCAACAAUAUGCGUCUAGCCCCAUUAUGGACCACAAUGAAAAAAAUAAAAUAACAUUGAUUUAGGGCAUUAUCACAUUGAUUAUGUAAGUCCACACAUAAAAAAUUCCAACAAUUCUCCCACUUGGACUACAUAAUCAAACAUCACAACAUAUACAUAAUCAUAAAUCAAUGUCCCAUACAAUCUCAUUUAAACAAAUAAUCAAAAGCAAUCAUACAUGCUUUAUUGUUUGAUUCACAAGGAAAAAUAUACAAUAAUAGCAAUCCUUCCAACAAUAGCAUAAUAUUACAAUACCAAAAAUGGCUCCCACUAACUUAAUGCAACCUAGGCUUCCAACAACCCCAUUUGAGAUACAUGUUCAUGAAAAACAACUAUGGGUAAGCCUUUUGUUAGUGGAUCCGCCAACAUACCUUUUGUGGACAUGUGCUCAAUAUCAAUAAGAGACUCUGCCACUUUCUCUUUAACAAAAUAGAACUUUACAUCAAUAUGCUUGGAGCAAGAAAUACUCCUAGUGUUCUUAGAGAAAGCAACAGUUGCGGAAUUAUCAUAAAAUAAUUUCAGUGGUCUAGAAAUGGAGUCAACUACUCCCAAAGUUGAAAAAAAAAUCCGCAUCCAUAUAGCAUGACAACAACCCUCAUAACAUGCCACAUGCUCUGCCUCCAUGGUUGAGGAUGCUAUAAGUGUUUGCUUGACACUUUUCCAAGAUACAACUCCUCCUACCAUCAUAAAAAUAUAGCCCGUAGUGGAUUUCUUAUCAUCUAUGCAGCCAGUAAAAUUAGCAUCACAAAACCCAACUACAUCAAGUAUGUUGGUGCGCUGAUCUGUCAACAUUAAGUCCUUAGUUCCUUGCAAAUACCUAAGGACCUUCUUAGCAGCUUUCCAAUGUUGACUCCUAGGAUUGCUCAAGUACCUUCCCAACAUGCCCACAACAAAAGCAAUAUCAAAGCGUGUACAUACUUGAGCAUACAUAAGGCUGCCAACCAAAGAUGAAUAAGGAAUGACUCUCAUUUCCUUUCUCUCAUCAUCAUUUUGAGGACAUUGAGCCUUUGAAAACUUAUCACCCUUCACAACUGGCGCUCUAGUAGAACUACAGUUGUGCAUAUUGAACCUCUUCAAUAUCUUCUCAAUAUAGGCUCUUUGAGACAAUUUAAGCACUCCAUUAGCCCUAUCAUAAAGAAUCUUUAUGCCCAAAACAUAAGAAGCCUCACCAAGAUCCUUCAUGUCAAAAUGGGUUGACAACAUGUGCUUUGUCUCAAUCAACAAGUCAGAAUCAUUUUAUGCGAGUAGUAUAUCAUCAACAUAUAAAACAAGAAAUAUGUAACUACUCCCAUUGACCCUCAAAUAUAUGCAUCUGUCAACUGUAUUCUCUUUAAAACCAUUUUGGGUGAUAAUCCUAUCAAACUUUAGAUACCACUGCCUCGAAGCCUGUUUAAGAUCGUAAAUUGAUUUAUUGAGCUUGCAAACUAAAUCUUCCUUUCCAACUUUUGUAAAACCAGUAGGCUGCUCCAUAUACACUUCCUCAUCCAGAUUGCCAUUCAAGAAAGCUAUUUUGACAUCCAUCUGAUGUAGCUCCUAAUCAAAAUGAGCUACUAUGGCCAUAAUCACUCUAAAAGAGUCCUUGGUCAACACAGGUGAGAAGGUUUCUUUAAAAUCAAUUCAUUCUCUUUGACUAUAACCUUUAACCACAAGUCUAGCUUUAUAUCUCUCUAUUUGCCCACUAGAAUCACGUUUGGUCUUAAAUACCCACUUGCAUCCAACUGGUUUACAACCAUGUGGCAAUUCGACCAAAUCCCAAACACCAUUCAUAUACAUAGAGUUCAUUUCAUCAUCCAUGGCUUCUUUCCAAGAAGUGAAUUGAGGACAAUGAAUUGCUUCUUGAUAAGUGACUGAAUCAGAAGCAUCAUAACCAUCAUACUCAUGCUCCUGCAAAUGAACCAUAUAAUCAUCUGAAAUAGCCAGCCUACGAACCCUCUGUGAUCUUCUCGAAGUAAUCCCAUCAACAAUAGUAUCAUCAACAAGAAUGCCAUGUUCCACUUGAUCACCAUGCUCUCCUUGAUUAGUGGCUGGCUGUUGGACAAUAGAAACAUCCACAUUUGGAACAUGAGAUGUGUGAAAAGGAAUUAUAACAUGCUCUUAUCCAAAAGGUAUCUCACGAGGCAUAAAACUGGGAUCAACAUUAACUUCAUCUUCAAAGUAUACAACCUUGUUUGACUCAAUGAUCCUGGUGGUAUGAGAUGGACAAUAAAAUCUGGAACCCCUUGAUCCAAUGCAAUAGCCAACAAAGAAACCAUUAAUGGUUUUAGGAUCAAGUUUCUUUGACUAUGGGUUAUAUGGCCUAACCUCAACCUUACAUCCCCAAACAUGGAAAUGGUGAAGGCUCGGUUUCUUCCCUGACCAUAGCUCAUAAGGUGUCUUAGGCACAGACUUACUGGGCACUUGAUUCAAAAUAUAUGCCACAGUCCUUAAGGUUUCACCCCACAGAAAUUUUGGUAAGGAGGAAUUAGACAACAUGCACCUUACCAUAUCCAACAAUGUGCGAUUCCUCAUUUCUGCAACCCCAUUCUGUUGAGGAAUGUUUGGCAUUGUAUAUCUAGCAUCAAUGCAACAUUCCAAUAGAAACUUAGCGAAUGGUCUAGGAUUACGUCCAGUCUCAUCAUAUCUCCCAUAAUACUCACCACCUCUAUCAGACUUCACACCUUUAAUGGGCUUUCCCAACUACAACUCCACCUUAGCCUUAAAGGCCUUAAACACAUUUAGGGAGUUAAAUUUCUCAUGGAUUAGUUCAACAUAACCAUAUCUAGAGAAAUCAUCAAUAAAAGUGAUGAAGUAUUUAUAACCCCCUAAAACAGCUGGUGUCAUGGGACCACAUAUAUUUGUCUGGAUCAAGUCUAAAGUACUUCCACACCUAUCAAUCUUCUCAUUUCUAUUCUUAGUUGUCAUCUUCCCCUUUAAGCAAACAACACAAGUCUCGAAGUUUGAGAAAUCAAGAUUAGAAAGCACACCAUCUCUAACCAAUCUUUCUAAUGUUUGCCUAGAAAUAUGAUCUAGGCGUUCGUGCCACAACAUGGAAGAACUCAAAUUCAUUCUAGCACGCUUGCAACCAACAAUAGAAUUAACAAAAGAUGAAUUACAUAAAGGACCAUCGUGCAAACUAAGACUAUAAAGAUUUCCAAACAAAACAGCAUUGCCAAUUAGAACUGAGUUGCUAAAUAUAUCCAAUUUUCCUCCUCCAAAGUGGAAAGUGUAACCUUGUCUAUCCAAAAUAGAUAUAGAAAUCAAAUUCCUCCCAAGUGAGGGUAUGUAAGCAACAUUGUGUAACAACAAAAAACUUUUUGUGGUCAAUCUUAGCUUUAUCAUGCCAAAAAAAUUCUACUUUCACUUUGCUUCCAUCAUCCAUAUACACACAUUCUUCAUGCUUUGAUGGCCUCCUUUUGUUUGUCAUCUUCUGCAAAGAAUUAGUGACAUGAAUAGUGGCACCAGUAUCUAACCACCAAGAAUUGGCAUGAACAUCAACAAUAUUAGUCUCAAUCAUGUUUGCAUUCAAAUUAACCACAACCACAAUUUCACCUUUCUUUUUCUUCUCUAGCCAAUUUUUAAACUUGAAGCAAUCAGUCUGCUUGUGGCAAAAGUUGCACUUCCCCUUGAAUCUCUCACUCUUUGCAAUAUUAGAAUAAGCAGAUGCAUUGGAGGUUCCUUGACUUGAAUUCCCUUUCCUCUUGAAUUUCUUAGAGCCUCCAAAAUUCUUGUGUGGAGGGGUUUUUUCUUCAUAUUACUCACUUGGUCAAUAACAAGAGCAAGGGAGUGAGUCUCAUUUUUCUUCAGUGAGACUUCAUGUUGCACCACAAUGGACAUCAACUCUUUCAGAGUUCAUUCUUCCUUCAAGGCAUUAUAAGUCAACUUCACCGCAUCAAAUGAAGUAGGAAGAGACUCAAGUAUCAACCAUUUCAAGAAUUUCUCACUUAACUCCACUUUCAUCUCAUUUGCCUUUUGAAGAAGUGCUUUAGCUUGAUGAUGUGAUCUAUAAUCCCACCUACUCCAUCAUACAUAGUGGUUGUGAGAAGCUUCAAAUAAGUUGCCAUUUCUGCCUUAUCAAUCUUGGUAUAAUUGGCCUUCACAUAUUCCAAAAAGUCUUUGGCCCUUUCCGUCUUUGGCACACAUUCUUUGAUAGAUUUAUCCAUAGUGUAUUUCAUCACCAUCAAACAACUCCUAUUGGAGUGCUCCCAUCUCUCAUAAAAGGAUCUUUCAUCAGUAGAGCUCACAUCAGUGGGCUUACAUGGCUCAUCAACUCUCAAAGCCAAGUCCAAAUUUUGCAGAGUCAUAUGCACAUUGAAAAACUCAUGCCAUUCCUCAAAAUUAUUUCCAGUAAGGGGCUUGAUGGCAAAUAAUUUCAAAGUAAUUCCAAGAUUGCUAGUAGCUGGAAAAUAGCAAAAUUAAACAAUAUGCAUGUUACUACAAUAUCAUGCACUUUGCUAGUUUCUAGAAUUUCUCAAUUUAGCAAUAUCUUGGAAUUUUGAAAUUCCACGGCAAUAAGGACAACUAAUUAAAUGUCACAACCAAGAUGCACUAAUUUUAUUACCGAAAGGGUAAAAGAAAAUUAGUACGGUUCAUAAUAUAUAAUUAAUUUCCUUCACCAAUCUAAGCAUCCUACCAAGUAUUAUAAUCAUCGAUAGGACAAUUACAAUACUCGUAUGGACCUUAGUAAUCAUAAUAAUAAAGCAACCAAAAGUGGGAAAUAAAAUAUCUCAACAAAGACAAUUUGACACAUAUAGGAUCACGAUAGGCAACCACAUAUAUGUUUACUAUUGUCAUGAUAAACUCAAAUAUUUAAUUUGCACAACUUGACACACUUGGAAUUGCGAUAGGCAAUCACACAAGUGUUCUUCAUUGCCAUAAUAAAUUUAAAUAUUUAAAAAAAAUGGCCUAGGACAACAUUAUUGGUAUAAGAUAAAAAAUUAUACCAUAAAGAACAAUAAUAAUAAUAAUUGUCCCAAUAAAACCAAAUUUAACAAAUGCUAACAAUUCCAAGAAUAUGCAUAAUCAUUCCAAGAAUACCAGGACAACGAAAACCAUUUUUUUUUUUCACACAAGUGUUCUUCAUUGCCAUAAUAAAUUUAAAUAUUUAACAAAAAUGGCCUAGGACAACAUUAUUGGUAUAAGAUAAAAAAUUAUACCAUAAAGAACAAUAAUAAUAAUAAUAAUUGUCCCAAUAAAACCAAAUUUAACAAAUGCAUAACAAUUCCAAGAAUAUGCAUAAUCAUUCCAAGAAUACUAGGAUAACCAAAACAAAAAAAAAAAAAAAAGUUUUUUUUUUUAAAUGAUGUCAUGAUGACGUCAUCUCAUCUUCUCCACCAGAACAUGACUUGGUUCUUCUCUAGAGAGAAAAAAAAAAAUUUGCCAAAAUUUUGUGCAUUUUCCAACGAAAACACUUAGGUUUCCUUCCUCAAACAUCAAACCUUCAAUCUAAACCCAAAAAUUGCACAAAAAACGCAUAAAAGGAAGAACCAAAAUAAGCCCUAAUUUUCGAAAUUCCAUCAAAUGAGCUCCAAAAACAAUAAAAAAAAAAAAAAGGAUGGGUUUUGCUCCAAACAAUAUUCUCUACAAGUCUCCAACAUCAAUCGGGCUUGAAAACUGAGAAACAACACCAAAACGAAAAAAAAAACUCCGAAAAAAAAUGGCUUAUGAAACCAGGAAACGGGAAACCUAAAAUAACCCAAAUAUACAGCUCAAAUGUCAUCCAUGUUGUGCUCUGAUACCAAUUGAUGAAUUUUUAAACAACAUAGGAUCACAUAUAAACAUUAAAGCGUGCAUAAAAUGAGAAUAAACGAAAUGCUCACCUUGAUUAAUGCUGUGGAAAGCCAUUUUUGUUCUCCACUGCCUCCAAGACGAAGCUCAGUCCAUGAUGGUAUGUGAAUCCAGGUUCAAUGAGCUCUUCCCUUUCCUACACCCAAGAUUCAGUCCAAGUGUGUUUUGCAUGCCCUUUCCAGCCAAAGAAGAAGAAGAAAAAGAGAUAGAGCGAGCGAGAGAGAGAGCUAUCUUUAUGCACUUAUAUAUAUAUAUAUAUAUAUAUAUAUAUAUAUAUAUAUAUCACGCAUUACACACAUUAUUUGGACCACUUGACUUAAUGGGUCAGUCAAGUGAAUUAGGGUGAGCCUAUAAAAAAUCAAGCAACAAUAUGUGCCCAGUCCCAUUAUGGACCUCAAUGAAAAAAAUAAAAUAACAUUGAUUUAUGACAUUAUCACAUUGAUUAUGUAAGUCCACACAUAAAAAAUUCCAACAAAAAUGAUUUGCUAAUUCUUAAUUUUAUAUCUCCAUUUUACCGGUUUGCCCUAUUUUCCCAUGGUAACUUUCUUCACACCCACAACCUCCACUGCUCUCCAUGACCUCACUGCUUCUCCACAAUUGAACCUCACUUGUCCUCUACUGAACCUCCAUUGCUACUAUUACUCUUCCUUGGCGUCAAGAUCACUACUAGCAACAACCACGAGGUAACAUUCGAUUUCUCAUUUUUCAAAUGGAAUCCCAUACUUGAAAUUUUUUCGUAUAUUUCUAGAUUUUGUUGGGUAUUUGUUUGUUUCACUUUUUAGAGUUGAUUUUGAGGUUGUUUAGUGGCUGAGAAAGCUAUAGGAAAAUGAAGAUGAAAAUGAAAGCUUGUGUUUGUUUUUUAUUGCUUUUUCUCCUAGGUUUUUUUUUAGUUUCAGUACUUCAUGCUAUUACUUGCUGUUGUAGAAAUCAAACUAAAAUAAUUCAGAGGCAUUAUAAAAAAUACAGAACAUUUAUAGGGAAGAAAGUGUUUGUUCAGGGAAACCAAUUGAGACGGUCCUAUUUGAUCAAUUCUAUACAUUGCAGUUAGCCAUCAGUAGAACUAGGACUCGAAAGCCCUAAAUAUAGAGCUACUGUCACAGUUUCAUCGUCAAUAGAGCUAGAUAAUGUCUUUUCCUUCCCCUUGUUCAUGUCCACUUCCAUGGCAGUAUCACAGGACUCUUGUUCAUCAUAUCUUGUGGGCCUAAAAUGAGGAGAGGAAGAGCUUCUCUAAGAGGGGGAGAGGGGGCGGGGGUGGGGGAUGGGUGAACAAUGAUAGUUGUUGUUGGUGUUGAAGUUAUUUUAGUACAUUUUGUUGAAGUCAUACCGAGGAGGACACAUAGAUUGAUUGGAAGAAGAAGAGGAAGAAAAAAAAUGUGAUAAAGAGGAUUGAGGUUGAAGACUGCUUUAUUUUAACUUUUGGACUUCUUCGAUGACUCCCUUUAAAAAAUCAGUCAAUUUCCCUUGAAGAAAUUUCUUGGCAUCAUGGUGUUGAUGCCCUCAUUACUAUUUAAAUCCCAUGAGUGUUCAUAUGUUAGGAAAGACUUGAAAUAAUAAAAUAAUAAUUAAACCUCCUUCUUUAAUUAUUUAAAAUAAAAGAGUCCAUUGUGGGCAUCACAUGUGUGGGUGGAUGGGUGGAUGGUUGGAUGGUUGGACGUGUCAAACCUCUCCUUCUUACAUUUAAAAUAAAAUAAUAAUUAAAAAUAUUGAAAUCCAUUUUUAUUUUUUAUAUAUGGAGACUAAUUUGUAAACAAUUGAAAAGAGUCCGAAUCCAGUAGAGACCUUUGACAAGAAUUGUAGCACACAGAACUCCCACCUUGCAAGGGAGAUUCCAUCUGUCUUUCCACCAACCUGUGUUCUCCUGCAAUUUCUUUUCACUUUUUAUGAAGAAAUUGCAUGUAUUUAAGCUGAGUUAAAGUGAAUCCUCAUAGUAGGAGCGGAUGGCUUUUGCAAAUCCUCAAAGUCAAAGAGCGUCUUCUUCUUCAUCUUCCAUUUCUAUUCGUGGAUGGAAUUACGAUGUUUUCUUGAGCUUUUUGGGUGAAGAUUUACAGAUCAUCUCUACAGAACUUUGAGUCGGAAAGGGAUUCGUACCUUUAGGGAUGAUGAAGAGCUUCCAAGAGGAGAAGAGAUUGCAGCAGAACUUUUAAAAGCUAUUGAAGAGUCAAGGAUUUGCCUCAUAAUUCUGUCCGAAAACUAUGCCCGUUCUAGGUGGUGUUUGGAAGAACUGACGAAGAUCAUGGAUUGCAGGGAGCAAACGGGAAAAUUAGUUCUUCCGAUUUUCUGCCACGUGGAACCAUUGCAUGUGCGAGGACAGAUUCAGAGUUUUGGAGAAGCUUUAGCCGAUCAUGAAAGAAACGUAGGCCAUGAGGAGGGAAGGAGGAAGAUAGAGAAGUGGAGGGCAGCGUUGACCAUGGUGGCGGGUAUCACCGGAUGGUGGUUAAAGAAUCGGUAAAUAUAACAUUUUUUUCGUAUCCAUUAAAAGUUAGUAUCAGCAUUGUUACCUUGUCUUUAAAAGUCAACAAACCGAAAAAUCUAACCGUUAAAACUGAAAUUGAACUCCAUAGGGAUGUUCCUCACAACAAAAAGACCGUUCUCCUAAAAUUUCACAUGAAACAGAGCAGAAUGCCCUCUUUCUAUAGCUCCUGUUUCUCCUCUUUUCACAUUUUUUUUCCCUUUCUAACCCUAUCCUCCCGUAGCUUUCAUGCUACUUCAAUCCCCUUUUUGUUUUCUUUUUUUAAAUUUAUUUUCUCUUAGGCAGUGGCUUUCAACCACUUUUAAUCCUCCUUUUUUCUUUUUCUUUCUUUAAUUAUUUCCCCUUCCUUUUAUUAUUUAUUUAUUUUAUUUAUUUUUAAAAAAUCCUCUAACUAUAGAUUUCAAUGUUUCCAAAAUCAGAUUUUUUAUUUUUUAUUUUUUAUAUUUUUUAUCAUCUAUUUGCAAGUAUUACAUUUUCUUUUAAACCAUAUUUCUCAUUUUUCAAUAAAACUCAAUUUCUAAAAUACAAAAUUUCAUUCUCAUAUUUUCUUUUAUUUUUUUCACUAUAAUAAAUUUUCAAAACUAAAAUUAUUAAUUCUAGUAACCGAUAAGACUUAACCAAUUUUCCAAAAAAAAUUCUAUAGUAAAAUUGGCAUGAUACAAAUUCAACUCACUUAUUUGACAACUAAAGUUCUUCAAGUUACCAAUCCAAAUAGGAUAUAUGUUCUUAAUUUGGCCUUCUUAACUUUUCAACCACUUUUUUACUAGGAAAUUUUCCAACUCUCAAUUCCCACAUGGCUUAAAAUACUCUGUUAUUACAGGUUUGUUAUUGAAACUUUAGAAAAAACAAAGUUGUGGUUGCACAUGAAAAUGAUGAUGAUGAUAUGUUUGUUUCUUUGUGGAGUUGAUCUGUUGGUAUGUGCAAACAACUGGUCUUUGAAUUUUUAUUUUUAUUUUUUAGUAUUUUUAUGAUACUUACAAAUACCAUCUUAUGAUAGACAUGAUAAAAUAAAGGCUAAUAUCAUCUAAGAAGGGAGGGGAUUGCCCUUCUUGUGUGGGAUGGUGGUCAGAAAUGAUGAUUAAAGGACAACAGUUUCCAUCGUUAAUUUAUACUUUGGCAUAAUGAAAACAGUAGAUCAUGUGAACCAAGUAAUUCGACCUUAUCCCUUCAACACAUUUUAUUUGCCCAUAAUUCUGGUUUUCUAAAUAAAGUUAAAAGCAUAAUCCAAUGUUCUUCAUGUUUGCUAGCAUUUGAAACUGUUGACUCACAACACAUGUCUCAUGCUUUACCACUUACAAGCCUGAGGCACAUGUUAUUGAGGAGAUUACUUCUGUUAUUUGGAAGAGUUUAAAUCAGGAACUCUUACAUGUUGAGAAGAAUCUCGUUGGGAUGGAUAGUCAAAGGGUGUCUUCUUCUUCUAUUGGUCCAUCAGAAUAUGAAGUUUUCUUGAGCUUUUGGGAUGAAGAUGCCAGACACAAUUUCAUAGAUCAUCUCUAUGCAGCUUUGCAUCGAAAAGGGAUUCGUACCUUUAGAAUCGAUGAUCUAAGGGGAGGAGAUAUUGCAUUGGGUCUUUUGCACGCUAUUGAGAAGUCAAGGUUGGUUCUUGUAAUUCUCUCAGACAACUAUGUCUGUUAUAGCUGUUGUUUAGAUGAACUGGUCAAGAUUAUGAAGUGCAGGAAAGAAAUGGGAAAAAUUGUUUUCCCAGUUUUCUAUCAUGUCGAUCCUUCCCAUGUGCGAAAUCAGAGGGGUAGUUACGGAGAAUGAAUGGCCAAUCAUGAAAGAAAAGGUUUUGAUGAGAAGAUACAGAGGUGGAGAGGAGCUUUGAGGGAAGUGGGCUAUCUUUCUGGAUGGCAUGUACAUAAAGGGUAAAUAUAGCUUGCCCCACAUAAUCUCUUGCAAGUAUCCUCAAUUUUUUAUACAUAUUGAUAAAAUAGAAAUCUAUUAAAAGUUAUAAUUGGCAUAUGCAUCUUAUCCUAAAAAGUCAAAAUCUUAUGUCUCCUUUUGAUCAAAUUUGUCAUGUGGCAGUAAUGAAUUUGAAAUGGUUAUUCCCAAUUAAGCGACCAUUUAAUAUACAAAUUUAGGACCUUUGCAUCAUAAUAGUAAAGCAACCUAGCAAACCAGAGUUGUUAGAUAAUUAUAUCAAGUAUUGGUGACUAAAAUAGUAAGUAGUGCAUUUUCAUCAAUUAAAAUAGAAAAAAAAUCAUACAUUUUCUUAAUCAUUUCCCCAAAUAUAUUCUAGGAAAAAUGAUGGUUAGGCAUGUGACUAAUUGAAAUAUAGAGGACAAAUAUGACAUUUUUUUCUCAUCAAAGAUUCGAUUUGGAGGGUUUUUUUUUUUUUUUUUUUUUUAUAAAUGAUACAUCAUUACUCUUUCAAAAUGUGAGUAGCAUAUUAAAGGUAUUAAGACUUGAAGUCAUGCGGUUGAGACUCAAGAUGGAAGGCAAAAGUUUAUUUGUGAGACUUUAAUAUUUGAUACUUUUAAAAUGUCAUUUGUCCUUUUUGUUUUAUUCAGAAUAAAGUCUUUCAAACUUUGUCCUUAUCCUUGAAAUGUGAAAAGGAAACCCCUUGUUUAUUUUGUUCACAUACACACACACACACACAAAAAAAAAAAAAAGAACUUUAGAUUUCCAUUUUGUUGUGGAGGAAUGGAGAUUUUUGUAGUUAUAUAUGAAAAUGAAGAUGCUAUAUUUGGAAUUGUAUGUGUGAUUAAGUAAGACACAUUACUUUUACUACUUGGGUAAUCUUUGAUAAUUGUCGGAAGCAAGAUUUCAUUGUAAUCAACUUUAUGAAUGGUAAUAAGUUGAUUUUGAGUAAAUCAUUUAUUUUUCCUUCAUCAUUUAUUUCUUUCUUAAGAUCUUGCACACUUGAUAUUGAUUUAUUGUCUUCAACAUUGUCUCAUUUCGAGGUUUUAUAUUGCUUUGAUUAACAUUAAUUGUUUCAAAUCCAAAAUAAUGUUGUCUUCUUUUCCUUCUACUAAAAUUUCAUUGAUUUCGUAUUUCUUUCCAUUCUUUUAUUAGGUUAAUAUGUUGGUAUAUGCAAACAACUAUUCUUGAUUUUUUUUUUAAUUGUUUUCAGAUAGAUCAAAUGCCAUUUUAGGAAUGAUCCUAAUUAAAAAGAAGCUUAGGAAAAUAAUUGGGUAAAGUUUUAAAUGAAGGCCAACAUCAUCGAUGUAAGAAGGGAGGUGAGUAAUUUUCCAAUAUGGAUGGAGGUGGGACAGAUGAAUAAAGGAUAACAUUUAGAAGGCCUCUUUUUAUGGUGUUCUACUAGUGCUCGAAUGAUCUAUCUAAUUAAUCCUUAUUUCGGUAACAUACUCUAUUUGCCCAUAAUUCAAGAUUUUAUAUGAAACCCAACAUAAUCAAGUUUGCUUCAUGUUUUCUACUAUUUGUUAGUCUGUUGGCUCACCCAUGUAUGUGCCUUACUGGUGGUAGGUCUGAGGCAAAUUAUAUUGAGGAUAUUACUCAUGUUAUUUUGAUGAGAUUUAGCCAGAAACUCUUACAUGUUGACAAAAAGCUCAUUGGGAUGGAUUAUCAUUUAUAAAAAAAUGGAAGAAAUUUUUCCACAGAUGAUAAACCCAUUAUCAAAUGAUGUUUGCAUGGUUGGGAUCUAUGGAUUUGGAGGAAUUGGUAAGACAACCAUUGCUAAAGUUUUAUAUAAUGGAAUUGCUGCACAAUUCAUGAUUACAAGCUUUCUUGCUAAUGUUAGAGAGGAUUUCAAAAGUCAAGGCCUACUUCCUUUACAAAAAAAACUUCUUAAUGAUAUCUUACCGAGAAGGAAGAAUUUUAUAAGCAAUGUUGAUGAAGGGAUCUGUAUGAUAAAAGACAUGUUUUGCUUUAAAAAGGUCCUUCUUGUGCUUGAUGAUGUUGAUGAUUUGAACCAACUGGAAGCCUUAGCUGGUGAUCAUAAUUGGUUUGGUUCAAGAAGUAGAAUUAUUAUAAGCAUCUAUUAGAGGUGCAUGAAACGGAUGCAUUAUUUGAGGUUAAGAAAUUAGAUCACAAGGAAGCUACUGAACUCUUUAGUUGGAAUGCUUUUAAACAAAACCAUCCCAAAGAAGAUUAUGAAAAACUUUCAAACUCUGUGGUACAUUAUGUUAAUGGACUUCCGUUAGGUCUUAAAGUUUUGGGUUGUUUUCUAUAUGGCAAGACGAUAAGUCAAUGGAAAAGUGAAUUGCAUAAAAUGGAACGAGAACCUAACAAAAAAAUUCAACAUGUGCUUAAUAGAAGUUACGAUGAAUUAGAUUGCACACAAACGCAAAUAUUCCUAGAUGUCACUUGCUUCUUUAAUGGAGAAGACAAAGAUUUUGUUACAAGAAUCCUAGAUGCUUGCAACUUCUUUGCAGAGAGUGGAAUACGUGUCCUUAGUGAUAAGUGUCUCAUAAGUAUUAUAGACAACAACAUAUGGAUGCAUGAUUUGUUACGACAUUUGGGACAUGAUAUUGUUAGACAAGAAUUUCCUGAAGACCUUGGAAAAUGGAGCAGAUUGUGUUAUCCUGAUUCUUAUAAGUCGUGUAUUGACAAGAAAAAUGGUAAGAGCAAUAUGUAAAUGAACUUACUUUCAAAUGUGAAUGAUAUUUGAAAUACAUAAACUUCAAUAAUAUCAUUUUUGUUUAAGUUACAAAUAGUACUUUACUUCUAUGUAUUUAAUUUGCUCUUCACCUAUCAUCUACUCUUGUUUGUUAGGGAAUGGAGGCAAUUAAAGGUAUACUCUUGGACUUGUCUAUACCAAAGUGGAUACACAUUACUAUUGAAUCCCUUGCGAUGAUGAAGAAUCUUAGGUUGCUCAAAAUCCUUUUGGAUCAUGAAUCUACUUCUAUGAGGGAUGAUUAUAAAGUAAAGUUGUCCAAAGACUUUGAAUUCCCUUCUUAUGAGCUAAGAUAUCUCUAUUGGCAUGGAUAUCCUUUGGAAUAUUUGCCAUCAAGUUUUAAUGCGGAGGACCUUGUAGAACUUGACAUGUGUUAUAGCAGCUUAAAACAACUCUGGGAAAAUGACAUGGUAUGAUUAUUGAUAAUUUAUUCAUGUUUCUUCUUUAGUUAAUCUCCAAAGUCCAUGAAAGCUUAUAUUAUUUUUCUCUUGCAGCUUCUUGAAAAGUUAAAUACUAUCAGACUGAGUUGCUCUCAACACCUCAUUGAAAUUCCAGACAUCUCAAUUAGUGCGCCCAAUCUGGAGAAACUAAUUUUUGAUGGUUGUUCAAGUUUGCUUGAGGUUCACCCAUCUAUUGGAAAGCUGAACAAGCUUAUUUUAUUGAAUUUGAAAAACUGCAAAAAGCUUGUUUGUUUUCCUUGCAUCAUCAACAUGAAAGCGCUUCAAAUUCUUAAUUUCUCUGGCUGCUCAGGGCUCAAGAAGUUUCCAAAUAUUCAAGGUAACAUGGAAAAUUUAUUGGAUCUUUAUUUAGCUUCAAUUGCUAUUGAGGAACUUCCCUCCUCAAUUGGGCAUCUCACUGGACUUGUUUUAUUGGAUCUGAAAUGGUGCAAAAAUCUUAAGAGUCUUCCCACAAGUAUUUGUAAGUUGAAAUCCCUUGAAUAUCUCUUUCUUUCUGGCUGUUCAAAACUUGAAAGUUUUCCAGAAAUGAUGGAGAAUAUGGACAAUUUGAAAGAGCUUCUUUUAGAUGGGACACCUAUCGAAGUGCUACCCUCGUCAAUUGAACGUCUAAAAGUCCUCAUUUUAUUGAAUCUGAGGAAAUGCAAAAACCUUGUGAGUCUUUCAAAGAAACCUCCAAGUGUUGAUAUAUCCAGGAUGUAAAAUAUUAGCACCUACCUCAUUGGGCUCGCUCUUUUCGUUCUGAUUAUUGCAUAGAAACAGCUCAAAUGGGAUCAGUUUGCGCUUGCCUUCUGGUUUUUCUAGUUUCAGGUCCUUCACAAAUUUAGACCUAAGUGACUGCAAACUAAUAGAAGGAGCAAUCCCCAAGGAUAUUUUCUCCUUAAUCUCAUUGAAGAAAUUAGAUCUAAGCAGAAACAAUUUUCUAAGCAUACCUGCUGGCAUCAUUGAACUUACAAACCUAAAAGACCUUCGGUUGGGGCAGUGCCAGAGUCUCAUAGAAAUUCUUGAGCUUCCACCAAGUGUCCGAGACAUAGAUGCACACAAUUUCACAGCCCUUUUACCAGGCUCAUCAAGGGUAAGCACAUUGCAAGGGCUACAGUUCCUAUUCUAUAAUUGCUCCAAACCAGUUGAGGACCAAUCCAGUGAUGAUAAGAGGAAUGCAUUACAAAGAUUUCCACAUAAUUUUGUCUUCCACUAAUUCACCUAUUGUGAUGCAGAAAUUGCUUGAAAAUAUUGCAUUUAGUAUUAUUUUUCCUGGCAGUGGAAUUCCUGAGUGGAUCUGGCAUCAGAAUGCGGGAUCUUCUAUAAAAAUAGAGCUACCUACAGACUGGUAUAAUGAUGACUUCUUGGGAUUUGCUUUCUUCUCUGUUCUUGAACAUCUCCCUGAGAGAAUUAUAUGUCGUUUAAAUUCUGAUGUUUUUUAUUAUGGAGACUUGAAAGACUUCGGUCAUGAUUUCCAUUGGAAAGGCAACAUUGUUGGGUCAGAACAUGUCUGGCUGGGUUAUCAACCAUGUUCCCAGUUGAGGUUGUUUCAAUUCAAUGACCCCAAUGACUGGAAUCGCAUUGAGAUUUCUUUUGAAGCAGCCCAAAGAUUCAUCUCAAGUGCAUCCAAUGUGGUGAAGAAGUGUGGGAUAUGUUUUAUAUAUGCAGAAGACCUUGAAGGAAUCCAUCUACAAAAUAGAAAACAGCUGAAGAGAGGGGGAUGUAAUGUAGUCGAGAGAAGCAGUGACAGAGAAGGACUCAAUGGAGGUGGAACCUGACCUUUGAUUCUGCUGGAAUUUGUUAUUAAGCCUAUGUAAGGUUCUGACAGUUUGUGUUUUAUAUAGCAUUGGGUAGCACAUAUAAGGAGUUUGAUUAAGAAAAUCAAGCAAAGAUGGUGUUGGGUGAUGAAUGCUAGUUGUCAAUUGUUAUUUAUGAACCUAGUUAGUUUCUACAGAGCAAAUCCUUUCCAAAUUAAUGUAGCAGUGCCACAAGUUCGCAAUCUUGCAUCCUUAUUGUAACAACCCACACCCAAUCAUGUAGAUAUUGUCCGCUUUGGGCCCAAGGGGGCCCUCACGACUUUAAAACGCGUCUACUUGGUUAAGAGGAGCCUCUACAUAUAUAGUGCCAGAAACUUUCUCCCCUAUCCGAUGUGGGACAUCACAAACAUCCCCCCAUGCAGACACAACAUCCUCAUUGUGUCCCAUGGGAUUGCAGGGCCAAACAAACAAACACCCCUUACGAAGCCAAACAAACCCCCACACCGAGGUCGGGGAUCGGCUCUGAUACCAUUUGUAACAACCCACACCCAAUCAUGUAGAUAUUGUCCGCUUUGGGCCCAAGGGGGCCCUCACGGCUUUAAAACGCGUCUACUUUGUUAAGAGGAGUCUCUACAUAUAUAGCGCUAGGAACUUUCUCCCCUAUCCGAUGUGGGACAUCAUACUUAUGAAUUCAUUUAUACAAUUGUUAGUUGUUAUUUAUGCACGUAGUUAGUUUCACUGUUGUGACAAAGGUGCUGGAAUGGUUUACUUGAUCCUAUUAAGAAAAUAACUUGUAUUCAGUGUUAAGAGUGAAGACAGAGAUUUGGAAAUGGCAAUGUUUCUAUAAGCACUAAAUUUUCAUGUGGCUAGACGAGUGUUUGUACAAUGAUAAUAUCAUGUUUACAAAGCUUAGUAGUUCUUAUGACUUCCAGAGCAUUGAAAUAAAAUACCAUUUGAUCCUUAAUUGUCACAUGCUUUACUUCUCAUAUAAAGAUGGAAUUUAUUAAGCUUGUUGACUGUCGACUUAAUUUGAGGAGUUAAUUCUACUUUAUUGGUUGUAGCCAAGCAUAUUUUACUGUUAAAUAAUUUGUAGAGGUUUGAAUUUUGUCCUUUUUUUGUCUUUAUAUUUUUUUUUUAUCAUUGUUGAUUGUUUCAAUAACUAAAUGCUACAUAACAUUCCAAUUCUCCAAGUUUGAUUACUUUUUUGUAGGUUUCUUUGCUUCAGUGGGCUCAAUCACUUCAAAAGGUGUUUCAAAUUUCUAUUCCACUUCAACAUUAUCUUAGGCUAGGUUUGGUUCCUAGAAAAUUUGAAGGAAAAUGUGAGGAAAAUAAAAUAAAGAAAAAAAAGUAGAAGGAAAGAAAAAGUAAAAAAAAAAAAAAAAGGUUUAAACUUAAUAAAUUAUUUUUAUAUGCUUCUUCAAACUCAUUUUAUUUAUUUCCCUAUAUUAUAUAAAGAUUAAAUAAUUUAAAAAUGUACGCUGUUUUGGCAAAUUUUAAUUAUAUUUUAUUUUCUUUUGUAUUUCUCAUGUGCUAAACAUGAAAAAACCAUUUUUCUUAACACUUUUUUUCUUUCCUUAGUACUUUCUAGGAACCAAACAUAGCCUUAAUAUGUGAUUAGCAUAUAUAUAUAUAUAACCAAGUUACUUUUAGUUGAAUUUUUCCUUUCUCUAUCAUUUUCUUACCAUAGUGGAAGCAUUCAACAUUGUUCUAUUUGAAUUCUUUGUAGUGCAUUUCAUAUUUCUCUUCUCAAACUCCAUAUGUCAACUUCUUCCUUACUACCUUUCUAGUUCGUUUUAUUUUCUUUCUUUUUUCUCAAAGCAAUUUGCUAUCUUCAUUUAUUUAUUUAUUUAUUUAUUUUGCUUUUUCUGCAAAAGAGCACUUCCUCUUCAAUCUUGGAUGAACUUCGGCUGAUUUUCUUUUGUUGAACAUCUUGAUUAGCUAAUAUUAGUCUUUCUAACUCCAAUAAAGAUGGUUAAGUUGGCAAACCAUGAAUUAUCGUAUUGGAUUAUUAAUCAUGUACUCUCUACUCAUUAAUUUUAGCUUUAGGAUUUAAUUAUCAAAUUUUAUGAGCUACAAAUUUUACCUUGAGCAUAGACAUUAUCAUUUCACCUUUAAAUUUUCCACUUUUUCAAUCCAUCAACAUGUUCCUUGGGUAAUGUUGUGUCCUUGCUAUUACUAAAAACUUUUCAAAAAGUCCUUCUAUUAAGGUAAAGAAGCACUUCAAUCAAUCAAUAAGAGAUUCGACUAAACCAAUUAAUUUGAUUCAAACUUAAAGAUAAAAGUUGAAUUCAAUUUCACAUUAUUUGUUAUGAUUAUGUUAUAGAGCUAAAAAGCAAUCACAUAAUUAAACACAAAUAAUUUAUGUGGAAAACCUUGUCUCAAGGUGAAAAGCCGUCAGAGCAUUCCCGACUACCAAACUCUACUAAAUCAAUUAUCAAUAUACAAGUGAACCAUCUUAUGAAAAGUGAGUUCUAAUUUCAAUCUCUCAUAUCCUCCUUUCUUGUGAUCUCUACAUGACCCAAACUUGAUUUUCCAUAGCUUGAUGUCCCAUUGAAUUGCUUUGGAAUCACUUUGAUAUGAAGCUUCUUACUUGGAAGUUGAUUCACAUGUUAGGACCUCAAAAACGAAAAUUGGGAGAAGAAAGACAAUCACUUUGAGGGGAUACCCAACGCACUAAUAGUUUUGUAUUAGAUUAUUCAAGCCAUGGGAAAAAUACUAAUUCAUUGAUUUCAAUGUUGCAUUGAUUUCCCUAUUUAAAUUUUACCUUGUAGAGAUUAAAAUAUCAUAAAUUAUAAAAAUAUCAAUUGUUGAAUUUUUAGAAGUAUCAAAUUUAUUAGGCAAAAAUUUAGUCAAAAAAAUUAAUGAGAUAAAAAAUGAUCAAAACACAGAAUGUUGGAAAAAAAAACAUUAAGUAAUGAUAAAAUGAGUAAUAACGUAUUUGUUGAAGUUAUUUUAUUGAAUAAAAUAAUAUAUUUAUGAUAACAUUUGUAAUACAUGACAAUAAUUUUCAAAACUUGAAGACGCCUUUAAUAUUAAAAUGAUAAUCCAUCUAAUUUGGAUAUAUUCAAAGAUAUAAAAAUAGUAAUAUGUAAUUAUUUUUUAUUUAUAAAUAUUUAUAAAUGUAUGUUUUUCUCAUAUUUAAUUAUAAAUUAUAUUAAAAAAUUAUAAGUGAUGAUCAUGUUUUCCUUAUUUUAUUUACAGCAAAAGAUAUAAAAAUUAUCUUGAUGGUUUUAUAUUUUUUAAAAUCACUUAAAUCAAAUUUGAAAAUGAAAGUUUAAUAUCUCAUACCGUGAAACUACCUAUGGUGGGGAUGGCUGAUGGGUUGAAUAGGUAGUUCUUAGAUUUUAGCCUAAAAAUUACCAAAUUUUUUAAUGAAUUUUUUAUUAGAUUGAUAAUUAUUAAAUAAUUUAAUAACUCCACUCGCAUAAGAAAAUACGCAAUAUACAUGGAAAACCUCUCACAAAGUCUCCCAAAGACUAUGGAAGUAAAAAAUCAUGGGAUUAGAGAUUCCAAAGGCAAAAUAUCCCUUAAUCAUGAAGAAUUAAGUACAUAAAUUUAUUUGAUAGUUACUACUCUUUGAGACUUACACUCUAGUACCUACUCCUAACUUCAUGUUGAUGAUGUAAAACUUUUGUGCUCCUUAGUAGACUCCUCAAUGCCUUAAGGAGGAUGCAAGAGUCUACCACAAAGCCUUAAACAUUAGCAAAUCAAUUUGAGAGUUUUGGGUUAAAAGCAAAAAAUGACUGUAGGCUUAGGGUACAUCAUGAUCAAAUAAGAAAUCACAAUUUAUAUGUAAAAACACACACACACAUGGGUGAAACCUCAUGCACUUAGGACAAGAUUACAAAAUGAUAAUUUUCCAAAAAACACAAAUUUGUAAAAUAACUAAAUUUGGAAACUUUGCUAAUUGUCCAAACUGGGUAAUUUAGGGCUUGAAUGCUCAAGCACCUUUUAAGUAAAGCUUGAGCAACCCUUGUCAACACCUGUCCACUCUUAAGAAAUACUUGAGUGAUUGAUUAGGGUGCUUAAAUGCUCAACUUUAGAAUUCUAUUUUUCAAUUAAACUAAACACUCAAUUUUCAAUUUCCUAAUCUCAACUUUAUGCCUUCCUAAAAGUCAUUAUCCUCUUCAUAGCUCACAAUACUUGUAUUUUCCCAAGUUGAUUCUGUUACAACUUUGAGUCUUCACAAGCAAUGUAAGUCAUAAGAAAGUAUUUAUAGUCUUCAACUAGGAUAAGUAGAAUAAAAUAGUCAAUUUAAUCUAAAUAGACUAAUGUAGAAUAUAAAAAAUAAAUAAAUAAAGAUAAUUAAAAUUAAUUUAUUUACCAAAGUUUUAUUUUAAUAUUUAAUUGUGUGCAUGGAUAUUUACUUAAAUAUAACAAAUGCAAGUAUAGAUAAUAAGUGCAACUUGACAACGUUUUUCCAUGAAAGUCAAGCUAUUUUAGAGGUUGUAUAAGGGUAUGAUAAGGGACAAAAGUGAUCUUAUUGUAUGAGACAAUAUAGAACAACCAUUAUAGUUUGUUUCCCUUUGAAAGGUGGUAGACCUUCAACAAAAUCCAUGGAGAUAUUAAAACAUCUUGUGAAGGAAUGAACAAUGGUUUUAGCAAACCUUAUUAAGUGCAUAGAAUUAGGAAGGCGUUGGAGUUUAUGGUUAUUAAUACCUUUCAAAUUAAAAAAGAAAAAAGAAAAAAGUUAUAAUCAUAGAAGAAAGUGAGAAAUCUCUUUUGGUUAUUGCAAUGCAUGGUUGCUAUAUUAUAUAAUGAGGUUUGACUUAGUCAUAGGAGUGAUUGAGCUCACAACUUGCAUAUUGACACAUAUUAUGUUAGACAUGGAUCAUUAAUUAGAUAACUUUACUAAAUGACUUUUAUAAAGUGUUAAACUUUCCUAGUCUCUUAAUUUUGAAAUGAUUAAUGGAUUCAAGGUUCUUGCUUCUUUAUUUCUUUAACAUACAACACAUUAUGCCACAAACUUCUUUAUUUCACUUAACAUACCUUUCUAAUAAAAAGUUGUUGAUGCUUACCUAUAAAUUUGAGAGUAUCCUAAAUGACUAGUUGUUGAAGAAGCAUGAAAUUUAUGGCUUCAUUAAUCACUCAUAGUCGGAAUUUUUCUUGACAUGUUCCUUUGUUAGGCUUAAACAUUCCUUAUACAGUAUCUUAUAAGCUAUGUGAAAAUUCAUGUCAUUAUCAUCAAAGUCACUUAACUCACUUAAAGGUUUUUUUAAGGGAGGUUAUCUAUUGACAUUUGUCACAAAGGCAAUGAAGUUAAUGCUCUCAAAAUAUUCAUUUAAUUUGUUUUCACUUGUUUAAUUAGACUCGAAUUCACUCCAAGUUGUUUGUAUGACCUUUUUAUCCUUCGAGGGACAUUCAAAUGCAAAAUUACCCUUUUCACCACAUUUAAUACAUUCAAUUUCAAGCUCCUUUUUCAGGCCUUUCUCCAUAUUUUUCUCUUUUCCCAUUGAUUUUCUCUAUUUUUUUAGCAUCAUUUAAUUUUUUCUUGGAUUUUUCUAAUUUCAUAUACUUCUUGAAUUUUUUUAGCAAACCUUGUAAAUUUUCGCUCUCACAUUUUCUCAUCAUCAUCACUUUUAGAACUUAGAGACUAUUCUUUAAUGGCAUUUAAAGCAACUCCUUUCCCUUUCCUAAGUGAUUCAAGGUUCAUAUUUAAUGAUUCCACAUCCUUAGACUCCUCAAUGGCGGUCACAUUUGCUCUAAAUCUCUUUGAGAGAGAUCUUAUUUAUUUAUUUAUUUUUAUAACUUUAAAGUUAGAAAUAGGUUCACCAUGAUUAAAACUAGAAUUCAUACUAUCCAUCAAUUUUGUAUGAAAAUCUCUAUAGGUCUCAUAAUCAUCCAUCCUAACGGUCUUAAACCUAAAAGUCAAAAUUUGAAGUUUGGACACUUUAAUAGCAUUGUUUCCUUCAUGAGUCACUUGGAGAAUAUCCCAAGCCCCCUUAGUCGAAGUGCAUGUAGCAAUCUUUCAAUAUUCAUCCAUGCUAAUGACAUUGAAAAUAAAUACAUGACCUUUGCAUUGUUCUUAUUAGCAUCAUUUUCACUUCUAUACCAUUUCAAAUUAAGCUUGACAACAUAUGUUAGUCUACCUUCUCUAUCCAACACCUUAUGUAGAGACCAACCAAAUUUAAUGGUAUUUCAAACCUUUUUGCUUUGUAUUUUGAACAAAAAUAAUGUAUUCUUACUUUCCAAUGAGAAUGAUUUUUGAUGAUUAAAAAAAGUGGUCUCCCAAUAGAAGUACCCUCUUGAUGAGGUUUCAUAUUUGAGACUUAAUGACUAAAAAUGAUUUUUGUAGACUAAUUGUGGAAGAAUCUUAACUAUGAAUUACACCUAUAGGGGAGCAUGUGUGUAGUGAAUAAGUGUUUUUUAACAAUUUGAAAAGGUACCUUGAUUCUAUAAAUUGUGCUUUAUUGGCACAUAUAAAGAAUGAGUUAUUCAAUAUAAAGGUUCAAAUCACACAACUUAACUUGAAUUAUUGCUAAGAUCCUAGCCAUAAGUCUAACGUAUAUCUUGAGUUAAAUUCUAGGUUUAAGAGGUGAAAAUGAUGCAAGUUGCAAAAGCUACUUUUAGCUAUGUAGUGAAGGGGCUAAAUAUACAUAAAAGGAGCUCCAAGGAUUGUGAAGCUUGAUGAGAGCUUUGGAAAAUAAAAAUGGUGUAAUGCAUAGUAUGUGAGAUGAUAAAUGAAUGUUUUGGAAAAGAUGAAGGGCAAGAAAACGUGAGAAAGAAGGUUAGAGGCCAAAGGACGAAGUUAAAUGUGGGAAUUAGAGUUUAAGAUCUAGCAAUUGCACAUACUCACUUUGAGGUAAAUUUUAAAGCACUUUUCAUGAUCAAUUUUAGGCAACCUAUCUAUCUUGUUGAAGCUUAAGAAGUCAGGAGUCCAAAUCUUCAAACGGUGUACAAAUUAGGGCUAAAACGAUGAAGUUAUGACUAUUUGAAGAUAAUUAGGCAUAACUAAAGGAGCAUUUCAAAUUUGAAAUGGUGAUUUUGAAAUUCAAGUUAUGAUUUCGAAAAUUAGGUAGAAAUAAAGGACCAUUUUGAAUUCAAAAUGGUGAUUUUGAAAUUCAACUUAUGAUUUUAAAAUGACCCAAAUUUCAAAAUCACUCACUAACAAUAGAAUAUCUCAACCUAUGAUUUCAAAAUCCAUUUUGAAAUAGGCCCUAAUUCGAAAUCGUAAACUACCGAAGGAAGGAUCACAACUUACCAUUUUGAAAUCCAUUUCGAAAUCAUGCUAAAUCAAAAUGGACCACUACCACUUUGAGAUUUUCACUUCUUCUACCUUGGAAUUGCAUAUUGGGCACUAUAUUAGGCCUAAGUGGCCCUGCACAACUAGAAAUCAAAAUUUUAUUAUCUUUUUUAGUUAUUUUUAGGUAAUUUUAGAAAAUAAGUAUCUCACAACUUAGUUUUUGCUUUUGAUAUAAAAACCCUAAUUUUAGGUUUUGGAAACUGACAGAAAAUUCUUUGAAGAUUUUUGGGAGAAAAAAAGACAUUGAAGGAUCUUAGUUGGUUUUUCUUCUCUUUAGAUUAAUAAAAUUAUGGUUUCUAGUUUCUUUAAAUUCAAGAAUGGUCUUUAUCUUUCUUUAAUGAUUUGUUAUGUGAAAACACACCCAUGAAAGGCUAAAAAGCCAUUUUGGGGAUGUGAAACAUGAAAACCUAAGAUUAGUGUCAAAAAAAAAUAAUGGUGUAUCAGACCUAAUAAUGGAUUAAAUGAAGUUUAAAACACUGGCAUUGAAAUCAAAAUACCCUCUAAUGUUAGUUAAUAUUAGGGGAUGGUACAAUCCAUUCCUUGAUACUAGAUAUUCUUGGUAGUUCUUGAUCCCUAAUUAUUUGAGGUUUUUUCAUUAUUAUUUACCCUAAGGCAAAAAUCUACAUAGAUUGAUAAAAGCUUAAAAAUCCUAGACCUAAACCCAGAUUUCAUAUCCAUUCAUCUGUUAAGUAAUUCAAAAUGGAAUAAAAAUUUAAAAGUAAAAACUAUAAUUAAACACAACUUUGAGGUAUGGAAAUCAGGUUGAUCACGUUUGAUAAUACAUUCUGAAUACCAUAUGCUCAAAGUUGGAUUGUGGAAACACCAUCUUGAAUCAUUUGAGUUAGAAAUCAAUAAUGCUCUUGAAAUUUAAUUAGAUUUAUUUUAGUGAAUUCAAAUUUAUUCAAAUCAAUUUCAUAUAUUCUCAAUUUAAAGAAUUAGAUAAAAAAAAAAAAACCAUUUUUUUUUCACAUAGUUUUGACAACUUCCAUUGGCUAGUUCAUUGAGGACAAUACUCGAAGACUACGAAAAUUGUAGUAACUCUAUUUUUGGUGUUUAUUGGCUAUAGUUGCUAUAUAAUUGAUGUUUAGUAUUCAGGACAAUAGAGAUUAGAAAUCAUCCCCUAAUAAUGAUUCUUCCUCCUCAGAUUUUUUACUAUUAAUAUUUUUCUCCUUGAAUUCUUUACAAUAAACAAGGCAAAUCACAUGUAAGAAUGAAUGCAUUAAACACUCUCUAAACAAGUAUAUCAAUGCAAUUCAUAUACAAAUCUAAUGAUACUCCCCAAUAAGAGUUUUCAUUAAUUCCAACUAUUUUAAACACAACUCCAAAUACCCUUUACUUCAAACUAAAAAAAAGCUGAAAAUUCUAAAACCAUAAUUUCAAGGAUAGGACCAUCAAAUUUAAGCUCAUAUUGCCUACUAAUCCACUCAUUAAAAUAGGAUAAAUUUCUCAACCAAGAUAAGAACCAAGAAAAUUAACUAAUGAAGAAAUAGAGAGAAUAAGGCGAUAACACCAAGAUUUCACAUGGGAAAUCUUUGAAGAGUUCAAAAAUCACAAGCUUACAAGCAAUAAAAAAACAUCCACUAUGAAGAACAACAACUAAGUACAAGGUUUUACAUAACUCAAGUCAACUAAUCCUUCCUAAACCACUUGACUAGCACCCUUCAACUUCAACUACCCACCUUCUUCUUCUUAAGCACACUUGGAGUUCACACCAAGCUCGAUCUCAACCUCUUCUUGAACUCACACAAAUGAAAAUGGGUUUUAACUCAAACCUAAACCAAAUGAAAACAAAGGAAAUGGAUGGUAGAACCCUAAUGAAUUAACCUAUAAUUUUUUUUUAUUUAGAAAAUCCAAUAGGAAAGCUUAUUUGAAGAUAAAAAAUGGAAAGGAUUUUCUUGUCAACCAAACAUGCCCACCAUGCAUUGAAGAGAAAGCUCAAGGGAGUGAGAAAAUGAUUACUAGUGUUCUUCACAACCUAAAAUGAAAAUGUGGGUUUAAAUAGGAAGGAGAACCCUUAAUCCAAUGGCUAAAAAGUGAUCCAAUAGUAUAUAAAUCAAUUUUAUGUAAAUCUUUUAAUGUUUUUUAAUGCCUUUUAAAAUUAGAUUUCAAUGUAGUUUGUAUCAUAUGUACCUAUUGAAUUAGGUUUUAAGGUAAGGCACAAUUUGAAUGUGUUUUCGUUCUUAAAGUUCUUAUUUUAUUAGUACAUCCUAGUGAGCAUUUUACAUGUUUAUUGACUUUCUUUGGUGAUUUUCCAAGAUUCAUAUGUCAUGUCAUUCAGAGAAUGAAUAAAGUUUUUUAUUAUAAUCUAUUUUGCUUUUACAUAUAGAUAGUAUCGAAUAAAUACCUCUUAGUAGAGGUUUGAUGAUUUGAUUAGUAACUUGCACCAAUGGUCACUUUUUUUAUAGAAUAUAAUCUGGUGUAAGAUAAAUACAUGUUUGAAUUUAAAUCAACUAAUAGAUCUCUCUCUAAUUAUAUGAAUUCAAAAAGACAUUUUGAAUUCAAUUAAAACAACCUUACCCAAACAUGGGUAAUGAAUAUAGAUCAAAUCCAAAAUUGAUUUAGAAUCUAUUCUCUCAUUCACAUUGGUUUCCAUAAAAUGAACUUCUCUAAAUCUCAUGUUUAGUCUUCUCACCAUAUAAAAAAAAUGUGCAACAUGAUAAGAAGAUGAAUAAUAUGAGUGCUUAUGUUAAAUCCCCAUCUAACAUAACACAUAACUAAAAAAAUAUCUCAUCUAGACCCUAAUGUCACGGACUUAGUCGUUCACUAAGCUCGUGCGGCACUUAGGCAAGUCAAGAUGCUUGAUCUUGCUAAGUCAGCCUUGCUCCCAAUGCUUAGCUUGCUAGGCUAAGAUGCUCAUGACUCGAAAGCUGAAGAAGCUUAGUAGGCAACUCUUUAAAGAAUGAAAGCUCUUAUUAACUCAAGGAAGCUUUUACAAGUGCUUGGAAGCUCACUUGCUUGGUGUCUUGGUCAAAUGAGGCCCUCACCUAUUUAUAGGCACCAAUGGAACUCUCUGGAACCCUGGAGGGUUCCUUACAACUCAAGACUAUUCUAGAAUGUCCUACAUCAUUCUAGGUACAAGCCUAUGUACAAGGAUAUACAAGAGACUUCUGGAGUUCUCUAGAAAGCCCCAGACUCCUCUCAUGCCUUCCACCAUAGUGUAGAAUUGUGUGGAUUCCUCCAGGCUUCUCUAGAACCUUCCACACUCUUCCCACUCUAGGAGUCUUUAGAAGCUUCCUGACUCUAUAUAAGCCCACGGGGAGGCUCAUUUGAAUCAGCUUGUGACACUAAGCUCACUAAAAACACUAAUCAAAUAUUUUUAAAAUCCUUAGUCACUCAUGCAAUCCAUUAAAACUUAACAACUUUCUUAACAUUUCUCAUUGGAUUGUAUCUAUCAUGACCCUUGGAUAACAUGCUAAGUUAAAGACAUCUAACCCUUAUUUCAUGGCAUAGUUUUAAGUUCAAGGGUAUAACAUCUAUUUAAUAGUUCAUUAGAGUUCACAUCUUGUUGGAGUAGGGACAUAUCUAACCAAUACCUUAAAUAGACAUAAAUAACACAUAAUAUAUAUAUAUAUAUAUAUAUAUAUAUAUAUAUAUAUAUAUUAUGUUAGACUCGUAGCCUGGAUGACUUUAUCACGUUCAUAAGUUGUAUGAAUCUUAGUCUAGUUGCCUCAAAAGAGCUUAACUUGAGAUUUUUAGCCUAAUAACUUAUGAAACUCAUGUCUAAGAUCUUGCAUUCAACUUCAUUCAUGGUUUAUGAAAUUAUUGAAUAAUUUCAUAUUUGAUUGUUACAAGUGUUCAUCUUAGCCCAACUAAGGCAAAUAACAUUCUAAAUUUGAUUGAUUUUGCUAGGUUUUUGAGUGACAAAAGAAUUAUCAUCUUGCUUAUUGUUUGAACAUAACCAUUUAAGGAGCCAAUGUAAGCUUGAUGAAAAAUAAAAAAGAAAACAAUUUAUGCAAUAUAUGGUAUUCAUUAUCCAAGGAAUUCAUAUUCAUAAUGCACACAUGCAAACAAUACUCAUAGAUAAAAAUGUUAGUAAAAAAUGAUAUCCAAAUAUGCAUCAAAAUUUAUGAAGUUCUAAACUUCUAAUAUGAGUCUACAAAACAUCUCUCAUAAUCGUUUUAGUAAGAGGAUCGACCAUCACAUUGCUAGUAGACAUGUAUCAAGACCAUGAUUUUAUGGGACUAGUCGUAUCUACAUCACAAUAUUCUAUCAAUAUUAGGUGUCCACCUUGAUAUUAUAGAACAAGAUCUAUCAUGCCUGGGAGACAAUGAAAAAUACUCUUGAUGGCUUAUUCUUGGACAAGUCUUUGCUUACUCUGAUAACGAUUGAUCAAUCUAAUUGUCAAACGUAUGUCAAGUUGAGUACAUAAUAUAACAUACAUAAGACUUUUGAGUGUUGCAUUGGAAACUCUUGUCUUUUUUUCACUUUACCUCACAUAAGGCAUUCAUCAAGGCUCCAAGUAUGACAUUUUUUUUGUUAGAGCUUCUAUGGGUUUGCAAUCAUGUGUCUCAAAUCUUUUUAGAAUCUUCUUAAUGUAUGUCUCUUGAGACAUAUUGAAAAGCCUUUGAGCAAUCCCUUAUGAUCUUAGCUCUAAGCACAAAUUUGCUUCUCUAUAUCCAUACAAAGGCAAAGGAAAACCACUUAGUCAUCAUAAGAAUGGGUGUUAUUUUCAGCCAAUAAAAUGUCAUCAACAUAUAAAGAUUGUUGGGAAUUGUCCCAAAUUCCUAAUUAGUAAAAAUUAUUUUUUGUAAAGAAUAUUGUAUAGAAUAUUUCAUGAGUUAAUAUAUUAUUGUAAUAUUAGAUUUCCUUAUAGAAUAAAGAAAAUUGUUGGAAAUAUCUCUAUAAAUAUUCUAGGUCAUGAGGGGAAAAGUUAUGAUAUGGAGAUGGGUCUGUAGAGACUAUAUGAGAUGGAUAGAGAUGUGAGGAAGAAUGGGAGGUACUUAGUGGAGCGAUAGUGCUCAUGGUAGGGAAUGGAUACUAAGAGUGGGAAACAUGGGAUGUUUCAGGAACCCAAUAGUUGUAUCUGGUUAUGUCCUCUAUAAUGUUUUGGUUCUGUCCUCUGUAAUGUUCUCUAUGUAUACACUACAAGAAAUUUUGCUUUUCCCUACUAAUAUACAUAGUAGGAAUAAACAUUUACCAAUGGAUAAUCCCAUCGCAUGGUAGUUGGGGAAAGGUGUGUUGGCAAAAGUCUAUUAAUGAGAAUUUUCCGUCACCAAUAAAAAAAUUUUAGCAACAAACUAUCCAAUGGAUUUGGACCGUCGCUAUUACCAAUGGAUUAAGUUGGUUGAGAAAUGUAAAUAGUAAAAGAUUUUAAGUUCUCAUGAAAUUUCAAUUUCAUUACAUUAACAUGGAGCAUCUUGUACACACCUCUCCUUGCUAGUUUUGGAUAUUAACUUGGUUGUUGGCUAGCCAACACACUCUUUGCUAGUUUAGGAUAUUGUCUUGGAUGCUGUUUCUCGGGAUUGAACCCUUGAGCUCAAGUUUGAAAGGAAGCAAUUGUGUCACCAAGUCAACUUUGUUAUUUGCAAUAUAAAGAAUGUAUAUAAGAUUCAUAAAUGUAAAUAUCCAAUACUUAUGCAUUUAUAUUAUAAAUAUUAUCUAUAUAUAAAUACAUAUUAUAUAUAAAUUAUAUAUGCAUGAAUUAAUAUCUAUAUAUAUAUAUAUAUAUAUAUAUAUAUAUAUAUAUAUAUAUAUAUAUAUAUAUAUAUAUAUAUAUAUAUAUAUAUUAUAAAUUGAUUAAAAUAAAAUUAUUAGAAAUUAAAUAAGUUUGAUUCUUGUGUAUUUUGUAUAAUAAUUAAAUAUAAGAUAAAUAUAAAUUUAUAAAUAAAAUUGUCAACAUUUUAAAAUAAAAAUACUUUUACAUGUAUCACCAUUUUUUUUAUGUUAUUGAAUACAUUUAAAUUAGAUAAAUCUCUAUAAAAUGUAUUUUUAAAUUUUAAAUAUUAUUAUUUGAUAUCACAAAUUAUAUCAUAUAUAUAUAUAUAUAUAUAUAUAUAUAUAUAUAUAUAUAUAUAUAUCAAUAAUUUUUAAUUUAUUUCUUUCUAAAAUGGACAAUAAAAAGUAGUUAAAAAUUAUUAAAAUGUUAAAACUAUUAUGAUUAAAAAAAUGUAAAUAUUGUAUGAAACUAAAAAAAUAAUCAUAAAAUUGUUUUAUCACUAGCUAGAUCGUAUUUAUCAUACAAAUAUGGUGAAAAGAUUUUAUAUUCAUAAGACAACAAUUAUUUUUGGAACAAAUUAUUAGUGGUAUUAUCAUCCACUAUAAUAAAAUUGUUUUAGUGAGUAGUAAUUUUCAUAGAAAAGAUUAUUUAUCAAAGUUCACUUCUUUUUUUUAACAAGUAAAUUGUUUUUGUUACAAAGUAUAUUAGUUGACGAUUUGCAAUGGUUUAAAUCCACUACAAUAAUAUUUUUGUCGAUGGGUAUUUUUUGUUGCAAUUGCCGUCGGUAAAUAGUUACAUAUAAGCGACGGACAAUUCAAUUUGCGAAGGAAUAGGUGUGUUAGAAAUUUGCGACAACUUAAAUCUAUCGCAAAAUAAAAUAUAAAUGGGUCAGCCAUAAUUUUUUGGUAGUGAUAGUGAAAUGAUUCUCUCUCAUCCGUGGAUGUAGACAUGGUUGGCCAAACCAUGUUAAAACCUCAUAUACUAUUUGUGUUAAUUAUUUUAUCUCUGUGUUCAUGAAUUAACCUUGUUUGCAUGAAAGUUUUCACUAUCACAACAAACUGGUGUCAGAGCUUUGGAUUGAGGAUUUCUGGAAGAGCAAAAGAUUAAAGAGCACACGAGACGAAGACAAAAGGAAUUUUAGUUGAAGGUGGAGUCGAUUGCUCUCUCGUGUUGAUAUGAUACAAAAAGCUUGUGUCAUGGAGAGAUUGAAGAUUGGCUUCAUGGAAUUUGGUCUGAGGUGGAGAUUGUUAAGAAUUGUCUCAAAUUCCUAAUUAGUAAAGAUUCCUUUCUAUAAAGAAUAUUGUAUAGAAUAUUUCCUAAGUUAAUGCAUUAUUAUAAUAUUAGAUUUCCUUAUAGAAUAAGGAAAGUUGUUGGAAAUAUCUCUAUAAAUAUUCUAGGUCAUGAAAGGAAAAAGUUAUGAGAUGGAAAUGGGUUUGUAAAGACUAUACGAGGUGGAUAGAGAUGUGAGGAAGAAUGGGAGGUACUCAGUGGAGUGAGAGGGCUUGUGUUAGGGUAUGGAUACAAAGAGUGGGGAAACAUGGGAUGUUUUGAGAACCCAAUAGUUAUAUUUGGUUCUAUCCUCUAAAAUAUUCUCUAUUGUAUAUUGGAAUGAUUCUCUCUCAUCUGUGGACAUAGGCAUGGUUGGCGGAACCACAUUAAAACCUCGUGUACUGUAUGUAUGAUUGUUUUAUCUUUGUGUUUUUGAAUUAACUUUGUUUGCAUGAAAGCUUUUGCUAUCACAACAAACUGGUAUCAGAGCUUGGGUUGAAGAUUUCUAAAAUAUCAAAAUAUUACAAAGCACACAAGAUGAAGACAAAAGGAAUUUUAGUUGAAGGUGGAGUCGAUUGUUCUCUCAUGGUGAUAUGAUACAAAAAGCCAGUGUCAUGUAGAGAUUAAAGAUGGACUUCAUGGAAUUUGGUCCAAGGUGGAGAUUGUUGGGAAUUGUCCCAAAUUCCUAAUUAUUAAAGAUUCUUUUUUAUAAAAAAAAAAAUAUUGUAUAGAAUAUUUCAUAAGUUAAUAUAUUAUUGUAAUAUUAUAUUUCCUUAUAAAAUAAGGAAAGUUGUUGGAAAUAUCUCUAUAAAUAUUCUAGGUCAUAAGGGGAAAAGGUCAUGAGAAGGAGAUGGGCCUAUAGAGACUAUGUGAGGUGGAUAGAGAUGUGAGGAAGAAUGGGAGGUACCCAAAGGAACGAGAGGGCUCAUGGUAGGGUAUGGAUACAAGGAGUGGGGAAAUAUGGGAUGUUUCGAGAUCCUAGUAGUUGUAUAUGGUUCUCUUCUCUGUAAUAUUUUCUAUUGUAUGGUGGAAUGAUUCUCUCUCAUCCGUGGACGUAGGCAUGGUUGGCAAAACCACAUUAAAACCUUGUGUAUCGUAUGUGUGAUUGUUUUAUAUUUGUAUUUUUUAAUUAACCUUGUUUGCAUCGAAGCUUCCAUUGUCACAACAAAGACAAAGUAAACAAACAUCUCACAAAUCAUUUAAAAGAAAAGGCAAUUCUCUUAAUCAAUCAUAACAAGUUUCAAAUUACAAAUGCCUUAAUUUUCAAAAAAACUUUGAAUGUUAGCAUUGAUAUUUUUUUUUUUCCUUUGUCAUUAUGAAAUAGAAUAUCCAUUUAUUCCAUUAUAAAUGAAUCAUCACAUAAUCAAACCUUAUUGGGUGAGUACACUUCUGGCUUAAAAGCAUGAAAUGAUAAGAAAAUGGCAAUGAAUGUGAACAACUCUUUCAAGAUCACUUGAGUCAAAGUUGUUAUUGUCAUGGAAUUGCUACAUGCAUCUUACUUGUUAUCUAAUGAAACAUGGAGAUCUCACACACAACCUCAUUUAGACUAACACAACCUCAUGCAUUUGAUAGUGAUUUUAGGAAGUGGUUCCAGAAUUUGUAAUACUUGAGAGAUAAAAAUUUUUAAGUAUUAAAAAAAUUGGAAACAUUUCCUAAAAUAACGGCUAAACCUACUCUAAAUGUUUAUAGUCUUGGUAUAUUGUUUGUAUUAUCAAUAGAAGAGUGGUAUUGUCACUCGUUUUCCAUGUGUCGUGUGGUGUCUUUGUGGUCCCAUCAUUGCUUAAACCUACUCUAAAUGUUUAUAGUCUUGAUCCAUUGUUAAUAUUAUUAGUAGAAUAGUGGUAUUGUCACUUGGUUUUCCAUGCACUGUGGUGUCUUCGUGGUCCCAUCAUUGCUUAUUUGUAGUCUUGCCCACUAUUUAGUUUCCUUGCACGCUCAGUAGUCAAUGGCAUUUAAUUUAGGAGCAGUAGAAUUUUCAUGAAAGCAUUCACACAAGUGAGUGGACUACAUAGGUCAAGAACAAAUACUGAGAUAAUAAUUGAAGGUGGGGGAGGGGGGGGGGGGUUUAGACUUGGUAUUUUUCUAACUUUUUGAUUUAAGCAUUCACUUAAUUGAAGAUUUUUAGUAAAUAUUUAAUUGAUAAUAGAGUUAAUAAAUGAUUAAAACAUCAUGGAUAUUUUUUCAACAAUAAAUUGCUUUUUAUGUGUCAAAUAAAUUUUUAUGGUUUUAUUUUACUUCCCUAAGAAUUUAGGGGAAUGAGCUUGUAAUCAUUAUGAUAAAGGCUUAUUUGGACUAUGAAUAAAAAUAAUUAUCCAAUUGCAAAAAUAAUCUCUCUUUCUAAUUUUGCUAAGAGAUAAUGCUCAUAUGAAUUAUAGAGAAAGAUGAUUGAACAUUUGCAUACUCAAGGCUCUGAGCCCUUCAUCGCGAUGAGUAAAAAUAACUAUAAAUGAUAUUUUUUUUGAUGUUCUUGGUGGCAAGUUUGGUUAUGUUCAAGGACUUGAUCAUAGUGAGGUGAUUAACACCUUUACUCAACACAACUUAUAUAGAGGUCAUUACAACUAAAUAGAAGAUAGGACAACUACAAAAUCAAGUUGAAUACUAAUAUAGGCAAUUGGAUGAGCAAGCUCACAAGGGGCACGCUUGAUGGUUAGAUGAGAAUAGUAAUGAAAAUCAAUGCACUGAUACAUCAUUGAAAUUUGAAUUAUCCAAUCUUAACAAAUUGAUAUUGCAAUUUGUAACAUCAAAGAUGUAAUAAGAUACACUACAAUAUGAGCUAAACAUUGGCCAAUAGUAUGUUUUGGUGUGAUGCAACUGAAGCCAUUUUGUUGGGUUUUCAACAUUAUAUUUUGACUUUUCGGCUAUGUUUGGUUUCCAAAAAAAUUGAGGAAAAAUGCAAUGGAAAGAAAAUAUAAAGGAAUGGUAGAAGGAAAUAAAAAAUAAAGAAAAAUAAAAAAUAGAUUAAAACUCAAUAAAUUAUUUUUAUUACUUCAAACUCAUUUUAUAUAUUUUAACUUAUUGAUAUAAAGAUUAAAUAAUUUUAAAAUGUAUAAUUUGCUAACUAGUUUUAAUUAUAUUUGAUUUUAAAAAAAAAUCAUGUAACAACCAAACAUGAGAAAGUAAUUUUUCUUAUCGUUUUUUUUUCUUUCCUUAAUAUUUUUCGAAACCAAACAUAAUAUUAUAAUUACUACUUUGAUUCCCAAUAUAAUCAUUCCUUAAUGAGAUAGAGUGUGAUCCUAAAACCUUUUCUUAUGAAUGAGAAAAUGCGAAAUGACUAUUGAAAGGCAAAGCUCCACAUUUGAGGUCACAUCCAAUCCAAGAAUUAUCAUUACAAGAUCUAAUGAAGGGUCUAGAAAAAAGCUUUCUUCCCAUCAUAGGCCACAAAUUGAAUGGCCACAACUACCUCUAAUGAUCCCAAUCUAUGAUGAUGUUCAUAUGUGGGAAAAGCAAAUAUGAUCAUCUCACCAGAGCAAUAACCAUUCCAAAAAAAGAAGAUCUAACUUUCAAAGUCUGGAAAUUAGAAAAUAAUAUGAUAAUGUCUUGGUUGAUUAAUUAAGUUACCAAUGAGAUAGAAGAAAAUUUCCUACUCUAUGGUACUGCAAAAGAGAUUUGGGAUGCAACUAAAAAAACCUAUUCUAGUUAUGCAAAUACAUCAAAACUAUUUCUAUUGAAAGUAUCCUUCAUGAACUUUGAUAGAGAGAUUCCUCUGUCACCUAGUACUUUAAUUUCCUCAGGUGUUAGUGGCAACAACUUGACCUAUUCAAAGUGCACGAGUGGAAGUGUCUCAAAGAUGAAGCAUUGUAUAAACAGAUCAUUGAAAAGAAAUAUGUGUUUAAAUUUCUUAUGGGAGUAAACAAAGAUCUUGAUGAAGUCUAUGGAAGAAUUUUAGGAACAAAGUCAUUGCCCACUAUUCAAGAAGUUAUUUUAAAGGUUCGUUUGGAGGAAAGUCACCAAAAGGUGAUGAUGGGAUCAUCAAAUUCCUCAUCCAUUGGAAAAGGAUCUGCUUUGACUGUUCGUGGUUCCCAACAACACCUAAAUAAUGAUAAUAGACCAAGGAAGGGACAACCUUAGUGCAAUCACUACCGCAAACCUAGCUAUACCAAGGACACCUAUUGGAAGAUCCAUGGAAAACUAGCAAAUUGGAAAUCUACCCAUCUUUCCAAUGACUAAGAGAGCCAUAGACAUCUUGUUUCUACCAACAACAACACCACUUCUUCAUAACCAAUCUUGUUCAACAAAGAACAAAUGGAACUACUCCAAAAAAUGUUUGCUCAAUCAUAGAGUAAUUGUCGUGUAUUACCUUUUAAUUGGAGGGAUGACUGGUCUUGGCCAUUAAGAUGAGGUUCCCAUGAUGAGUGCACUAGUGUGUAUGUUUAUACAUUGAACAUGACCUAUAGUGAGUCAUGAUAUAAGGCUAUCAAGUAGUCAUAACUUCACCAAACAGUCAUACUGUAUUGUCUCUCAACCUUAAGAGAAUACAAAGCUUAUGUUAAAGUUAGUAAAGGCUUUGACCUAUAGUGAGAUUGUAAGUUAAUCGUAUAUUUCCUAUGGAUUGAGUCAUUAUUGAUAGCAAUUGGCAUUCUCAUUAGAGGCACCAUGAUAUCUCAUGGACUUUAAAAGAGUGUCCCCUUGAGUGAUCCUAAGGAUGUGUGAUCAUGAAAUCUAUGGGCUCGUAGUAAUUCCUUUAAUGGAAUUUGACGUAUGCUCUUAGUGAGUUACAGUAUGUCAUUUGAUCACAUGUAACUCAAAGAUUACAAAGGUAUUCUUGAAAGGCUAAUAGUUUUUACCUUAUUAGACUAUGGACAACUAGUUUAUAGGAAGACUAUUUAUAAUGGCUAAUAGGUCACAUAUUAGAGCACUUGGUGUCUCAUUGUAUUAUAUAUAGAAUAUUGGAGUGCAGUUAAUUCUCUAUAGUGGAAUGUUGAGUUAACUUCAAAAUUGGAUUAUGAAGGAGUCAGUACUAUCCUAUGGGUCUUAGUGGUCCCCAAUCAAGUUCAUAUUCCUUGAUGACAUGGUUACAAAAAGGUAUUUUUUGCAUAAGAGUAUUUUAUUUUUUUUGUAAUUAUGUAAGAUUACAAAAAGGUAAGUGAACAAAAUCUCUGGAUUGAGUUAAUUGAUUAAUUAUGUGACCCUAUUAGGUUGAUUAAUCAAUUAACCUAAUAGGGUCAUGUAAUUAAUCAAUUAGGACCCAUCUUGAGCUAAAUUAAGUGACUUAAGCUCAUGGUAGGCUUAAGUUGCUUAAGCCCAAUUAGGAAACCUUAUAAAUACCUUCUUAGGGGUUAGGGUUUUUAAGACAGUUGUCUUUUAUCAUCUAAUUUGUAGAUAGCAAUAGUCUUUCCCCUUCUAAAAACCCACCUUUGAGGUGUCAAGAUUGAGUUUGAGUCAUUGAGACCUCUGGAUACUUCAGACUUCAAUUUCACCGCAUGGACUUGAUUUGAGAAUAACCAAAUCAAUGUAAAGUUUUUCUCUUUUGAUUUUUAAAUCUUGUUAAAGUUUUAAAAUGUUUGCUUACGUUUUGCAUAGGAUUUAGAAAAGUCUAGGAAAGUUUUUGCAUGCACUUAACUUGAUUCUGGGAUAGGGAAUAGAGUGAUUUUGGUUUUCUUACAAUUUGUACCAUGUCUCACAUUCUUUGUUCCAUGUCUCACAUUUUUCGUACAUUUUUCGUACAUUUUCUCACAUUUUUCGUACUAUGUCUCACAUUGUUUGUAUCAUUCUUCAUAUUCUUUGUGUCAUUUCUCAUAUUGUUCGUACAAUUCCUUACAUUGUUUGUAUCCUAUUUCCCAUUUUUUGUACCCUCUCUCUCACAUUGUUUAUAUCAUAUGUCUUACAUUGUUCCUACCAUUACUUACAUUGCUUGUACAUUUUCUCACAUUUUUCGUACUAUGUCUCACAUUGUUUGUAUCAUUCUUCAUAUUCUUUGUAUCAUUUCUCAUAUUGUUUGUACAAUUCCUUUCAUUGUUUGUAUCCUAUUUCACAUUUUUUGUACCCUCUCUCUCACAUUGUUUAUAUCAUAUGUCUUACAUUGUUCCUACCAUUACUCACAUUGCUUGUACAUUUUCCCACAUUUUUCGUACCAUUUCUCAAUUCUUUGUACCCGUACUCACAUUCUUCGUACUUUAUUUCACAUUAUUCGUAUCCUAUCUCACAUUGUUCGUAUCAUGUCUUACAUUUUUUUGUACCAUUUCUCAUAUUGCUCAUACAUUUUCUCUUAUUAUUUGUACUCUUUCUCAUAUUGUCUAUACCCUCUCUCACUUUAUUUGUAUCCCCUCUCACAUCAUUGAUACCAUGUAUCAUAUUAUUCGUAUCAUUUUUCACAUUGUUCGUACCAUUUUCUCACAUUGUUCAUACCAUUUUCUCACAUUGUUCGUACCAUUUUCUCACAUUGUUCAUACCAUUUUCUCAUAUUAUUCUUACUUUUUUUCACAUUCUUUGUACCUUAUCUCACAUUAUUUAUACCUUUUCUCACUAUUUCAUAUCUUUUUUUUUUCUUUUUGCAUUCUUUCACGUCUUUUCUCACAUUUUUGUUUAUAGUAAAGGUAUGAUUUAAAAUUUUAAAAAGUCAUGAAUAAUACUUUAUAAUCCCUAAAGACAAAAAUAAAACAAGAUGAUUGAAAAUAUUGAAUUUUUUUUUUAAAAAAAAAAAAACAAUUUGAUAACAAAUGACUAAAUUAUCACAAUUUGAUCAAUAACAUGCUCAUAAAAAAAUUCCAAAAAUCUAUAUCUUAUGAAUUAUUACAUAUUCAAACGUUAUUUUAACAUGACGAUUCUACCUACAAAAUUUAUGUUUAAAUUAAAAAAAAAAGUAUCAAAUAUUACCUUUUAACACUUGUAAUUGCUUGAAAUCCUUCAUAUAAUAUCUUCUUCAAGAAAUAAAAAUUUUGUUUACCUUCUUCAAAACAUAUAAAAUUUAAUCUAUGAACACAAAAAAAUGAUAUAAAAAUAUUGAAAACAAUUUGAUAACAAAUGAUGACUAAAUUAGCUCAAUCUUAUUAAUAAUAAACUCAUAAAAAAAUUUUAAAAUCCAAAUCUUAUAAAUCAUUACAUAUUCAAAUGCUAUUUAACAUGACAUUUCUACUUACAAAAUUUAUACUUAAAUAAAAAAGUAUCAAAUAUUACCUUUAACAUUUAUAAUCAUUUGAAAUCCUUCAUACAAUAUCUUCUUCAAGAAAUAUAUUUUAUUUUAUUUUAUUUUUUGUUUUUUUGUUUUCCUUCAUCAAGAAAUUUCAAAAUUUAUCGCCAAAUGUGAUUUACCAAAACACAUCAUACAUAUUUUCACAUAUUUUCCAAUAUAGUAGUUGAAUCUAUUUAAUUUUCAUAUUAAAUUUUCUCUUUUUGUAUAUUUAAAUAAUGAGAAUACAAGGGUAGUUGAUAGGAUCUUGUUAUCUAAGAUAACGGUUAGGUAUUUCAUCAAAUAACAAAUUAUAUUUGAUAUUUAAUCUUAAAUUAUAAAAAGAAAAUUGUAAUAUUUACAUAGAUAUGAUAUGCAUGUGAUUAUUUCUCAUAAAUGGGUUAUGUUUACCUAUUUGAUAACUCUUUUUUUUUAUCAAUGGGUCAUGUUUACCUAUUUGACAAGUAUUUUUAAAAAUUUUUUUUUAAUCUCAUACACUUUAUACAUGUCAUUUUAUUAGUGGGGUCAAAUGUGGGUAGGUACCCCAAAAUAAAUAAUGGAUAUCAAAGAACCACCCGUUUUAAAGAUAUAAAGAUUUAUUGGACCAAUGUGGUAUUCGAUAUUGACUUAAACUUUUUUUUAUUCGGUGCAACAAGAGGUAUUUGAUGUUCCAAGUCCAUCCCUCAUAUUCAUUAGAUCAUUGUAGACAAUAUCUACAUAGAACAGUCUCAUAGGUUCAUUGGACUAGAACGAAGUGCCUUUGUUUAUUCAGCCUCUCAAGAGGUAUUUGACCUUGCGAACCUAACUCAUUGGACUAUUGUAAACAAUAUUUACAUAUCUCACAAGUUCAUUAGAUCAAAACAUACAAUAUUUAUAUAUAAAGGGUAUUUGUUUUAUAUAGACCAAAAUGAACAAUGUUUAUAUGGAAGGAAUCAGAUUAUUGCAACUUUGUCCUACAAAAGAAUGUAGACCCUCCAUUUUGUCCUUCUAGCACAUGUCCUAUUAUGUGUUCGUUUGGUGCUUUACAAUAAUUCCUUGGUGACCCAUUAUUACUCAUGUAGUUUAUCAUUUAUGAGCCAUCUUGGAAACUCUUAUUGAGAAAUUUAUCUAACCCCGUUGUAACCCUUGGCAGCCCUAAUUUAGACUUAGGCACUAUCCUAAACACCCUAAGCCCACUUAGGUACACUUGGCUCAUUAGGCACCACCUUAAGCUCACUUAGGCACUCUUGACUCAUUAGGCACCACAUUAAGCCCACUACCUUAGGUCAAUCUAAGUUCACUUAGGCCCACUUAGGUUCAUCUUGGCCCACUUAGGUACUAUCCUAAACACCCUAGGCUCACUUAGGUACACUUGGCCCAUUAGGCACCACCUGAGGCUCACUUAGGCACUUUUCUAAGUCCAUUUAGGUUCAAUUUAGCCCACCUAGGACCACUUUAGGCACCACUAGGCCCCAACCCAUUUAGUUCAUUCGUUGACUAACUUUCCUGCAUGGUUGCAUGGUUUGCAUGGAUUACCUUAUUGCAUGGCUAGCGUGACUUAUUCAACUUGCAUGUGAUUGAUCUUCCUUUUUUACUUCUUUUUUUGUGGUAUGAUUCCCCCUCUCAAUUUAUUUAUUUUGAUUUUGAUCAUGAUUUAAUACUUGAUUUUAUUUUCUUGUUAUUUUUUUUGGGAGGAAUGCACAUUCUGAAGGGGAGGACACCAAGUUGCCAUUCUGAAGAUGGUAGAAUACCAAGGUGAAUAAGGAAUGAAAGAAGAAAGAAAGAUUAUGGUAUGGAAAAAUAAAUAGGGCAUUUUGGUAAGUAAGGAUCCAACAAGGUGAAUUUUGGAAAACUGGAGAUUCAGUCGACGUUUGGAAGAAGAAGAUCUGAACAUGCACAACAGAAAGGAAGGAGGGGAGAUUAUGUCUUCGCUUCCUGGGGAAAUUUUGAAUUUCAAAGGGUGGCUUUCCGGGUAACUUUCAUGAGGAGUAACCGUUGUGAUAAGCUUGAGGUCACGGGACCAUGGGGAGAGCUAAUCUCGAAGUAGCUUCAACGGAGGCGAGUGGUGACAGGAUGGCGUAAAAAUCAAAGCUUGAAAACUGUGGGAUUAUAUGGGUAUGUAAGCUCUAGGGUUCACGCAGUGACACUGUUGUUUGUCUUUUGUAUGUGCUUUUUUUCAUGGAUUCGCCCACCGGUACCACUCUCUUUCCCACAAACUUUUUCUCUCUCUUCGUUUCUCAUCGAUUCUCUAAAUAUUUUCUCAUGAGCCUUCUCUGAAAUCCAAGUUUCCGUAUUGUACAGCUUCUAUUUUGACUCUUCUUCCCAAGAAAAAACUUAUUCCCUGAUUACAUAACAAGACGGAUUUUUAGCAGCAAGUUUGUCAAGAGAUGGGCAUCACAAACUCUAAAAUAGAAAAAGAUAAAGUUUCUUUUCAUGGGAAGGAAGAAUCUCAAGACACAGAAGAUGAAUUUGAUGAGCCUUCCACAGAUACUCUAGUACGAAGUUUUGAAAAUCUUAAUAAGGUACCAGAUCAUGUUGCAGCUAGUUCUUCACCUAUUAUGCCUUCCACAUGAAGUGUAACUUCAGAAUCUGGGUAUUUGAAUGGGGAGAAAAACAAAUCUCUCGGUUUCUCACCAUUGAGAAGCACAUCCUCGGCAGUUGCACUUCAUUCUGGUGUAAGGAGCACACCUAUAAAAGAAAAUGGUAUUGAAAAUAAGGUUGCCCCAAAGAACUUCUUUUCAAGCAUAAGAGAUGUAGAAUAUCUCUUUGUUAAAGCUUCUGAAUCUGGAAAAGAAGUUCCAAGGAUGCUUGAAGUGAAUAAAUUUCACUUUCGUCCAAUAUUCCCGUAGAAAGACAGUGGGUUCACAACAUCUAUACUAUUCAAAGCUUAUUUCUCAUGUGGGGAAGACCCAACUAUCAUUCAAGAAGAGCUUGCUCAAGCUGCCAUGAAGUACUUAACUUGGCAUAGGACAACUUCAUCUUGUUCCUCCUCAUCCAAGAAUCCUUUUGGCUCAAAUUCAAAGGAUGAUAUUGAGGGCCUUACCAGCAACCUCUUUAACAAUUUCUGCAUGAUCUCAGGCAAUCAUGCUUCAACCUUGGAUAGACUAUUUGCAUGGGAGAACAUCACGCAUCACCGAGGCUGCAGAUUUCUUGGGACGGGUGCCACUCAUGCAAAAGAAAAAAUGCUUGAUUCUUCAAGAGAGAGGAGGCACGAUUAGUAAAAGAAAGUCACCACGUACUAACAGCCACAAGCCACUUCAGGAAGUCUCCACAGCCGCAUGAAAGAGUCCACACAGUUUUGAUUUUCCGAAAACACACGCACACGCACGGUUUUGUGGAGGAAUAUCACGCAGCUUUGGAGAAAAGAAUAAAAUCACCACACGACUCCAUGGAGAGGAGCACGCACAGAUUUUGGAGAGCAGGAAGGGACUCUAUUCGGUCGCCAAUGUAGGACCACAUAGCCGCCAUUCAUCCUUAAGCCUUGCAGACGCUUCAUCCGCACCAUCCAUUAAGGAGUCUUGCAGUCGCUUCAUCCGCAUCAUCCAUUGAGGAGUCUUGCAGCCGCGCCAUCCAUUAAGAAUUCUUGCAUCCGCACCAUCCAUUAAGAAGUCUUGCAUCCGCACCAUCCAUUAAGAAGCCUUGUAGUCGCACCAUACAACAUAAUCUUGAAAAAGGUAAGUUGAAAUUCUUUAGUUUAGUUUUUGAUUCUUUGUUUUAGUUUGAAAAGGUCGGAAUUUUAUUAGCUUAAUUCUUUAGUUUAAUUAAUCAUGUUAGAUAAAUUUCAUGUUUUUAAUUCAGAUUUAUUUUAAUUAUAAUUCAUUCUUUAGUUUGGAAUAGUUGAAUAUUUUAAUUUAUAAGCUUAAUUAAUCUUAUUAGAUAAAGUUGAUGUUUUUAAUUCCAAUUUAGUUUAGUUUUAAUUUAUUUUUUAGUUUAAAUGUGUUUGUGUGUUUAAUUGAUCUUAUGCUAGUUCUUGAUUGUUAUUCUUAAUUGAUGUGUUUCUUGAAUCUUGGUCAUUAAUUCUUGAUGGAUAUCUCGUUAGUUUAUUUAAUCUAAAUUUUAAUAGUUUAUUGCUUUGAUAGUCCCUUGUCAAAUUUAAUUUUCAGAAGCCAUCGGAAAAUAGUGAAGAUUGGAUUCAUUCUCACCACUUUAGUUUGCUUGGUUGUAAAAAAUUUUACUUUGUGAUUUUGUUUUCUUUUGUUUUGCUUAGUAUUUUGUUUCUUAUGUUUUGUUGUUUUCAAAUUAAUCUUUUUUAUUUUAAAAUAAAAUACUUUUCUCAAAAGAUCCCUUUGAAAAUUUAUUUCAAAAACUCAUUUGGAGUUCUUAGAAUCAAAAUCUCAUUUUCUUAAAUAAUAUGUAACCAUGUUUUGAUCGGUUCGCAUCUUUCUCAAUUUUCAAUAAAAACUACGGUUUUGACUAAGACAUAAAUCCAAGUUUGUGGUCCCAAAUAAAUGGGAUGAUUCUAUGCUAGAUUUGUGUAUAUCAAUUGGGGAAUUGGUGAAACUCCUACAAAAAAUCAUUUUUUCAAAACUCAUCUUUGCUGCCACCUUUGCUACUUGUUGUAAUCAUAUCUAUCUAUUUUUUUUUCUAGGAAUUAUAUACAAGAUGUAUGUGAUAAUUGAUUAUUUCGUAUACUUUGAUCAUUUUUGCUAUGCUAAUUAGAUAACAAGCAUACUAGGAUUUCUUUAUUUUAUUAUUUAUUAUCCAACCCCUCGUGUCUUGUGGAAGCACGUUACAAGUUAUCUAUGCUAUUUAGGUACACUUCUUACCUUCGUAUCUUAAUUCCAUAAAUUAUGUAUUACUUUGUACAUGAUCAUUAUGUAUUGCUUCAUAAACAAUUGUCAACAUGUUCAACAUAUCUUUUUGAUUGUUUGUUUAGCUUGCCAUGUUUGAUUAAGAAACUAGGGCAAAAUACAUGUUGUGUGUUUUAUUUUCCAAGCUUAUAACCAUUGAUAUCUUGUGAUAGCGCUUAAGAAGCAAUCUAGGUACACACCCUAAAUCUUCUUUAUGAUUUGUGAUUGGUUUUCUUGCUUGGCAUGCUAUUUUUCGAAAUCACCUAGCCUACCUAGGUAUCUAUAAUCAACUAAUUAAUUGUCUCAUUUCCCUCAACUUAGUUAGUAGAAACCUUUGUAAGGCUUAGAGGGGUGCUACCUUUUGAGGUACCUUCCCAAUAGGUAACCUGAUUCCCAAACUUAGACUCGGGUUUUUCAAAGACACGCUUUUCCAAAAACUAUGGAGUCACUUCUUUAGGGUAUUCUUUCUUAUUUUAUUUUCCCUUUUAAAAUAAAAUAAAGUAAGUAGAUUUUCCGACUUUUCCAAAACUAACUUUUUACCAUAUAAAAGUGAGUAUCGUUGACGAGUGGGGAUGCAUGUGAAAAAUGCGGGUCCACAAGGAGCCAAUAUGAUGAGAAGUAAGGAGAUAAGCAACUAAGAACACAAAACACCAUGCAAGCUCAUAUGAUAAUUUAAAACUAGUUGCUAACAUAAGCAAAUGGAUUUACAAGUAUGGGUAGUUUGGUGAAGUCAAUUAACAUUGAGGACAUUGAAUUUUUGAAAUUUUUUAAUAGAUGUAAAAAUUUUCAUUGGUAUAGAUGCAUACCUAAAAAUGACAAUGAGGUUGAUUUUUUUAGAAACCCGUCUUGUCCUCAUACCAAGUUCAAGACAGGUUGGAAUAUGAUUUUGUCUUGUCUCCCCCCAUUUAAUAUAAAUAAAUGACACAAGAUUGAAAUGGAGGUGAUCCUUCCCAAACUCAUCCGUUGCCACCCCUAAUGUGUUAUCUAAAAGCUCCAUUUCCAAGGGUCUUUUCUACCUUUCCUUUAAAUGGGAAUAAUGCGUAAUAUAUUCCCUAUUGCUAUGGUUCAGUGUGAACUAGUAAACUUGGAGCCUCUUCCUAUGCUAUCUUUAUACUAUAAUAGCUACAUACUUCAGUCAAAGUCCACGAGACAUUCAUGAUAGACUAUCAAAAGAUAUAUGUCUAUGCACUGAUGGGUAUGCACAACUAUGCUAUAAUAUAUGACAUGGAACAAUGGAUUGUACAAUAAUAUAAUAUCACAUAAAAACAAUUGUUAACUUUGAUAUUUUUUUUUUUAAACAAGCAAACAUAACUAGAAAUCCUAUUUAUUAUCAAAUUAUCAAUUUUUUUUACUAAUUACAUAAUUAUCAUUAUAAAAUUUUACUUUGACAAUAUAUUAUAAUAUUUUCGGAUGUGUUAAUUAAAUUACUAUUUUAUUAAAUUAUAAGUUUUCAAAUUAAAAUAAUAAGAAAUAUAAUAAUUACUUUUAUAAAUGUUUUAACCAAAAAUAAAUAAAUUUAACACUUCACAUAUUCUGAUAUUAAUAAAAAUAAAUAAUUUAACGAUUAAUAAUAUUUAGACACUAAUAAAAAAAAGUCUAAACACUUAAUGAUAUGAAGUUAUAUUUAGAUUUAAGUCAAAUUCAAGUACAUUUAAAAUUUAGACAUAAAUAAAUAAAUAUAACGUUAAUUUUUAAAUUUUAAUUUAAUUUAUUUUUUUAAAAGUAGAAUGAAGAAGUUAUAGAAAAAAGUUAUGUCAUUUAUUAAUUAAGAGGGUGUAUGAUAAAACUUAAUACUUAUUACUUAAUUAUUGAAGUCAAUUUUAAGAUGAAUUAUUUUCAUUUUUAUUUUAGUAAACUUAACUUAAAAUUUUAAAAUUAUCAUAUUGAUAUAUUUAAACUCACUAAUUUUUCUUUGUAUUUAUCUUCAUAAACUUAAACUUGUUAAGCAUCUAUAUUAAAAGUACUAUUGUGAAGCUACAAAAUAACUACAAAAUAUUUACUAAAAAAACAAAAAGAAUUGUGAACAUAAAGUCACUAAAAUAAAAGUGAUUAUCAUCAAAUAUAAACAAAGAGAAUAAAAAAAACAUUUAGAAUUUAGAAUAAGUUAAUUAUUUUGAUUUAAUAUUUAAAUUUUUUAAAUUUUUAAAGAUGAUAAAUAAUUAUUUUAUCAAACACUAAGUUAAUUUAUCAGACACAUACCCUAACUAUGACUUAUGGUUGUCAUUGUCAUUCCCAUCAACAGGUCAUAUUAAUUUAUGCAUCAUUUGAAUAAUUUUCUUCCAUAUGUUAAGCAAGAACAAAAAUAUCAAUUUUUACCCAUAUAUCAUUAGUUGGAGUUUAUAGAUAUAUUAGGAAACAUUAAUGAAAAUUCCUAGAGAUAUAUAUAUAUAAUGUUGGAAAUAAUUCAAAAAAUAAUAGAAAAAAUAAUAAUGUAUAUAAUGAAAUUUUUUUAAGAAAAAAAAAUGAUAUGUUUAUAAUAAAUUUGUAAUCUUAGACAAUAAUAUACAAAAUUUCGAAACAUUAAUGCUAAAAUGAUAAAGCAUUAAUUUUAUAUAUAUUGAAGGAUAUAAAAUAAAUGUUGAUAUAUAUUUAUAACUUUUAUUUAAAAAUAUUUAUAAUUUUAUUUAUAAAUUUAUAUUUGUCUUAUAUUUAAUCACUAUUAAAAAAUAUAAUAAGAUAAUUAAAAUUAACUUAUUUAUAAUAAUUUCAUUUUAAUUAAUUUAUAAUUAUAAAUAUACAAAAGAUAUUGUGCAAGGCCCACGCUCAAAUCUUGAUGUUGUGUGUUUUUUUAAUAGCUUUAAGAAAGGAAAUCUACAAAAAAAUAAUAAAUAAUGUAUUGCUAUGUGACAUCACUAUUAUAAAGUUGUUGUGCUUCACUUUGACAGAUUAUGCAUGGGCUAUCUUUUGGCUGAUCAAAGGCCCACCACCAUGAUUAAAAUUUUUGAAAAACAUAGGUAUUUUAAAUUAUUUAAUUUUUAUUAAUGAAAAAAUAAUAAUUUAUUAAUUUUAUUUAUUUUUUAUUUAUUGAACUGAUUUAGAACUGUUUGAACCAACACCCUCUUUUUUAUUUUGUAAAAUGGGACACUGCCCAUGGGCUUCACCACUGUUUGCUUUACAAUGAAUGAAUGAGGCUUAUAAUGCUCUUUCUUAGUUCCUUUUAUUUCCUGUAUAGGACAAUUGUAGUGUCUAAUUUAAAGAAAAAUAAGCUUGGACGAUAGGUUCAAGGUAAAAUGUUGAUGUUAAAAAUUAUAAAUAAAAUAAAAUAAAUUACAUAUGUUAUUUUAAAAUAAUAAUAUAAGUAAACAUAUAUAUAAGAUUAUAUAGUACAAUUUUUCUUUCAUUUUCAAUAUAUUUUUAUAUUUAAAUAUUAUAGAUGUUUUGUUUAAUAAAAUUUAAAAUACUAAUACAUUUAUAUAAAAUUGAAGAAAUGAAUGUUAUUAAUUUUUAAUUUUAUAUAUUUUUAAAAUUUUAAAUUAUUUUUAAUUUUAAUAAAAUAUAUAUUAUAUAUUUACAAUAUUUAUUGAUUAUCGCAGUUCAAUUAUGACCAUUAAAACCUGUUUUGAAAACAUUAUGUUAAAGUUCGAGUUAGAUUAAGGUAUCCAAGCUCAAUUUUUAUUACCAGGAAAACUUCCUUCCAAUGUCCAAUCGACAGGUGGCAAAAUUGAAAAAAAAGGUAAAACUACAUAAAAAGUUGGGUGUGAAGAACUUUCCUAACUAUAAAGCUAAGGGGCCAAAAAAACUUAUUUUGUAAAUUAUAAAAAGUUGGCCCUUCGAUUCCAAAGAAGUCUGACCACUUUAGUGAAAGAGUAGAUCGAAACUUCAAUGGCAGCUCACAAUUAAAUCACAAGAAACUUCUGGGCACAUAGUGAUUUGCUAUUUGCAUGUCAAGCCAUAUAUAAUUUUCUUUUCAGCCAAACCAGUCCGAAAACUUUCAAAUGCACAAAUGUUUUCAAACUUCAAGAUCUUCUCCUUUUCAUAGUGUGGCGUUGAGAAGCAACAACUUCAUAUGCACCUUCAACCCUCAUGGUUUGUCAUGCACGUGAAGACCAAUAACCAGACUACCAAGAUUUUGCAUGGAUUAAUUAUUCCCAAUCCAUAUGUAUGUAUACAUGAUAAAAACAAAAAUAUACUCAACCGGCUCCUCUGAUUCUCCGAUGCCUUACCCUUAAAACAAAUACAGGCAAUGCAAAGGAAAUCAUGAAACAAACAGAGUCACCCAAGUCCACAAGAGCAACAAUUCAAAACAACAUUUCGUAUUUGUUUUUUUCUUUUUCAGAAAAUGCCUACGUGGCUCAUCCUCGUGUCCUUGUUUUUAUUUUUGUGGAGAAUUAUGUUUUGAAGAGAGAUGGGCCUCAAAAUUGACCAAAGAUCUCUAUAUCAUGCAAUUUAAGCCCAAGACCCAAAUAAAGUGUAAAAAUUAAAUUGAAGGAUAUUUUCUUUCAUUAAUCCCUAAAAUACCCUUAAUCCCUGUUCCCUAUUAAGCACAUAGUGAGUGUGAAUUUCAAUUUUUUUUUUUUGUUUUUUUUCCUUUUCUAUUCCCUAUUACGUAUUACCCAUUUCUAACUUUUUGUUUUUUUUUUCUUUUUAUUCCAAUCUAUAUUUCUAUUUUAUAUCAAAUAAAAAGCAAUAAUGUUUUUUUUCAUUUUUAAAGAUACUAAAUCCUUUUACUCUCAUUAUAAGCAAGGAUAAAAUUUUGGGAUUUUUCAUCCACAUAUUUUUUCUUUUUGUAUUUAUAUUUUAGUUUAAUUUUCAUCCACCCUUUUAUUUAUAUUUUUCUCUUAUUUUUAAUUAUUUUUAUAUUUUCCACAUUAAACAUAUUUUAAAAAAAUUAAAAAAUUGACUAUCACUUCACUCUUAUAUAUACAUAUAUAUCCUUUUAGCUUCUUAAUUUUUAAUUUUUUUUAUUUUAAUUUUUUUUAAAAGAUAAAUUUAUUGAAAAAAUAACUAAGAUAUGAAGUUCUAAUAUUAUAUUAAUAUUUUUUCUUAUCUAGAUAAACUAAUGCAAAGUAUUUUAACUCACAACAAGAAAAUUGUUAAUACAAUUUUUUAGUGAAACUUUAGAAAUUAAAUUUCAAAUAAAAUACGUUAUAUAAAAUUUUAUCUAAAAAUUAUUGAAAGUGGUAUUUAAUUUUUUUAUUAACUUUUAAAUUUAUUUAAUUUUUUACUUAAAAGGUAAUAGAACGUGUUUACAAAAAAAAAAUAGUGUUUCAUUUUUUUAAAUAAAUGAGUAUAAACAUAUUAAUAGAAUUAAAGAUAAUCUCAGUAAAAAAUUUGAUACAAAUGAUUAUAAUUUUAAAUAUAGAUUCAUUUGGAUAAAAUUUUACAAAAAAAAAAAAUGGUGGAAAGAAAGAACAUUGCUAAAACUACAAAAACAAAAUAUGCAAUUACAAAAUUUUGAUGAUGAAAUUUAAAAAUAAAAUUCAAAACAAUUCUUGAGUGAGAUAAUUUGAGUGGGGAAAAAUCCUUGAGUGGAAAAAAAUGGGAAAGUUUUUCAAAAUCACUUGAAAUCCUUAACAAAAAGCAAUCUUGCACACCCUUGUACAGUUAGUAAAUUUGUCUUGUACAGCUAGUGUAAUACCUAUGUACAAUAACCCAAAUUCCAUACAUCGUCUCAUGAAUAUCUCACAAUAGGUCGUUAACCAUGUUUGCAUUGGUUUGGUUUAAAAGAAGAUGAAAAAUUGUUGUAUAAUUUUGUUGUACAAUCAUUAUAAGUGAGGUACCUAUUCAAAUGACCAUAUACAAAUUAAAUAAAGUACAUGAGAUGAAUGUAUGUUUAACCAAUGUGUGUGAGGAAUGGCAUCUAUCCUUGGUUAAGGGAAACAAACAAACAAGUUUUUCAUAAUCACUUAAAAUCCUUCACAAAUGAUAGUCUUAUACACCCUUGUACAAUAACCUAAAUUCCAUAUAUCCCCAACUCAAUGUGUGCCCAUAAAUAAGUUAACCAUAUUUCCAUUGGUUUGGUUCAAAAUAUAAUGGAAGAUGGAAAAACAAAAUUUUCCCUUAAACAUCAUUGUGGGAUAAGUAUUUGAAUUGUCAUGUGUGAGUUAAAUAAAGUGCAUAAGAUGAGUGUGUGAUAGAAGAAUGUGUGCCAUGAGAGUGUGAGAUCCUUAGAUGACAAAAAGAAAAAAGAAAAAAAAAGUUGUCCAAAAUUGAUUGAAAUCCUUUACAAAAAAUAGUAUUGUAUACCCCUUGUACAGUUAGAGCAUUUGUCUUGUCCAAUUAGAACAUUUACCUUACCCGGUUAAAACAUUUACCUUGUACAAUUAGUAUAACACCCUUGUACAAUAGUACAAAUUUCAUUCACAUGCAUACAUUAUAUGUCCACAUAUGAUGUGUGAACCAUGUUUCCAAUGGUUUGAUUUAGAAAAUGAUAUAAGACGCAAAAACAAAAUUUUUCUGCAAACAUCAUUAUCAAGGUAAGUAUUUGAAUUGUCAUAUGCAAGUUAAAUAAAGUACAUGAAAUGAAAAAAUUUGUGGUAGGAGAGUGUACAAUCCUUAGAUGACAAGAAAAAAGAAAAUUUUCAAAAUAUACAAUCUUGUACACCUCUUAUACAAUUAAUUUAUUUUCCUUGUAUAAUUAGUGUAACAGUCUUGUACAAUAGUAUAAAUUUCAUACAUAUGCAUAAAUUAUGUCCACAUGAGUGUAUAAACUAUGUUCCCAAUGGUUGGACAUUUAAAAUAAUUAAAACAAAUAAAAACGUUAUUUUAUUUUAUUUUCAAUACAAAAUGUAAUUAAAAAUAAGACAAAGAAAUUACUUAAAAAAUAUUAUUUAAGUCAAAUUUAUUUAUUUAUUUCCUUUUAUUUUUGGAAAUAAAGAAAAAAGAAUAAAAAAAUUAUUUAACCAUAAGAAAUAUAAAUAUAAUAUUGGUUAGAAAAUACAAAAUUUAUUUAUUUAUUUCAUUUUAUUUUUGGAAUUAAAGAAAAAAAUAAUAAAAAAUUUAUUUAACCGUAAAAAAUAUUAAUAUAAGAUACGUUAUAAAAUAGAAAUAACCCAAGUUUAUUUACUUAUUUCAUUUUAUUUAUUUAAAUUAGAAAGUAAUUUAUUUUAAAAGAUCAAAAUGUGCACAAUUAAUCUAUUACUUUGUUAAUUAUGGAUAUAUUAAAAUUUUGUAUUACACAAAAAAAUAGAGAAAAUAAAAUUAAAAAGAAUAAUAAAUAUAUAUAAUUUAGUUAUUUAACUAUUUUUCAUGUACAGGAUAGCCACACAAAAAAAUACACAAUUGACCAAUUUCUUUGUUUAAUUGUAAGCAUACUAUAUAUAUAUAUAUAUAUAUAUAUAUUAUUAAUAUAACUAAUGGAAAAAAUAAAAAUAGAUAAUCAAUGAAUGAAAUUCAAUUCUUUUUAUUAUUUUCAUAUAAAAAAAAAGUAUUAAACAAGGUUUUCAAUUUUUAUUUUUAAAAAUAGUUUUCAUUUUUUAAUUAAACAUUUUUUCAAAAAGAAAAUAUAAAAAAUAAAAAUCAUAUUAUCAUUUUUUUUUAAAGUAUUUUUUAAAAUAGUUUUUGAGCGUAAUUUUUCUUUAUUUAUAAUUUAAAAUAUAAAAUAAUACUGAUUUUUAAUUAUUUAUAAAAAAAAAAGUUUUGAAAAAUAAUAAAAAAUCUAAAUGGUUAAAAUAGAAUUAUUCUAGUUAUGUGAACAAUGGUGCAAUAAAGACUAAAAUCACAAAUCAAAAGUUAUCUAGGCAGCUUUGGUCAAUUUUGAGGUUCACCUCACCUCAAAUCACAAUUCUCCUGCAAUCCUUUUUCCUUUACGCAAUCCUUUUUCCUCUCAAGCAAUCUAUCUGGAGUAGUUGGAUAAUUGACCAUUAAUGUUUUCUCUUUUUGUGAUAUUAAAAGAAUUUCCUCUCAAGCAAUCUAAUUGGAGUAGUUGGAUAAUUGACCAUUAAUAUUUUCCCCUUUUUGUGUUAUUAAAAGAAGACAAAAAAACUUCUGGAGGAGUCAAAUACUUUUAAAUGAACUAUCAAAAAUCAUAUCAAUUUAAUAAUAUGAUUUGGACCUCUAAAAUUGGUUUAUAAUAAUCACAAAUGAUUGCCACGUAGACUUAUUAUAUAAUGCAGAGUUCAGAAUUUAAAGCCAUUAAGCAGAAUAAAAUAAUUGUUAAAUAAUUUAUUUUACUAUAUUGAACAAAUAUUAAAUUCCAAGCUUCCUUUGUAUAAACUGAGGUGGCCUGCCUAACCAUGAAUCACAAAAAGGGCGGCAAAACGUCAGGCCACGAUGCAGUUUGGACGGCGGAGAUUGGUUGAGACGGGAGACUGAAAGCGAGCCCACCAAGUUACACGUAGCCGCAACUACAAGCAGAUUUUGACUUGUAUUUUCCCUGGCCCUUAAUUGGGUGGGCCCAACGCUCUGAAAAAUAAGAAUUAAAAAAGGAACAGGAAAGCAACGGGUGGGCCCAAUCUUCCCCUCUAUCGGCCGGGUUAAACAAGAAGUAUUGUUAUAAGAGGAGUGAGACUCCCCAUCCCUUAAAAAUCAGUUGGUUUGUUUUUGACUUGUUAUUAGAAAACAAGUGAGACUAAUAACAAGGAUUUACGAAAAUAAUUCUUAAAAAAUAACUCUUAAAAGUAUAGUUGUCUAAGAAAAACAGUUUUCAUGACCAAUUUUGAUAAGGGUAGUCUAUAACUAUAUGCGAAGUCAAUCAUGGGCAACUAGAGGACUUCAACGAAUAAAAUGGUAAGAGAUGGAAAAAAUCUUCUCAGCUUGUGGGGGCUGCUCUGACUUGGUGGGUUCUCUAGUUGAUUCUGGAUGACCCAAUAUCAUCCUUGAUUAUUACAUCAUUAGACGGUGAUCAUGGAUGACCCGUUUUAAGGUUUUUGACAUUAAUCAUAUUUAAUAUACCAACCCGCCUGGACACCAUAACUCAUGCCUUAACAACCCAUUGAGUUUUAUUUUAUGGGCCUAAAUUAAUUGCUUGCUGACAAAUAGGCCACGUUUCUUGAGCUAAUAGUUCAGAACCAAGCCUGAGGUCACUCAGCUCGUCGUCCACAGGUUUGUCCCCAUCAUUUUCCACGUUCAGAACAAAAUUUUCAUGUCUUAACUAAUCUGUACGUAACCUGUAAGAAAUUUAUUCUAAAAUAACGUGUACGUAACCUGCUCAUUGAAGUGGUCAAAGAACAUUAAAGGCCAAUACACAUUCAAAUCACUUUCUCUUAUAUUGAAACGUGGAGAGGAAGAAUGGUAUCCCGACAGAAUUAUCAUGACUAUAUAAUGAAUCAUAUAUAUGAAAGAAACACAUCAAAAGGAGUAAGAAGAUUGAAGGAGUUCUGUUGAGGACAAGAGAAGAGGCUUUUAUUCCAAAGAUGAUGUGGCUGAUCAUGAAGGUUUUCCUCUUGCAAAUUUUAGUGUUUCAACUUUUUGGUGGUGACAUCCGUUGCCAAGCUUCAAUCCGUCGGCAUACUUUUGUGGUAAAUACUUUAUAUGAUUCUGACCUUAAUGCCACCUUUUGAUCAUAAUAUUUAGGGAGCAAUAUGACUCUCAUUUUCUACUAUAGGACCCCUUACCCUAGUGUCGUUGAGUUGUUCAUGCACGGUAUCAAUUUCUAAUUGGUUAUACACUUACAUAAAUGGAUCAAUGCAACUCUUCAUGCAUGUAAUCUUUCUUUUGGGAUGAGGUUGCAUGGUUAACUUUUAAUUGGUUGCAGGUGAGGGAAGCUUCAUAUACAAGGCUUUGUAGUACCAAGGACAUCUUAACAGUAAAUGGACAAUUUCCGGGACCAACUAUACAUGCUAUGAAAGGAGAGACGAUCAUUGUCGACGUUUAUAAUAGGGGAAAAGAAAAUGUCACCAUUCACUGGUAGGUCCUGAACAUGUCUUAGAGAAAGAGCGGUGGCAGCAUGCCUACAUGGCAUACAUUCUUUUGUUUUUAAGAUGGGGCUGCAAUAUAUUGCUUUGCAAACAAAGUCAAAUUUAAAACAUUACUUUAGGGUUAUUUGGUUCAAUUCCAUUGAAAUACAGUUGAUGUUGCGUGUUACUAUGAUAAUGUGUUGUUGCAUGCCAUCUUUUGUUAGUUCGAAAAUAAGUACUAGUUUUAACGUGUAGUUAUUGUUUUGCAGGCAUGGCGUGAACAUGCCUAGAUAUCCAUGGACAGAUGGUCCCGAGUAUAUCACACAAUGCCCAAUUCAGCCCGGGUCAAAGUUUAGUCAGAAGAUCAUCCUUUCCUCUGAGGAAGGCACUUUAUGGUGGCAUGCUCACAGUGAUUGGACCCGAGCCACCGUUCAUGGAGCUAUAAUUGUCUAUCCCAAGAAUGGAACCAAGUAUCCUUUUCACAAACCUAACGCAGAAUUUCUCAUCAUAUUAGGUAUAAGUGUUGUUACUUUUAAAUGUUAAUUUACAUAUUAUGAAUUAACCCGUAAAACAAAAUCUAAAAUUAUUGGAGUUGUUGAAAUGCAGGACAAUGGUGGAAGAGUGAUGUGAAUGUGGUUCGAGAUGAUGUGCUUGCAAGCGGAGCUGAUGUCAAUGCCUCUAAUUCUUUAUUGAUAAAUGGACAACCUGGUGAUCUACUUCCAUGCUCAAAAUCAGGUACAAAUUAAGUUUAACUUCUCAUUUUAAAAUUGUACAUGAUUUCAUUUUCUUGUAUAUUGACCAUAUUACUUUUUCUUAUUAACAUCAACAUAUUUAAAGCUUAAUACUAAGAAAGAUGAAUAUAGCUAUGAGGAUGGUAGAGCCAUGAUUUAACACAUGAGAAAAGGCUAGUCAUAAUAUAAUUUUGAACAAUGGAGCCAAAUUUACACCCUUAAUCAAUCAAUCACUUCAUAAUUGGUGGAUCCUCAUGGAAACUUUUUCUUUUUCUUUUGGCUAGUCAUAAGUAUACAACUUUCCCUUUCUAAUUGCAGGCACAUUCAAGAUAACGGUGGAUCAUGGAAAUACCUAUCUACUUCGCAUAAUCAAUGCUGCCUUGCACGAGCCUCUUUUUUUCUCCAUUGCCAAGCAUAAAAUGACAGUGGUUGGAACAGAUGGUAGCUACACAAAACCAUUGACACAAGAUUAUAUCACAAUAUUUCCUGGCCAAACCUUCGAUGUCUUACUAGAAGCUAACCAACGCCCGGAUCACUAUUACAUGGCGGCUAUAACUUAUUCUGAAGCCCCGACAGGUCUUAAUAUUUAUGAUAACACAACCACCACAGCUAUUGUACAAUACAGGGGAUACUACACUCCAUCUUCACCUCCCUUCUUGCCUCACUUACCUGCAUACAAUGACACAAAUGCAACGCUUCAGGUUAUGGCCAACCUCCGAAGCUUAGUAGAUGCGGAACAUCCUUGCAAUGUCCCAUUGAGCACGAGCACUAACCUAUUUUACACCGUUUCUUUAAACUCGUACCCAUGCAUUAAUGAUUCAUGUUCAGGGGUCAAUGGGACACGGUCCGCUUCAAGUAUAAACAACAUAAGCUUCCAUACCCCUACAAUUGACAUACUGGAAGCUUACUAUUAUAACAUCAGUGGUGUAUAUGGAGAUAAAUUUCCUAGCGUUCCACCACAGGUGUUUGAUUUUACAGGUGAUUAUCUUCCAUUACUCUAUCAGUUGCCGAGCACCGGAACAGAAGUAAGGGUGCUCGAGUAUAACUCCACAGUGGAGAUUGUUUUUCAAGGGACAAACUUGGUUGGAGGGACAACCCACCCUAUUCAUCUCCAUGGACACAGUUUCUAUGUUGUUGGGUGGGGACUUGGGAAUUUUGAUGAAAAUAAGGAUCCUUUGCGCUACAAUCUGGUGGAUCCUCCCCAUCAGAAUACCAUCUAUGUUCCUAGGAAUGGUUGGGCUACAAUCAGAUUCAAGGCAUCCAACCCUGGUAUGUUGCAAGCACUCAUGUCCUCUAUUAAAAAAAUAAAUGAAUAAACCCUUGAAAUUGCCAACCUACAAACCAAGGAAAUAAUUUUUCUUAGUAUUACAAUUAAGUUAGGUGUAAUGUUGUGUGUUUUCCCUGUUACAGGAGUGUGGUUCAUGCAUUGCCAUAUAGAACGCCAUCAAAGUUGGGGCAUGGAAACUGCGUUCAUAGUGAAAAAUGGUAAACACCCAGAAGCUCAAAUGUUGCCUCCUCCAUCCGACAUGCCGCCAUGUUGAAGCUGCAAAGAAAUAACAUGCCAAAGAUUUCAUUGAAUAUUGUAUUAUUUAGCUUUCAUGAUUUAUUUUAUGCUCAUAAGAAGAAUAAUGUAAAGUCGUAGAAUAUUGUGUCUAAGAUUAUUAAUGUCAAUUUCUUGGAUUGUUAACCGUCUAUAAAGAUAAGGGAAUUUGCCACAAAAGUCUUUGAUUAUGAAAAAGAGAAUUUGAUGUUGUGUUACUAUUUCAACCUUAAUUAAUUUCAAUAUGAACAACUCAUUAAAUGGGAUAGUUUAAAAUUAUCUUGAUUUGACAAUUUUUAUUCCAAUUCAUAUUAAUAAUUUUUAAAAUUAUAAAUAAUAUAGUUUAGAGUAAUUGACUUAUUCUACUAUUUUAAAAUUAGACUAUGAUCUAAAGGGAAACUUGUGAAAAAGGUCAUGAAACGGUUUGUUUAAUUUGUACUUUUACAUAUAAAGAUAUUUUGCAAAUAAUAUAAUUUUUAUAAAGUCCUAUACAGUUGAGAUAAAGUCAGUUUUUAUUUAUUUAUUUAUUUAUUUAUUUUAAAUUAAAAUAAUUUUUUUUUUUCCUAAAGUUAAAAUAAUUUGUAUAUAAUUUAUAUUUUUACCUUCUAUUUUAAUAACAAUAUCACAAAAUCUACACCAAGAUAAAGGAAAAGGAAAACAAAAAAAAAAAAAAAAAUCACCGAUCAUAAAUUGUGUUUAACCCCUCACCGAAAGAAACUCCAAAUCUGUUUUUUAGCGAUUUGAUUACUUGUCAACUCCCACUUUUUAUUUUUUAUUUUUUUUAUUUUACAUUAAAGUAAACCCUUUCCUGCUUCCUUAAAUUUAAAAUAAUAAAACAAAUUACUGAUUUUUGUAAAUUGAAACACUUGAAUUUAUGGUUUAGAGAAAAGACUUACCAAUUAACUAAGUUGCUGCAAUUGACCGAACUCUCCAAGUCCAGUCUAUAAAUUAAGUUGGUAGGAAAGUUGUAAAGUCAAAUAAUUAAACUUUGGUUUUUUGGACUUGGAAUAUUCCAGCUGGCAUUCCAAUGCUAUUGAAUUAAGAAAUAAAUUAAAUAAAUUAUUCAUUGACCAUUGUCUCAUUUCUUCCAUCAUUAGUAGUUGUGGCUAGAGUUGCGGAAGCGAAGAAAGGUGGAGAGAGGCCAAAAUUUCACACUACCUAUACCUAAUAGAUAGAGUUAAAGGAAUAAAUUUGGGCAUUACCUAAAGUUGAUGAAGCAGUGCACGACAAUGUCAGAAGCGAAGAUAGGUGGAGAGAGGCCAAAAUUUCACGCUAUCUAUUCCUAAUAGAUAGAGUUCAAGGAAUAAAUUUGGGCAUGACCUAAUAAUACUUUAUAAACACUCAAAAAUAAUUGGAAAGAAUUAAAUCCCACAAAAUAAAUAACAAUAAAGCACUUUAUUUUCCCUUUUACUUCCGAUGUGGGAUAAGGUAAAGGGAUUUAAAAGCAAAAAACAACAUUUUUCCUACAAGCUAUAACGAGCAUGACUACUCCACUAUACUUCAUCCUUGUUUGUGUUAUUUUUUAACAAAAAAAUAUAUAAAUAGCCUAUUUAAAAAAAUAAUAUAUAUAUAUAAAUCACAUAUGUUUUUUUUUUCAUUUUCAAUUUGUUUUCAUAUUAAAAUACAACUUUUUUUUUAUUUACCAUUUUGAAUAUAUUUUCAUAUUUAAAUAUUGUAUAUAUUUUGUUUAAUAAAUUUAAACCAUUAAUACAUUUAUAUAAAAAUGAAUAAAUAAUAUUAUAAAUAUUAUUUAUUUUUAAUAAAAUAUAAAAUAUAUAUUUAUGACGUCAUCACUUCGACCGCAAUUCAACCACCGGUCCGACCAAUGAACUGGUAACUUUUUUAGUUCAAUACCUGGUCUGGUUCUGAAAACAUUGAUUUUUAUCCAUAAAAAAAUAUUUUGACAUUAUAAAUGAUUUUAAAAAGAAUCACUUAGUAUUUAAAGUGAGAGCGGGUGCGUACCUUGGCAGCAAGCGAAUAAUGCGCUAUCAUGAAAUGGGGUUAGUGCACAAGAAUGAAUGUAAAAUAUAUCACAUGCAUCACCAAAUAGAAUAUAAAAUCACUUAUGGCACACAUGACAUUUUACUCAAGUUCAUUUUUAUUUUAAGUAAAACUUCUUUGAUGUUGGGUCUCCCAACAAAGCCCAAUUAUCUGCAUGAUAUUUGACAAUUUCAUAUUUCGAUAUGAAAAUCAUCUACUUAUAUAAAUCAAAGAAANNNNNNNNNNNNNNNNNNNNNNNNNNNNNNNNNNNNNNNNNNNNNNNNNNNNNNNNNNNNNNNNNNNNNNNNNNNNNNNNNNNNNNNNNNNNNNNNNNNNUUCUUUGAUGUUGGGUCUCCCAACAAAGCCCAAUUUAUCUUGCAUGAAUUAAUUUGACAAAUUUCAUUAUUUCGGAAUUAUGAAAAAUUCAUUCUUACUUAUAUAAAAUCAAAAGAAACAGAAGGUUAUUUGAAAACCAUAGUGGAAUUAAAACUGUUCGAGAUAAAACUAGAUUUUUGAAAUUUAUUUGAAAAUUGGAGUCUUGGAAAUUAAAUUUAAGAAUUGGAAUUUUGGAAAUUAAAUUUGAAAGAAAUUAAAAUUUUUAAAAUUAUUUGAGAAUUAGAGUUUUGAAAAUUAAACUAAGGAAUUAGAACUUUGAAAAUUAAACUUGAGAGAAAUUAGCAAAUUAUUUGAGAAUUAGAGUUUUGGAAAUUAAAUUUAUGAAUUGGAAUUUUGGAUAUUAAAUUUGAAAGAAAUUAGAACUUUGAAAAUUAUUUGAGAAGUAGAAACUAUGAAAAUUAAAUUAUAAAAAUUGGAAUCUUGGAAAUUAUUCGAAAAUUGAAAUUUCAUAAAUUGAGAACUAAAUUUAGAAAUCGAAAUUUUGAAGAAUUAUCUAAAGAUGAAAUUUUAAAAAUAAAUAAAUAAAAAUAAUAAAAAUAAUAAUAAUGAUUAAAUAAAUAAGUGAAAAUUAGAAUUUUGGAAAUUAGAAAUUAAAUUUGAAAAUCAGAAUUUUGAAAAAUUGUUUAAAGAUGGAAUUUUAAAAAUAAAUAAAUUAAUAGAAUAAUAAUAAUAAUAACAAAAAUAAUAAUUAAAUAAAUGAACAUGAAUAUUAGAAUUUUUGAAAUUGGAAAUUAAAUUUGGAAUUCGAAAUUUUGAAGAAUUGUUGAAGGAUGAAAUUUUUUCAUAACAUGCCAAACCUAGUGUCCUAAUGGCAUAGGAGGUCAAAUAUCAGUGAGGGAGUUUUUGGGGUUGACGCCGCAGGUUCUGAAUAGCUUCAUUUACAGGGGUGUCUGUUUAUUGGUUUGUUAUGGGUUCCCAUAAAAGAAAUUCUAGAAGAUUUUCCUGAUUAUAUAAAAUAUUGUCUGGCAAAAGCAUAAGUUUAUUUUAGUUGGGUAUGAUAUCAUGCACGUAUUUAUGUAGAAGGAUGAAAUUUUUUAAAAAUAAAUAAAUAAAUGAAAUAAUAAUAAUGACGAAAAUAAUAAUUAAAAAGAGAAAAUCCUCUUUAGACAAGAUAUUUAUAGGGCCAAGAUCCUGGUGGAUCAGAUUUAGAAUUUUCCCAAAAUAAAGCUUUUAAAAGUUGGAAAAUCAAAGCUUCGGAAUUGUAGAGAAUUCUAUCACACUUGAGUGCUCUAGGGGGCGUUUAAGCGUUCUCUGUAGCACUAGAACUCUCUAGGAGUUUUUUAAAACUAUUUUAAAAAACAUUUAACUCAGUUUAAGAACUUGGCAUUCGCACCAACCUUAAUUAACUCUAAUUUGUCUUUCUUAGACCUUUCUAUGCUUACCUUUGUUAUUCUAGUUGAUCACACGACAACUUCGAGUUUUUAAAGGAGAGUGAGAUAUAAUCUAAAAAAUCCCUAAGUCAAAAUGAUUGAAACAAAAUUAUCAAUCUUAAACUAUACAAAUUAAUGUACUAACACUUGCAAAUAAGAAACCUUGGGUUCAUUUAGCAAGAGGGAUUUCUAUCAAGGACGUUGGGUUUGCUUCAAAAAUGACUUAUUAUGAGAUGAGAAUCAUACCAAAAUGCUUCGAAGUAUAACAAAUACUAUGGUGCCAAUCACAAAAUGGUGGAAUAAGAAAAUAUAUGACUAGUGAAGUGAUUAUUUAUUUAAGAAAAUUUUAAGGUUAGGUUGUUAGGAUAUCCUAGGAUUAUAAAUUAAUUAUGCCCACCUUUUUAUAGUUGAAAUAUUUCAAAAUGUUUUUUUUUUAAUUUUAAUUUAUUAUAAAAAAUAUGAAAGAAAAAUAUAAUUAAAAUUAGUUAAAAAGUUAUAUAUAUUGAAUUUUUAUAUAGAAUAGGAAAAAAAUGAAAUGAAUUAAACAAAACAUAAAUUUUUUUUCAUUCUUUUCCCAACCUCAGAUUCUUUUGCCAUUCUUAGACAUACAUGCAUCUUUGAUGAUGGAAGUACAAAAACAAUUUAUUUCAUGCAUGAACCACAAAUGUAGAGAUAGCUUCCCCAACUUUUUAGAUGAGAUUAUAACUACAGAGGCCCUUGUUCAUUUUACAACUCAUAAUUAAAUCCAUUGGAUAAAGAAGAAUAACAUGAAUAAAAUGAAGAUAAUGAAAUUAAUGAUCAUCUUAUAUAAUAUUUGUUGAGAUGUUUAUUUGGUAUAACUCAUAAAAAAUGUAGAUUAAAGGCAUUAUUAUACAAAUAUUAUUUGAUCUAGUUAAAAUAAAAAUGAACUUUAAAAACACAAAAAGAAAAUGAAUAUAUUAAGAAUAUUUUUUUAAAUGGUAAAUGAUUUGUUCAAUUAGAGGUUGGAUUUUAUAUUAAAACAAAAAAGAGUAAAUUUUUUUUUGUUUUGAUCAUUAUACGUGUUCAUAGUAAUUUAAUCAUUUACUUUAUUAAAUACUUAAAUAUUAUUGGAGUUGGGUGGGCACCCAAAUUGGUGUGACCUAACCCGAUCCAACCAAAUAAGAGAUCAACGGUAGAGCAUUUUAUGGGAGUUGAAACUACUAGAAAUUACCCAAAAAUCACCCCAAUAAACUUUUCUUUGGAAAAGAAAGAUUGAGAGAACUUUGGAAGAAAAGUUCUUUGAAAAAAGAAGGUAAAAUACUUUGUGUUGUGGAAUAGAGUGAUUCUUGAUUUUAGUGUGGUUCCAUUCAGGGCUUGGGGUAAAGAAUUAAAUGGUGAAAUAAUUGUUUGUUUGGUUUUAUUUUAUUUUAUUUAUUUUAUUUUUAUUUUAUUUUUUUCUUCUUUAGAUCUUGGGUAUUCUAAAAACUAAUCCAAAAUUUUCCUACAAAUAUUACUUUUGAAAUUUGUGAACACUUCUCAACUGAGCAAAUGUUCAACUACUUAAUAUUAACUUAUUUUCUUUCAACCCUAUCAAAAGUGAUUUUUCUAAUAUUAGUUCAUAUGCAUUUAGUAGUAAUUUUCAUAUUUAAAAAAUAGAAACACAAUUUUGAAAAUAAGGCAAAAAUAAUCUUCAUUUUCAAGAAAAGUUUCUUGUUAAGGUAAAAAUAUACAUUCAAAAUAAUUUAACCAAAUAUUGCAUAAAUAUGUAUCAUAUGGAGAAAAAAAUUAUAUUAAAGCUCCACAAAUAGUAGGGAAUUUAUUCCAAAUUUUUAAAAGAAAAUGUGAGAAAAAAGUGAAAAAAUAAAAAAAGUUUAAAUUAACUUGAUCAAAUUUUUACAUGACUUAAAAUUUAUUCAUUAUUUUUUAUAUUUAUAAAUAAUUUAAAAAUAUAUAAAUCUUUCCAUAAUUUAUUUAUAUAAUGAUUUUUCUUUGUAUAUGAUACAAUAAACCAAACAAGGAAGUUUGAACUAUUUCUUAUUUUACUUUUUUUUGGAUGAUAGCUUUUGUAAGCCAACUAAAACCAUUUUAAUCAAGAUAUACAUACCAUAGGAACAAAUAAAUUAUAGACUACAUUUGUUUUGAAAAACAUUUUUUAAAAUCUAUAAUUAUUAUUUUAUUAUUAUUAUUAUUAUUAUUAUUAUUAAAUUUAUUUUUAUUGAGAAAAAAAAAAAUACUAUGACUCCCAAUAGAUGUUUUAAGUGAUUCACAACAUACAAGGGGUUGGUAUUCUAUUUUCAACUAUUUACAAAAUAUAUUUUUGUGUUUUUUUUAUGGAAGGUUCUGAAAUACCAAAUUGGGAAACAACUUUGUCCCAUCCAGACGAAAACAAUAAUCAUGUUUGCCAAAAUCAUCGGUUCAACACUAUUGAUUAUCUUAAAAAAUAAUUUUAAAAUAAUUCUUAAAAGGAGUUGUCUAUGAAAAACAGUUUAUAUGCGAGGCCAAAAUUUUCAUGGCUUAAUUAACAUUUCUUGAAAUAAUCAAUAAAAGACUUGUGAAAGAAUAUUUUAAAUUUAUUCUAAAAUAACGUGUAAGUAACCUGUAAGGAAUUUUCACAAUUGUUAGCUUUCUUCACGCAUUUGGUUUAUUUUAAUUUGGUAAGUGAUCAAAUAUCAUUAUUAUAUUUAGUGGUCCUGCUCAUUGAAGUGGUCAAAGAACCAAUACACAUUCAAAUCACUUCCUCUUAUAUUGACACGUGGAGAGGAAGUAUUGUAUCCCGAGAGAAUUAUCAUGACUAUAUAAAUGAAUCAUAUAAGAAAGACAUACAGCAAAAGUAGUAAGAAAAUUGAAGGAGUUGUGUUUAGGAAAAGAGAAGAGGCUUUUAUUCCAAAGAAGAUGUGGCUGAUCAUGAAGGUUUUCCUCUUAAAAAUUUUAGUAUUUCAACUUUUUGGUGGUGGCAUCCAUUGCCAAUCUUCAACCCAUCGGCAUACUUUUGUGGUAAAGACUAUAUAUGAUUCUGGCCUUAACGUCACCUUCUGAUCAUAAUAUUUAGGGGGUAGUAUGACUCUCAUUUUCCAUUGUAGGACCCCUUACCCUAGUGUCGUUGAGUCGUUCAUGCAUGCUAUCAAUUUUUAAGGGGUUAUACACUUGCAUGAAUGGAUCGAUGCAACUAUUCAUGCAUGUAAUAUAUCUUUUGGGAUGAGGUUGGUGGUUAACUUUUAAUUGGUUGUAGGUGAGAGAAGCUUCAUAUACAAGGCUUUGUAGCACCAAGGACAUCUUAACAGUAAAUGGACAAUUUCCGGGGCCAACUAUAUAUGCUAUGAAAGGAGAGACGAUCAUUGUCGACGUUUAUAAUAGGGGAAAAGAAAAUGUCACCAUUCACUGGUAGGUCUUGAGCAUGUCUUAGAGAAAGAGCGAUGACAGCAUGCCUAGAUGGCAUACAUUCUUUUAUUUCUAAGAGGGGGCUACAAUAUAUUGCUUUGCAAAUAAAGUCAAAUUUAAAACAAUACUUUAGGGUUAUUUGCUUUAGUUUUUAUUGAAAUAUAGUUGAUGCUACUUGUUACUAUGAUAAUAUGUUGAUGCAUGCCAUCUUUUGUUAGUUCGAAAAUAAGUACUAGUUUUAACGUGUAGUUAUUGUUUUGCAGGCAUGGGGUGAACAUGCCUAGAUAUCCAUGGACAGAUGGUCCCGAGUAUAUCACACAAUGCCCAAUUCAGCCAGGGUCAAAGUUUAGUCAGAAGAUCAUCCUUUCCUUUGAGGAAGGCACUUUAUGGUGGCAUGCUCAUAGUGACUGGACCCGAGCCACCGUUCAUGGAGCUAUAAUCGUCUAUCCCAAGAAUGGAACCAAGUAUCCUUUUCACAAACCUAACGCAGAAUUUCUCAUCAUAUUAGGUAUAAGUGUUGUUACUUUUAAAUGUUAAUUUACAUAUUAUGAAUUAACCUGUAAAACAAAAUCUAAAAUUAUUGGAGUUGUUGAAAUACAGGACAAUGGUGGAAGAGUGAUGUGAAUGCAGUUCGAGAUGAAGGGCUUGCAACCGGAGCUGAUGCCAACGCCUCUGAUUCUUUAUUGAUAAAUGGACAACCCGGUGAUCUACUUCCAUGCUCAAAAUCAGGUACUAAUAAAGUUUAACUUCCCGUUUUAAAAUUGUACACAAUUUCAUUUACUUGUAUGUUGACCAUAUUACUUUUUCUUAUUAACAUCAACAUAUUUAAAGCUUAAUGCUAAGAAAGAGGAAUAUAGCUAUGAGGAUGGUAGAGCCAUGAUUUAACACAUGAGAAAAGGCUAGUCCAGAUAUAAUUUUGAACUAUGGAGCCAAAUUUACACCCCUAAUCAAUCAAUCACUUCAUAAUUGGUGGAUCCUCAUGGAAACUUUUUCUUUCUCUUUUGGCUAGUCACAAGUAUACAACUUUCCCUUUCUAAUUGCAGGCACAUUCAAGCUAACGGUGGACCAUGGAAAGACCUAUCUACUUCGCAUAAUCAAUGCUGCCUUGCAGGAGCCUCUCUUCUUCUCCAUUGCUAAGCAUAAAAUGACAGUGGUUGGAACAGAUGGUAGCUACACGAAACCAUUGCCACGAGAUUAUAUCACAAUAUUUCCUGGCCAAACCUUCGAUGUCUUAUUAGAAGCUAACCAAUGCCCGGAUCACUAUUACAUGGCAGCUAGAACUUAUUCCGUUGCCCCGACAGCUAGUAAUUUUUUUGAUAACACAACCACCACAGCUAUUGUACAGUACAGGGGAUACUACACUCCAUCUUCACCUCCUUCCUUGCCUCAUCUUCCUGCAUACAAUGACACAAAUGCAUCGGUUCAGGUCAUGGCCAGCCUCCGAAGCUUAGCAGAUGCGGAACAUCCUUGCAAUGUCCCAUUGAGCAUGAGCACUAAACUGUUUUACACUAUUUCUAUAAACUCGUACCCAUGCAUUAAUAAUUCAUGUUCAGGGGCCAAUGGGACGCGGUCUGCCGCAAGUAUAAACAAUAUAAGCUUCCAUACCCCUACAGUUGACAUACUGGAAGCUUACUAUUAUAACAUUAGUGGUGUAUAUGGAGAUAAAUUUCCUAGCGUUCCACCACUGGUGUUCGAUUUUACAGCUAAUUAUCUUCCAUUACUCUAUCAGUUACCGAGCGCCGGAACAGAAGUAAGGGUGCUCGAAUAUAACUCCACAGUGGAGAUUGUUUUUCAAGGGACAAACUUGAUUGCAGGGGUAACCCACCCCAUACAUCUCCAUGGACACAGUUUCUAUGUUGUUGGAUGGGGAUUUGGGAAUUUUGAUGAAAAUAGGGACCCUUUGCGCUAUAAUCUGGUGGAUCCUCCCCUUCAGAAUACCAUCUCUGUUCCUAGGAAAGGUUGGGCUACAAUCAGAUUCAAGGCAUCCAACCCUGGUAUGUUGCAAGCACUUGUGUCCUUUAUUAAAAAAAAAUAAAGCACCUUGAAACUGCCAACCUACAUACCAAGGAAAUAAUUUUUCUUAAUAUUACAAUUAAGUUAGGUGUAAUGUUAUAUAUUUUCUCUAUUGCAGGAGUGUGGUUCAUGCACUGCCAUGUAGAACAACAUUUGACUUGGGGCAUGGAAACUGCAUUCCUAGUGAAAAAUGGUAAACAUCCAGAAGCUCAAAUGCUACCUCCUCCAUCCGACAUGCCGCCAUGUUGAAGUUGCAAAGAAAUAACAUGCCAAAGAUUUCAUUGAAUAUUCGUAUUAUUCAGCUUUCAUGAUUUAUUUUCUACUCAUAAGAAGAAUAAUGUAAAUUCGUAGAAUAUUGUUUGGGAUUAUUAACGUCAAUUUCUUGGAUUGUUAAAAGUCUAUAAAGAUAAUAGAAUUUAAAUAAUCUUUGAGAUAUGCUACGGUGGAAUUUGCCACCGAAGUCUUUGAUUAUGAAAAAGAGAAUUUGAUGUUGUGUUCCUGUUUUGAUUUGACAACAUUGUAAAGUCUUUGAUUUACCAUGGAAGUCGUAGAAUUUGAUGUUAUCUUUGAUUAUGAAAAAGAGAAUUGGAAUUUGAUGUUGUGUUCCUGUUUCAACUUUAAUUAAUUUCAAUAUGAACAGCUCAUUAAAUAGACGAGUACAAUGCUAAGAAGCUCCCCAACGCCGUGUCCACAAUAGAUAUAUCUUGAUUUGACAACUUUUGGCCAUUCCAAUUUCUUUGCACAUGAUAAAAUAUCAUGUUGUAUUAGAAAAGUUUGAAAUGGCAUAGUUUAAAAUUAUCUUGAUUUGACAAUUUUUAUUCUCAUUCUAGAAGGUUAGGAAUCAUAUUAAUAAUUUUUGAAAUUAUAAAUGAUAUAGUUUAGAGUAAUUGACUUAUUCUAAUAUUUUAAAAUUAGAUUAUGAUCUAAAUGGAUACUUGUGAAAAAGUUCAUGAAAUGGUUUGUUCAAUUUUUACUUUUACAUCUGAAAAUAUUUUGCAAAUAAUAUAAUUUUUAUUAAUUCUUAUACAGUUGAGACAUAAAAUCAAUUAUUUAUUUAUUUAUUUUAAAUUAAAAUAAAUGCUUUUUCCUAAAGUUAAAAUAAUUUGUAAAUAAUUUAUGUUUUUACUUUCUAUUUUAGUAACAAUAUCACAAAAUCUACACCAAGAUAAAUGAAAAGGAAAAAAAAAAAAAAAAAUCACCGAUACAAAUUGAGUUUAACCCCACACCAAAAAACUCCAAAUCUGUUUUUUAGUGAUUUGAUUACUUUUCAACUCCCAUUUUUUAUUUUUUAUUUUACAUUAAAGUAAACCCUUUCCUGCUUCCUUAAAUUAAAAUAAUAAAACAAAUCACUGAUUUUUGUAAAUUAAAACGUAGGAGUUGAUCAUUUGAAUUUAUGGUUUAGAGAAAAGACACUUACCAAUUAACUAAGUUGCUGCAAUUGACCGAACUCUCCAAGUCCAAGUCAAUAUAUUAAGUUGGCAGGAAAGUUCUAGAGUCCUGAAUAAUCAUUUACCAUUGUCUCAUUUUCUUCGAUCAUUAGUAGUUGUGGCAUGACAAUGUCAGAAGCGCAGGUGCAGAGAGGCCAAAAUUUCACGCUACCUAUACAUAAUAGAUAGAGUUAAAGGAAUAAAUUUGGGCAUGACCUAAUUAUACUUUAUAAACACUCAAAAAUAAUUGUAAAGAAUUAAAUCCCAAAUAAAUAAAUAACAAUAAAUAAAAUUUCAUGAAUUAAAAAAUAAAUUAAUUGUGAUUAAUUUUUUUUUAUUUGUAAUAUUAUAUCCAUAAAAGAAUAUUUUGAUAUUAUAAGUGAUUUUAAAAAGAAUCACUUAGUAUUUAAACGUAAAUUAAAAGAAAUGUUCAGAAAUUAUUUUUAAGUGAAUUUUUGGAUUUUUAAAAGUGAUUUUCAAUUAUAUUUAAAUUUUAUUUGGAAUUGACUUUUGAGAGUUAAAAAAAAAAAUUAUGUUGAAUAAAAGUUUUUAUACCUAUUUAAUCAUUUUUUUUUAAAACUUAUAACUUUUAAAAAAGGUUUCAUAUUGAAGUCAUAAAAAUGUUAUUUCUUAUAAGAAUUUUAUGAUUCUAUUUUUGUUUACAUAAGAAGUUUUUUCAUGUUUAAUAUAACUUUUACAACAUCAACAUUGCCCCUUAAAAAUUAUUACUUUAAUUUUGAUUUUGAUUUUCAGUUAAAGCAAAAAAUAUGAAGCUAUCCCAAAUUUGACCCUACCAUCCACCUAAUUAAUUUUUAUAAGAAAAUGUUUUUUUUUAAUAUUUAAAAGGGCUUUUAUUUAUUUGACCACUAAAGUUCUUUGGAUUUUACUAAUCCAAAUCUAACAUGUGUACUUAAUUUUAUCUUUUUGACUUUUUAACCACUAUUUUAUUAGGAAAUUUUUGAACUCCUAAUUUCCAUGUGACAAAAAAUACCUGAUUAUUACAAUUUCUUAUUGAGACUUAAAAAAAAAAAAAAACUAGUCUUUGAUUUUUUUAUUUUUUUAUUUAGUUUUUAUGAUACAAAUAUCAUCUUAUGAUAGAUGUGAUGAAUGUGUGUUAAGUUUCAAAUAAAGGCUAAUAUCAUCUAAGAAGGGAGGUGAUUGCUCUUCUUGUGUGGGAUGGUGGUCAGAAAUGAUGAUUAAAGGACAACAGUUUCCAUCGUUAAUGUAUAUGUUGGCAUAAUGAAAACUCUUGAAUAUGUGAACCAAGUGGUUCGACCUUAUCCCUUCAACACAUUUUAUUUGCCCAUAAUUCUAGUUUUCUAAAUAAAGCUAAAAGCAUAAUAAAAUGUUCUUCAUGUUUGAUAGCAUUUGAAAUUGUUGACUCACAGCACAUGUCUCAUGCUUUACCACUUACAGGCCUGAGGCACAUGUUAUUGAGGAGAUUACUUUUGUUAUUUGGAAGAGUCUAAAUCAAGAACUCUUACAUGUUGAGAAGAACCUCGUUGGGAUGGAUCGUCAAAGGGUGUCUUUUUCUUUUUCUUCUUCUUCUAUUGGUCCAUCGGAUAUGAAGAUUUCUUAAGCUUUUGGGAUGAAGAUGAAGAUGCCAGCCACAAUUUCAUAGAUCAUCUCUAUGCAGCUUGGAAUCGAAAUUGGAUUCGUACCUUUAGAAUCAAUGAUCUAAGGGGAGGAGAUAU
rnacentral:lncRNA from 1 species